AACCUCCCAAAUUUACAGAUUUUAGAAGAUUAAGAUCAGAACUUUUCAUACAUGCAAGUAGCAUUUGUGGAAUAACCAGUUUGGGGUUGUAAGUCAGCAUGAGAUUAUGAACCAUUAAAUUUUGAAGAAGCUGUGUAAGAUUAAAAAUGAAAGAUGCUAUGAAUGAGGAAAUAAAAAAAUAAUAAUAUUGAAGUAAAAUCUUUUUCAAAAGGGAAAGACAUUUGAAGUAAAACAAAUAUACAAAACAAAGAAGAAAACAAAAAGAAAAGUAGAUAGAUACAAAACCUCCCAAUUUUGAAAAUUUUAGAAGAUUAAGAACACUACUUGAAAUUACAAAUUAAGUUUAAGAGAGUAUGUUAGAAAAUAAAUUUGAGUAGAUAAAAAAGUUUCCAAUAAAAAAAAUAAUUUGAUUUAAUUAGUUUCUAAAAGUCAAUUGAAAUAUUUUAGUUUGAGUAAUUCAGUCAUAUUUUAUUACUAGGAGUUUUUAUUUUGUUAAAUACGAGUAUGUAUAGAAAGAUGAUGGAAGAUGAUAAUUUGUUCUUAAUCUUUCUCAAUUAUUCAUCUUUUUUUGUAAAUGUUUGUGUAUUUUUUUCAACCCUACUACUUCAACAAUAAUGUGCUACUUAAUCCUGGAAGCAAAUAUAAAAAAGAUGGUUAGUUAUGGUUAUGAUGGUUUUUGCCCUUCUCAUUAAAUUUGAUAGAUGAUAAAAAAAAAUAAAAAAGAACUCUUCAUGAGUUAAUCCUAUUUACCAGCAGGAAUUAUAUGGAAUUUGAAAGUCAAAAAAUAUAUAGUUAAGCUUCCAUUGUUGAUAAUCUUGUCGUAUGAAAUUUAAUUACAAAGUCCCAUUGGAGGAUAUAUUAAACUUGUUCAACAUCAGUGUCUGAUUUUUGGUUUGAAAUAGACUUUCUGUUAAGGGUCAUCGUUGAAUGGUGGCUGUAGAGUUGAUCCAUUAUUGACUUGGUAUGUUGAGUGCUCCACUUGUGAUGUGGAGUCACCAUAUCACAAACACUACAACCCCACCAUGAUCUUUUCCUUCAAGAAAAACUUUCCCUGCUUUAAGUUCAACCAGCUUGAUCAUCAUAGAGAUGCCUUGUCUUUUACUUUGUCCAGAAUAUUCCACUUUUCUCUUAAAUUUUAUGGUCAAAAAUCGCACUAGCAUCACAUCACAGCAGUCAUGUUGCUGUGUUGCACAUUACUUGGAAAGUGGGAUUUUUUAUAAUUAUACGGUGAAUUUAAAAUUAAUUUUUAAAAAUAUAGUCUAAUAAAAAAUAUUUAUAAAUCUACGUACUUUUUGCUACUUUAAAAAACUUUCUUGUAAACAUAUAUUUCAUAAUUUUUAUAUUAAUGAUACACGUUUUAAAAAAAUUGAAUUUUCUUUUGAAAAGACCUUCCAUAAUUUUUAUAUCAACAACACACCUUAAAAAAAUUUGAAUUUACAUUAAAAGUAUUUCUUCAAAAGACAUCUUUUAUUAUUUUAUAAAAUCAAAUUUAUAUUAAAAACGUCUUUUAAAGAGAUUUUUUACAAUUUCCAUAUCAAUUGCAUGAUAAAAAAAAUUGAAUUUAUACUAGAAGUAUUUUCUUAAAACACUUUCUUCAAUUUCACAAAAUGCUCCAUCCACUUUUAAUAUAUAUAUAUAUAUAAAAGUCAAUGUAUGAUUAUGCAUUAGUAUCAGUCUAUAUAGCAUGUGCGAUUGAGCCUGUUAGAGAAUUAAAUUCAAGACAUUUAGAACCGAAAGCAUUGUUUGUCAAAGAUAGAUGGUGGAUGAUGACCCAGAAUAUUUUCCUUCUGAUCUAUGAAUGGAUGGAUGAGAAACUCUUCAUGAAUGAAUCCACCUUUGAGAAGAAACGAUGUGGGCAUAUCAGAACAUUAAAGACGGUGUGGCUUUUAGUGAAACUUGGAGUGUUGAUCAUCUUAGAAAAUUGAUUGGAUGAAAUUUCACUGAAACUCCUUUGGAAUCGACUGUGGUCCAGAAUAAAUUAUUUCCUUUGCUUUUGCUUCAAAAUGGACUCCCUUCUCUGCUAAGAGGUUCUUGUUGAAUACAAGUUGACCCAAUUUGUGACAUAUGAAGGAAAGAGUUGAGAAACUGGAAUCAUACCUUGUGAUUGAACUAAAGAUUGUUGCCCAACUCCUAUUGAUCAAAAUGACAGCGUUGGCCCAUUUUGAUAAAUAAAAAAAAACAAUAACCAUCAAGUCAUUGAAAAAGCAAUAUUUCACAUCUAUCCUCGAAGUUCACACUCUACAAAGAGACAAAGGCCCAACCAAGCUAUAGAGAUUUCCAAAAGAUACGGGUGAAAUUAAAUUUUGAUGGAUCCCACAAAGAUGUGGAGAGGACAGUUCCAUCAAGAUGAUUAUCAGAGAUGGGAACUUUUAAACGCAACUCCACCAUGAAUUGUCCUGUCCAAGGGUCACCAUCUUUGUGGUCUCACAAUGGUAUGUAUAUAUAUAUAUAUAUCAAGGCUAUAAAGAAAAGGACAACCCUAUGCUUGCUUAAUGCCAGAUAGAUUUGUCCCUCCCUGUAUAAGGCUAUUCUUGCUUAAUGCCAGAUAUAUAUAUAUAUAUUAUUAUUCGUUGUUUUGUAAACAUAGUCCUAUUAGAUAAGAUUUUAAUUGUAGAGAUAGUAUGGAACUAAUUGCUCAUUACAAAUUAAUUUGUAGUUCAUUCUCACUACAAGUUAAUUGAAAAACACACGGCUUAAUGAGGCUUUGCAAAGGAAAAAGAAAAAAGAAAAUUUUUGUAAUUGAUAACACACAGGCUUUAUAAGGCUUUGCAAAGGAAAAAAGAAAAAAAAUUAAUGAGGCUUUGAAAAGAAAAAAAAAAAAAAAAACUUGAUCGUAAGUUAGAAGGGAGUAUUACAAAGAUAAAUUCCAGCUCAAAAUUGGCUUAGAAAAUUGUAUCUUACAUUUUUGGUAAAUUAAUGAACAAAUUAAAAUUGAGUUGAAAAGGAAUAACAUAGCAAAUUAAAAUGAAAGCCAGCAAUACCAAUUAAAAAUAAUGCAGGAGUGCACACAAACAACUAAUUGGAGAGGAAUACGAAAGACAAGACCACUUGAUAGACAAUAAAGGCGACAAAAAAAUCCCAAUCAACACCACCACUUUCAACUAACAUUUCAAACGAAAGGAGCCAACAAAGACUGAUAGCUGAAAAUAAAAGUCCUGCACAUCAUAUCGAACACAAAAACUUGGUAGUCUGGAGUCUUUCUUAAUAGUUAUUGUGAAAGACCCUAUUGAAAUAUUAUACUAACAGGAAUAAAUAGAAAAUAGGGUAUAUGUAUUUUAUGAGACACCCAUAACAGCAUAGGCUGAUAAUAAUUGUAAUCGAUUUUCUUAGCCUGUUAACAAGCUAUUAUAAGUCUAACCUACAAGGAAGGACUAGUACUGAUGCCGGAAUAAAUAACCCCAAGCACAACUAUGGAGCCUUGACAAUCCAAAUACGCAUAAACCACACUUCUAGCAGGGCCUUAAGCUAUUGUUCUCCAUUUUCUAAUGGCCGGCCCAAUCUCUCUCCCUCUCUACGAAAAGUUGCCCCAGAAGAAUAUAGUCCAGAGAGUGUUGGACGUCACCAUUUUCUUCCUUCUCCUCACUCUCCUUGCUUAUCGUAUCCUCUCCCUCAAAAGCAAUGGCUUCAGUUGGCUUGUGGGUUUUGAUAGAAACAAAGUGUAGAAACUCUCAGGAAGCAACAGAACGUUGAGGAAUCUGAAGUGAUAUAUUUUAUUAAGCUUCAAAGUACUUAUUUAUACAGCUAGCUUAAAACAAAAAAACAUAAAAAAAUAGCAACAAACCUACUACCUAAGAUACUUUCUAAAGAAUAGAAACAAACCAACAAAUACUUACUAAGGAAUAGGUAUAUCUUCCACAUGACUAACUUAUUUGACUACUUUCACUUCAAUCUACUCAGCUCCAUGUCAGCAGCUCCUAGGACAUGUCAUUCAACACUCCUCCUUGUCUCUGGAGCUGCAGACUCCAAGCCUUUGCCUCAAGAACUCAUAUCUAGCUUUGGGAAAUGGCUUGGUUAAGAUAUCAGCAUUCUGACUUUCUGUUUUGCAAUAGACCAAUUGUAUUUCUCCCUCCUUCUGUACCUUUCUUAGGAAAUAGAGUUUCAACUUGAAAUGUUUUGUUUUGCCAUGGAACACCAGAUUAUUUGCAAUUGAAAUUGUAGCUUGGUUGUCUACGAGUAUUUGUGUGCUUUCCUUUUGCUCCAUAAACAAGUCAACCAUCAAUUUUCUGAUCCAGAGAGCUUGAUUCACAGCAACAGUUACAUAUUCUGCUUCUGCUGUGGAUUGAGCUAUGACUUCUUGCUUUUUGGAACACCAUGAAAAAAUAGCAGAACCGAUACCCUAAAGUACUUCUCAUGUCGUCAAUUCAACCUGCCUAAUCACUAUUUGAAUAACCAUGGAGAGUAAAGUUUUUAACUUGACAAAACCUCAUACCAUAGUCAAUUGUACCCUUGACAUAUCUGACAAUUCUUUUUGCUGCUUGAAAGUGAAUUUCACUAGCACGAUGCAUGUACCUUGAGAGUAAACUUACAACAUUCAUAAUAUCUGGUCUAGUUGUCGUUAGGUACAUCAAGCACCCGAUAAUGGUCCUGUAAAGCCUUUCAUCAGCUUUUGUAGCUCCAUCUUCUUUGCAAAACCUCUCAUUUUGAUUCAUUGGAGUUGCACUUGGAUUGCACUCUUCCAUCUUGAACUUUUUCAAGAUUUCCUUGGCAUAUUUCUAUUGACAUAUGAAGAUCUCAUUCUACUUUUGUUGUACCUCCAUGCCAAGAAAGAAUGUCAUCCUCCUAAGAUCAGUCAUCUCAAAAACAUUCUUCAUUUCCUUUAUGAAAUUGUCAAUUUGCUCCAUAUUGCUUCCUGUCACAAGUAGAUCAUCAACGUACAAAGAUACUACAAGUGUUUCAUCACCUUCUUGAAGUAUAGAGUAAAUUCGCUUAGGCUUUUUCUAUGUUGAAUGACAUGCCCUAGGAGCUGUUGACAUGGAGCUGAGUGGAUUGAAGUGGAAGUAGUCAAAUAAGUUAGUCCUGUGGAAGAUUUACCUAUUCCAUAGGAAGUAUUUGUUAGUUUGUUUCUAUUCUUUAGGAAGUAUCUAUAGGUAGCAGGUUUGUUGCUAUUUUUUAUGUUUUUCUGUUUUAAGCUAGCUAUAUAAAUAAGUACUUUGAAGCUUAAUAAAAUAUAUAGUCUAGAGAGUGUUGGACGUCACCAUUUUCUUCUUUCUCCUCACUCUCCUUGCUUAUCGUAUCCUCUCCCUCAAAAGCAAUGGCUUCAGUUGGCUCCUCGCAUUACUCUGAGUCAUGGUUCACCUUUGUUUGGGUUGUUAUACUCAGCUCCAAAUGGAAUCCAGUGGUGUACCGCACAUAUCCAGAACACCUUUUAUUUUGAUAUCUGAAUAAUUGUCUGAGUUCAACUCUUAUCAUUCAUUAAUUUAAUGUGUUACCUCAUAUAUUACCUUUUCUGCUUUGAUAUUUUGCCUUCACUUCUCCAUGUGUAUACAUAUUUCAUAUUGUUUGUCCAAAACUUUAUACUAUGAUUUUCUCAAUAGGCUUGAUGAGCUUCCUCCAGUCGACAUGUUUGUGACAACUGCAGAUCCCACUCUAGAACCGCCUAUCAUCACUGUUUACACAGUCCUCUCCUUGCUAGCAGUUGACUAUCCAGCUAACAAGCUUGCUUGAUAUGUAUCUGAUGAUGGCUGUUCACCUCUCACCUUUUAUGCUCUCCUCGAAGCAUCCAAGUUUGCUAAGCUUUGGGUUCCCCUUUUUAAGAAGUAUGGUAUUCACACAAGAGCUCCCUUUAGAUACUUUUACGAUGAGGAGGAAUCACCCCAUGAUAAUUCAACAGAGUUCAUCCGAGAAUACACAAAGAUGAAGGCGAUUCAAGCAAUUACAUUAAGUAAGACAAAUAAUUUGAGAAAAAAAUAAAAAUUGUCUUUUUAAUUGUAAUUUUUAAAAACCUAGAAAAUCUAAGUUAAACUUUUCAACAAGAGAAAUUUCAAAAAGUGUUUCUAAAGUAAGCAUAUAGGAUUCCUAAAAGAGUUAGGUGGUGUUUGUUUUUUACUUAUUUCUAAAUAGAACCUUAAUGCUUAAUAAUGUUAAAUAUUAUAUUAUUUAUUUUUGUAGUAUUUUAUUUCUAUUAAGUAUUAAAAAGUAAAGAAAAACAAAUAUGUUAUUUUUUCUGUUUAGAAAAAAUUAAGUAUUUUGGUUUUUUUAUUAAAUAAAAAGUUUAUAUUAAGUUAUGAAAAAGUAGAAAAAUAAAUAAUCUAAAUUCUAAAAAUAAAUUAUUUUAAGCAAAAAACCGAAAAAACAAACAUCCUCUUAAAUUUUUAUAUUAAGAAUAGCAAUACUUCUGCAAAACUUUUCAAGAAGUUUUUAAAAAUCCUUUUCAGGUUAGAUAUUGAAUAAUAAAUAAAAAAUUCUUUUCUUUCUCUUUUCAAAUUAUGCCUUUUUUCCUGUCAUGGUAUAUAGCAACAGUUAAAUAAAAACUCCGCAAAUAUUUGCCAUAAGUAUUGUGCAUCCUUUGUUAAACUGUCUUCAUCUCUUUGUAGGAUGAAUAUGAAGUGCUCAGAAGGAAAAUUGAAGAUGCAACCGAAAAGUCCAUACCAUUGUGAUCUUAGUUCUGAAGAGUUUGUUGCUUUCUCAGAUAUAGAAAGGAGAAAUCAUCCCAGUAUCAUCAAGGUAUAUAAAUAUCUCACUUAUUGAUCAUUACUUAAUUUCAAAAUAGACGAUGAAUCUUAAUCUAAUUUCGAGAUUAGAAAGACAGUACAACUAAUUUGUUUUUUGCAUAGAAAUCAAAUGAGUUUUCCAUCAGCCCCAACACACACACUGACAUGUUCAGUGAGUGUGUUAAUUUCUUUUUUCUUUCCUUUUUUUUUUCCUUUAAUUAGAAGAUAUUAUUUAUCAGUGUUUGGAUUAUUUUUAAAAAGACACAACAAAUUUAAAGCCGUAACCUUUUUGUUGACAUGAGAAACCGAAACAGUACUAAACGAAAUAUCACUGGGCAAAUUAAUAGUAUUCCAUAGACGUUCGAUUAGUAAUUAAUGCUGGUGCACUUGCAGCCUAAAAUAGGCUAUUGAUAUCAGAGUACUGUGCUGAAGCUUAUUCAAAUGACCGCCUGAGUAUAUCCCGUUGGACCUUCAUUUCCUCAAUACAUGGCCAAAGAUAAAUUCAAGAAUUAGAUUAGCUAUUGUUUAUGCAAGCAUGAGAUCUUACAUCAUUCUAAAAUCUUAAAGUGAAAGCGAUAUUAUUCUUCCCUACUGAGUAAUAUUACAAUGUGAUGUUCCAUAUCGAAUAAGAGAGAAAGUUUCUAGUACUAUAUAUGUAGAGACUCCUCUUAACCAAAUAGACGCGUUUUAAAGCAAUGAGGGUCUCUUUGGGUCCAAAAUGGACAAUAUCUACAUGGUUGGAUACAGGUUGUUACAAAUGGUAUUAGAACCGAUCCUCGACCUCGGUGUGGGGUUUGUUUGGGUGUUCGUUUGUUUGGCCCCACAAUCCCAUGGGACACAACGAGAACAUUGUGUCUGCAUGGGGGGGGGGGGGGGGGGGGGGGGGUUUUUUAAUUUUUCCCCCGAAAAGGGGAAAAAAUUCCCAACCCCAAAUUUUUAAGGGCCCCCUUUAACCAAAGGACCGUUUUUUAAACCCAAAGAACCCCUUUUGAUUAAAAAAAAAAAAAAUUAACAUGGGGGGGACAGGGGCUUUAAAAAAGGGUUUAAAACCCAUCUUCCCCCCCCGAAUGAAAUUUUUUUGGGCCCCCAACCCCAAAAAAAAAAAAANNNNNNNNNNNNNNNNNNNNNNNNNNNNNNNNNNNNNNNNNNNNNNNNNNNNNNNNNNNNNNNNNNNNNNNNNNNNNNNNNNNNNNNNNNNNNNNNNNNNGGGGGGUGUUUGUGAUGUUCUACAUCGGAUAUGGGAGAAAGUUCCUGACGCUAUAUAUGUAGAGGCUCCUCUUAACCAAGUGACGCGUUUUAAAGCCAUAAGGACUCCUUUGGAUUCAAAGUAGACAAUAUCUACAUGGUUGGAUACAGGUCAUUACAAAUGGUAUUAGAGUCGAUCUUCGACCUCGGUAUGAGAUUUGUUUGGUCCCGCAAUCCCAUAGGACAAAACGAGGACAUUGUGUCUUCAUGGGGGAGUGUUUGUGAUGUCCCACAUCAGAUAGGGGAGAAAGUUCCUAGUACUAUAUAUAUAGAGGUUCCUCUUAAUCAAGUAGACGCGUUUUAAAGCCGUGAAGACCUCUUUGAGUCCAAAGCGGACAAUAUCUACAUGGUUGAGUGUGGGUUGUUACACACAAUCUUUUAUAUCUUUUUCCAUAUAAACAAACAUAUAAGCUUUGCUUCCAGAACCAAUAAUACUACGACCAAAAUGGAGCAUUUAUUGAACAAUUCACACUGAUUUAGAUUGCUUCUUUGUAGGUUAUAUUGGAGAACAAGGAGGGCCUCGUGGAUGGAUUGCCACAUCUAAUCUAUGUAUCCAGAGAGAUGUGCCCAAAGCAUCCGCACCAUUACAAAGCUGGUGCACUGAAUGUUCUGGUAAACAAUUUCCUUGAACUAGUACUAUUCAUACCAUGUCUAGUAUCUAAUUAGUUUUCCCUGGUUGUUUUAUAAACAGACUAGAGUUUCAGGAGCAAUGACAAAUGCUCCUUUCAUCUUGAAUGUAGACUGUGAUAUGUACGCCAACAAUUCACAGAUUGUUUUUCAUGCAAUGUGUUUGCUCCUUGGUUGUAAGAAUGGACAAGACUUUGCAUUUGCUCAAUCUCCACAAAUCUUCCAUGAUGGUUUAAAGGAUGACCCACUCGGAAAUCAACUAGUAGCUACGCAGAAAGUACGUUAAAUAUUCAAAAUCUAAAAAUUGAUCUCUUCCAUACUAUAAAGCACAUGAGCUAUUUUUGGAUGGGAACUGUGAAGAUUUUUUGCUGAUAGAGAAACUUCUUUUGUUUUUCUUAUUAAUAUGUUUCAAUCAGUAUUUGGGUGAAGGAAUAUCAGGGCUUCAAGGACCUUACUAUUCUGGUACUGGAUGUUUUCAUCGGAGAAAAUUUCUCUAUGGGUUAUGGCCAGAUGGCUGCAUGGAAACCGGAGGAAGAAGUCCUAAUUGUGUGGCUGGUAAGAAAAUUAAUCUACUUUUGACAAUCAUCUUUUAUUACAUUUUUCUUCUUGUUUUGUUGGGAUUACAAAUAUUGUAGAAACCUCUGCAUGAUAAUUUUUCUAUACUUUUUGGUAGGCAAAUUAACUGAUGAGGGAUUACGACAAUCUUUUGGACAUUCAAAGGAAUUCUCUAAAACGGUUGAAAGGAUUUUAUCAGGGUUGAGUGGGAAGGCCGAUUGUCCAUAUGAUCUUUCAAGUUCUGCAGAGGCAGCAAACCAAGUUGCAGAUUGUGGCUAUGAGUGUGGCACUAGUUGGGGUACAAAGGUGAGUUGUAAAAUAAUUUGAACAACCAAAAAUGCUUGAAAGCAGAAUGGUUUGGGACUUAAAAGAUUAGGGUUAAAAGGCUUUUACCUAAGAGACUGAACAAAAGACUUCAUAGCAUAUUUUUUCUCUAGAACAAAAUACACCAUUGAUGAAAGUUUAAUGGUAACCUCUAUCACAACAUAGCCAGUAUACAGUAUUUUCGCAAAUUGACGUAUUGGCCAUGCGGGCCGUGAUCUCAGAAUGGUUGGAUAUAUGGAUACACUAGCGAAGACGUUCUUACAGGACUGAAGAUUCAUGCAAGAGGUUGGAGAUCUGCCGAGUGCAAGCCUGAUCCACCUGCAUUUCUCGGCUGUUCUCCCUCAGGAGGACCUGCUUCAUUGACCCAGCAAAAGAGAUGGGUCACAGGCCUCCUCGAGAUCCUGUUCAGCAAGAAUAACCCAUUCAUUGCUACCCUCACUGCCAAGCUCCAAUUCCGCCAAUGCCUCGCAUACAUGUACAUUCUUUCAUGGGGUCUACGGUUGAUUCCUGAGCUUUGCUAUACUGCUUUGCCAGCAUAUUGCAUCAUCGCCAAUUCACAUUUCUUGCCCAAGGUGAGGAGAACCUACAACCUUCCAAUUUCUUCACAUAUCAUAAUUACUUCACUUAGUUUUCUGUGGUCUAUAUAUGCUGGAUUUUCAUUUGACGGUUCUUAUAUAUGAUGGUUAUUUCUCAUAUUUGUCUCAUUCUUGAUCUGAUAAGUCCAUUAUUCUAUGUUGGCAUAUACUUUGGCCUAUUUAUGGAUCAAAAUUGACCUAACAAUGAAAUGUCCAACUCAGAUAUAGUUUUGUGACCCUGGUUUGAUAAAGGUUAAUCUAUGAAAUAAUGUCAAGAUAUCCUAUGGCGACUCGUCAUUUGAAUGGCCAGCUUGACGCCAAGGUAUAGAAGUUAAUAUCAUAAAAAACCGUCUUGAAUGGCUAGCAUUUUGCGCAGGUAUAGAUGUUAACAUAUAUAAUUUGAAUCUAGUUAGUCCAACAUUUGUCAAGACAUAUAUUGGUGGCAAUGAGUCUACAUAUCUUUUGCUUAGACUUAGGCCUUGUUUCUGAUAACUUCUUUCUUCUUUAAGUAGAAGUUGAAUCGAAAUUGAAGUCGAUCGUAAUUCUCCAAGGAUAAUAUUAAUAUAAUAAAAGUUCCAUUAAACAUCAAAUAACUUCUUAUAUAAACUAAAAUAGUACUUCUAUGAGAAAUAAUAUUUUCCUUACUUUCAUUUAAGCUAUCUUAAGUCAUAUAUUCUUUUAACAAAUUCAUAUAAAUGUGUACAAAAGUUUUUAUACAUUGAAAUUUACAAAGAACUUUGGCUUCUCACAAGCCAUUCCAGAUAAAGCCUUAAUAUAUAUGGAAUCCACUUAGAUAAAAGUUACUUAUAGAAUCACCAUCAUCAGCCCAUAUAACGUAUUGAAGUAUUAAUGUUGCCUCUUAGAACAAUCUUGAGUGAACUUGCUUAAAAUAGUUAAUAAAAUUUUAAGUUCAGAAACCUUUUCAUGUAAUAUGUUAACCAAAAGCAUCUCUGGCUCCAAAUCUGUGGAAAAUAGUUUUUGAACUAUAAAUCUUAUUUCUAGUUUAAAGUGUAUAAUUAAUAUAAUUAUAUAAUCUGCAAGGUACUUUUAAAUUAAAUUCUAUCAAGAUCUUAAAAUGUGCAAAUUCAUGCAUGCAUGCAGGUUGAGGGAACCAGCCUUCUUGAUACUAGCAGCUCUCUUUGCCAUUUACAACCUUCACUCUCUACUUGAAUACUGUAGAAUUGGGCUCUCAAUCCGAACAUGGUGGAACAACCAAAGGAUGGGAAGAAUAAUCACCAUGACUGCAUGGUUUUUUGGAUUUUUAAAUGUCAUACUGAAGCUCUUGGGCUUGUUCGAGGCUGUCUUUGAGGUUACACAAAAGAACCAAUCUAGUGCCCCUGGCGAUGACAACCACAAGGAUCUGGUCGAUUCACAUUCAAUGAGUCCCCAAUUUUUGUUCCAGCCACUACUCUUGUGUUGGUGCACCUGGUGGCAAUGGUUAAAGCCCUGUUAAACCUAACUCAUGGAAGGCAUGAAUCAAGGAUAGGAGAGGUGAUAUGUAAUGUGUGGGUGUUGUUAUGCUUCUUACCUUUUCUGAAAGGGCUGUUCAAGAAAGGAAAAUAUGGCAUACCCUCAUCCACCAUAUGCAAAUCAGCAGCAGUUUUUGUGCACUUGUGCAAAAGGGUCUCAAUAGCUUGAGAUAAUGGAUAGAAUACCUUGAGAUAUCUUUGCUAUUUUCAUGUUUUGCAGUACUUCAUAUGAAUAAAAUGGAUUUAAUUUUACAUCAUAGAAUUUAUGUUUCAUGCUCGAUAAUUCUUUGAGUCCCCUAGCGGAAGGACAUUAAAUUUGUAAUAAUCCAUGAGUAUCAGGAAUCAAACACAAGAAAGAUGCGUAAGGCUAGUUGAGAGGGGUGUAGAAGUCGAAGCUUAUGUGUGGUCUGAUAGUGGAGAUUUUCUAAAAGCAAGAUAAAACAAAACAAGAGUUGGUGAUGUAAACAUUGAUACCAUCAACAUUGAUAUCCAUUUUUAGGGAUAUGAUUGUACAAGGUGCUAUUGCAGUGAAAAAAAUCCCUAUAAUGGACAAUCUUGGAUAAAUGAUGACUAAGUUUGUUAUUACAAUUAAGUUUAUAUAUUGCUUAAACUUAAUUGGUAUUAGUAGCAUCUAUAGACCAUUUGAGGGUGUGGAAGUGAAGUAACUUGGAAGACUUUUCAGUUUGUUUGAACCUUGGGAAUUUGAGCCAAGGUAGAAAUUGUUGAAAAGUGUCUCAAAUUUUAUUUUUGAGUUAAUUGGAAAGUUAUAAAUAGUUUCCUGAUAAAAAAAUAUUCUUGUAAGUGGGUUUCCUAUUAUUAUAAAGGAAAUAUCCUAUUGCGAGAUCUUCUUUUAGGAAAAAACAUCUUUGAAAAUUAUUCAUUUAGUUUCUUAUAUGGAAUCUUUCUAUAUAACUAGGAAAAUAUAUAUAGGAAGAGAUUUUGACCAAAAUAAAGAGUCUCUUUUUGGGUGUAAUUGGGACUUUAAGAUUUGAGAGCUCUAAAUUGAAGAUUUCUAAAACAUCAGAAGAUUCCAAGCAUAACAAACUAGUACUAAAGCUUUUGCUGACACAACAAUUAAAAGGAGAGCAAACAAGCAAAUGGGUUUUGGUGGAAAAUAUAUAUGUGCUUAGUAUUUUGAUGAGAACUUGUGAUAAGGUGUAAGUCACUAUAUUCAAAAUCAAAAUACCAACUUUAAUCUUUAAUUAUUGCUUUCAUUAACUUCUUAAUUUUUAAUUACAUAAAUUUCAAUAACAUGAGGAGAUGAUGAACAUACAUAUAGAUUUUUUGCAAUGUUAUUUCUUUGGUUAACUUCUUAAUUUUUAAUUACAUAAAUUUCAAUGACGCCAUGGUGAAAGUGUAUAUAGAUUUGUAUGAAACAUUGCAAAAUUCUUUGCUAUUUAUUUUGUGCUAACUUAGAAAGAUCAAUUACAAUUCAAUUACUAUAGUUCUCAUAGAAAGCUAUUUCUUUGAAAUUAAUCUUCAAGUAAUUAUGACAGAAUAAAUUUCUCUAAAAUUAACUCUUGACCAAAGUAUAUAAUCUUACUAUUAAUACGUAGAUAGAUAUGAAGAAAGUCUUAAGAUGAUAUUAUUAAAUGACAUUUUUACCUAUGAUUCUCAAUAAAAAUAAAAAUAAAAAUGAUUUUUAAGAUAAAGGAAAAUAUUACUAAUAGUUGAAAUAUUAGAUAAAAGUAUAUCAUUAAAAUUCAAAAUUAUUUGACAUUUUUACCUAUGAUAACAAAAAAUAAUUUCCAUAGUAAGUGGAAUAUUAUUUACAAUUAAUCUAGCAAAAUAGAAGUAUAUAACAACUACAAUAGAAUGAUUACUAUUACCAUUCAUUGUAAAAAUGGGUUUAAAUUGAGAAUACAUGAACAUGGAACCACACACAGAUAAAUGUGAUUCAAUAAUUAGUUUUGAUAUCAUUUCCACAACAAUAAAAUAAAGUGAUAUUACUGGACAUUUACUUAAAUAAAACUAUAUUUUUUAAUAUUUUCUAUAUUAUAAAGUGACUAAUACAUUUUAUAUAUUUUAUAUAAUCAUCUUACUAUGAUAAAAAUUUAUGACAUAUAUUUAAGAGUAUAAAAGUACGGCUGUAGAUUUUUUUUUUUUAAUUAUUUUUCUUGUUUUACUUUUUAUGUUUGUCUUUUUUAUGUCACAAUAUUGAGGUGUGAUGGCCUUUAUUUUUUAUGUAUCAUUAAUUUUUUAGUUUUUCACAUUCUUGAAAACCUUUUAUUUAAUAAAAUAGUUAAAUUCUCACUAUCUAAAAAUAUUUUUUUUAUAAAUUAUUAGCUUUAAAUUAAUUUAUUAAUUAUAUUUCACUAUCAUUUGAUGUUUGUUGCAUAAAUAAAAUGAUAAUCUGGGUCAUGGGACCAUCAAAAUAAAAAUACGUUUAUAAACUCUAAUCUCUUUUAAUAUUUCAAUUUGAAAUAGAAACUCUUAAAUUUGUGUGUAUUUGGAUAAAUUUAUCUCUUAAAGGACUUUUUGCAAAAGCGUUAUGUGGCGAUGUGCACUUGCAAUGAUAAAAGGUCAAAUAUUGAUGUAAUUUUAAGGUAAUUGUAUAUCAUUAAGUUAUUUUUUAUUAUGUGUUAUUAGUUAUAAAACACACAUAUGUUCUAAUAUGUCUAAGGGUCUCCAAAAAGCCCGCGGGCCGCGGCCCGGCCCGACGGGCUAAAGCCCGGCCCAAGCCCGGCCCGAGCCCGUUUAUGGGCGGGCCGGGCCGCGGGCCUAAAUUUAGGCCCGACGAGCCGGCCCAGCUCGGCCCGUAGGCCCGCCUUUAAUUUUUUUUUAAAAAAUAAUAUACUUUAUUUUUAUAUAUAUAUAAGUAAUUCAUUUAAUAAGUACAAAAGGAAUGUAGCUUAAUUGGUUAUAGCCUUAAAAUUUAAGCUUGAGGGGAGGGGUUCGAAUCCCUCCUUCUCCCUUCCUUUAUUUAAAAGCCAUUUUGGCUUAUUUAAAAAAGCCCGCGGCCCGGCCCGCUGGCCCGGCCCGCCCAGCCCGGCCCGCCCAGCCCGUCCCCCAGCCCGCCAGCCCACUAGCCCGUGGGCUUAUAGGCCGGGCCGCGGGCCUAGCAUUUUAGCUCGGCCCGGCCCGGCCCGCCCGUUGGAGACCCUUAAAUAUGUCAAACUAAAAGUGAAAAUGAUCAAUAAAUAUAUUUGACUUAUUAAUUAAGUUUCAAAUUUCAGGAGAAAAAAAUAUAAGAAAAGUAAAGCGAGGGAUAGGAUAUAUGAAUAGGUCUAAGCCUUUAUAUGUUCGACGGAAUGCAAACACCAAUAAAUAAUAUUAGAUACAACAUAAAUGUUAUAUUUAAAAUAAUAAUUGAUUUUAUUUUAAUAUAAUUCUAAAUCAUUAUUAUAAAUAAUAAAAUAAAUUACUAAUAAUCAUAACAAUUUCAUAUUGUAUUACAAUAAUUAAUUAUAUAUAAAUAAUUUACAACCUUUUACUAUUUCAUUUUGAAUGUAACCAUUCUUGUAUAGAAGUUUCAUGACUAACAUAGACCUCAAUUAGAUGCAAAAUCAAUUUUUAAAAAAAAAGUUUAAUAUAUUUUACCCCCUCAGUCUAUCUCAUGUUUUACACAUUUCCCUUUUAGGUUUAAAAUCAAACAUAUUGAACCACAAACUUCUUAAAUUGCAACACUCUAUCUUUUUUGUUGGAUGGUAUUAGUUUAAAUGGACAAAAAUCUCACGUGUUGUGCACAUGACUAACUAAUGAAGGGUAGACGUGUAAAUUCCCAAACCCAAAAAUCCCUAAACAGCUCUUCCUCUCUCAAUCUUCAUCUUUGUUUUCGUUUGUAACACAUUGCACCCCUAGUCCUUUUUUUUUUUUUUUUUUUUGACAAUAAUGCUUAGUCACAAAAAAUAAUAACUCUUUUACUUUCUUAUAACAUAUUUUAGAACAACUAUUCUAAAAUCUCAAAUUAUUUGUAUGUGUGUAUAUGUACUUUUCUUAUAAAAUUUUUUACAUCACAAGUGAUUAAACCACACAAAUUUAUAAUAGAUAUAGGAUUAUUGUUUUUUUUUACAUAUAUAAUACAUCACAUAUGUAUUUACUAUUAUAGUAUAUAAUAUUUAAUCAUGAAAAAUUAAAUAGAUAAAUAAAAAUGAUAUUAGAGAUUUAUAUCUAUUUCAUGAUGAAUAAAUAUCAUGGUAAUAGCAUUUGUUAUUUUGCAAUGAUAAAAGUUAAAACUUAGGAAAAUUUAAAAUUUGAUUUUUCAUUUUUGACAUAAACAAUUUUAUUUUAAAUUUAAAAUCUUCGUUUCUUUGACAUUUCUUUUUCUUUUUUAAAGAUAAUAAUGUUUGUAUGCAAAUAAGAAUUGAUAACGAAUGAAAAUUAACUUGAAAUCUUAAUUUCUUUUCUCAAUCUUUUACUGUUUUAUCGAUAUAAUUAUGGAAAAUAAUUUUAAUUUGAGAUGAAUGUAAAGAUAGUUUUAAUUUUGAAUUCAAUUAAAAGUACAAUAUAUCUUUUUUAACAUCAAGUGGUUUAUAGAUGAGAUGACAAAAAAAAGUGGUUAGAGGGUGAAAUAUCAUGAGCUCAAAUCAUAACAAUUACAAGUUAAUACUAUGAUCAUUAAAGGGUUAAAAUGUCUUCCCUAUAAACCUAAGAUAGGUGUUGGGACAGUUGUUAUGACUUUAGAAAUUGAUUCAACCAUAAAACAUUCCUAAAGCAUAAACAAUAAAUUAUCAUUAAAAAAUCUUUUAUCACAAAACUAGAUAAAACAUGACCAAUAAUUUAUUAUUAAAAAAUCUUUAGCAAUAAAACUAGAUUUGUCACUAAAGAUAUCUCUUUUGUGAUGAAAACUUUUGUCAAAAAGAAUAUGGAUUUUGUGAUGAAACUAUAUAAUUGUCAAAAAAAAAAAAAAAUUAAUGACAAAAUGGUAUGAUCUAAUGGCAAAAUUAUUUUAUUUUCUAUAAUUUUUUAUUUAUUUAUUUGCAUCAUAAAAUUGUGAUAUUCCAUGACAAUUCCAAUUUCAUCACCAAAACUUAAUAUUUUAUGACGAAAUAGAAGAUUUGUAAAUCAUGAAUUUUAGUGACAAGCUUUUGUCAAUGAACCUUGUCACAAAAAAAUUUCUUACAAUACCCUAUUAGUGACAAAUUAUUGUUUAUUUAUGACAAACACUUUUGUGGCAAAAACUAAUAUUUGUUGUAGUGCACAGAAUAAAGUCGCAUACCUCUAAAGAGGUUUAUAUAGGCUUCCCUGUGGACUUAAGUAAUUUGAAUCCAUGUUGGGUUUGAGCCACUAAUCUAACCUACUUGGGUCAUAAUUAAUGAAGUAACCAUAUUUGGCUCCAAUAAAUUAAUCAACCUAGUCCAAAAAGACCAUGCAUGCUCUUUUGCACAACCUUUUAUUUUUACCAAAAUGUCUUUAUGCACAUAUGUUAACAAGGAACCUAAAUAUCCCUUAAUAAAUUUGUCAUCAAGGAAUAUGACUUAAGUGAUGCCCAUAAGGACCCAUAAGAAAAUAUUGGCUUCCUCAUAAUUAGAUUUUUAAGUUGACCAACACGUCGCAACAGAUAAUCAACUACACUCUAGUAUUCAUAAUCUAACAAGGUAUACGUUAUCAAUCUCUCAAGAUUAUCUUUUCAAUCAUUGAGAUUCAAAUUCUCCUAUUAUGUGAUCAAUUGACAUAGUCUAGCUCUCCAAGAGUAUACAUCGAAUUCAAAUUAAGAAAUUACUAUGAUGAUAGUUUUAUUGAUCACAUGUUCUUAGGAUCACUCAAACACUAUAAUAAAUAUCAAUUUUUAUCAUGAAAGUGAUUGUCAUAGAUAAACAAUAAUUUGUACUAUUAGUGCAUUAUGACAAAAAAAAUAAUAAUUUGUCAUUAGGUUUGUAGACACAGUCGCAUCAAUGAAAGUUAUGAUCCGCAAAUUUUCUGUUUCAUCAUGAAAAAUUAAGUGUUGGUGGUGAAAUUAGAACUGUCAUUGAAUAAUCACAUUUUAUGAUGUGGAAAAUCGUCAUAGAAAAUAACAAUUUUUUUCACUAGAUCCUACCAUUUUUUCACUAAAAGAUAUAUUUUUUGUGAAAAAAAAUGAUAUAAUUUUGUCACCAAACAUAUAUUUUUAUGAAAAAAGCGUUCAUCAUGAAAGAGGUAUCUUUAGUGACAAAUAUAAUUUUGUAGCAAAAGAUUUCUUUUGAUGAUAAUUUAUUGUUAUCACUUUGGAAUAUUUUAUAAAGCUCGAGUCAAUUUCUAAAUUCAAGAUGUUAAUAUUAACUUGCGAUUCUUGUGAUUUGAACUCAUGACCUUUCACUCUAAAAACACUUAUUUUAACCAUAUCAUCGAUAAACCAAUUGAUGUUUAAAAAUGUAUUCUAUAUUUUUAAUUGAAUUCAAAAUUAUAAAUAUUUAUACAUUAAUCUUAAAUUAGGAUUAUUUUGCAUAUUCAUAUUAAUGAGGUAAUAAAAGGUUGAGAAAAAAAAAAUAAAGAUUGCAAAUCAAAUUUCAUAAAAUUAUCAAUUCUUAUUUGCAUACAAACAUUAUUAUCUUUAAAAAAUGCUAUGAAUAUGGAACUAACUGGGGUACAAAAGUGAGUUGCAAAUAAUUAGGACAACAAGAAUAGUACCUUAAUAAAAUCCACGCGUCCUCUUUUACCUUUUGUUUAUUACUUUUUCAUUAAAUAGGGAAUUAUUUUUUUGAAAAAAAAAAUGUUCACUAAAAGUUACAUCAACUCUACUAUGGGCCACUCUAUAAUGGUUUUUGCUUCCUGAUGUUUUGGAUACAACAAUGUAAGAUCAAACUGGUUGGCUCUAUGGAUCCACAACAGAAGACAUCCUCACAGGAAUGAGGAUACAUUCAAAAGGUUGAAAAUCCAUUUGAAUUCUUUCAUGGGGUCUACAGUCAAUUCCCGAGCUUUGCCAGCAUAUUGCAUCAUGGUCGGCUCACAUUUCUUACCUAAGGAGAUGAAAACAAAAACCAUUUAGCUUUCUACAUAAAUAACAUUCUUACUUCACCAACCGUUGUUUUAUUAUCAUUUGAUGGUCCUAUUGAAAAUAACUUAAUUCUAAAUAUUUUCUACUUUAAAAAUGUAACUGGCCACCAUACCUAAAAUCUCAAGCUAGUAAUGUAAAAAAAAUGUGCCCAAUGAUGUAGGUCCAAGAGCUAGCUGUGUUGAUACCAAUAUCUCUCUUUGUCAGUUACAACUUUGACACUAUUGGAACAUAGUAGGGUUGGGCUUUCAAUCCGAGCAUGCUGGAACAACUUAAGGAUGGGGAGAAUAACCCUAGUGACUUCAUGGUUAUUUUGAUUUUUCAGUGUCAUUCUAAAACUCCUGGGUUGUUGGAGACCGUCUUUGAAGUUACAAAAAAGGAUGUUGGCGGGUUCACCUUUUAUGGGUCCCUGAUUUUUGUUCCAGCCACUACUCUUGUGUUGUUGCAUAUGGUAGCAGUGGUUGUUGUUGAUACCUAGUCAAUGGAGAAUUGAUUCCUUCUUCGAAGUGACAGUGGAAGCUUCUAUUCAAACACUAGAAUCUGGACUUCCUGCUUUCCUGCACAAAGAUGUUCAAACGGGUUGUUUGGACACACCCUCCGAAGCUUAAGUCAGAUUGGAAGCCCUUAGAGAGAGAGAAAGAGAGAGUUGGUUCGAGAACUUAUCUCCUCCCCCUGUUUUAUUGUAGUAGGGUUUUUAUAAUGUUCCGCGGUGAAAAGAGGGCUCAGCGGUGCUGAGUUAGCCCUGGUAAUGAAGAUUGCAUAGUAGUGAUAGGGCAAUCAUUACAUUUAUAGGGCAAUUGGGGGCUAUGUUAGGCAGCACGUCAUGAUAUAGCUUGUCAUUCCUCCAACCUUGCACCUAUCGAGGUAGACGUAAGGAUGAGAAGAGUCCCAUCAGUCAAUCUGGUGUUAGUUGGGCAGGGUCUAGCAUAUCAGAAAAGAUUUGAGGCUAUCAAAGAGGUGAGGGUUGCUUGGCAGCGCAAAUGAUCUAGGCAAGAUGCCCCAGAGUACCUUGAAGGUUGUCCGAACAAUGAUGAAAGAUGUGACAUGUGGCCUAACCGAAAGAAUGACACGUGGAUAGACACGUGGAAGUAUUCGUGGGUGGACACGUGGGAUAAGGUCCCUACAAUGCCCUCUUCAACACUUGCACUUGUGUCCGGGCAAGAAUGGAUGGGUUGAAACUGUCCUCUGGAGUCCCCCAGUGUGAGUAUGACACAUGUCAACCAUUUAUUGGGGGACACUUCCUCAGAGGCGUUCUGCUAGGUGGCGUGUCGCUUCGGGUUAUACAGUUUGAUGGCUAUCUUUUAGGAUCCCUAGGGUUUUGGUUCCUUAUAAAUAAGGAAACCUUAAGCCUUUUGGGUUUUUACUUGGACGUUUUUUAUUCUAAAAGCUUUUCCUUAUGCCAUUACCCUUCUGUAUUCUGUGUUUUCUGGUCACCGUCGUUCUAUCGCCCUUUCAUUCAUUAUCUCGGACAUCUCUUGCAUCUUGUUCUAUAGCGACUCCAGUGGCUGUUCAACUUCUCGAUAGCCUCGUCAUUUUCACCAGUUUUGGUUCAGAAGGCGUAUCUUUUUCCAGCAGUGGUCCUUGAGACUUGUGGUAAGAUUUCUUUCCCAUAUUGGUUCUCUGUCUUUUCUAUUUGAUUGGUUGUAGUUAGGGAUUUGUUGGAUUUUGCACUGUUUGUUUGGUAGUGGUGUAUAGAAUGAAUUAUGCGUAGUUCUUUUCUAGUGAGAGAGGCCAUUGUUGGAGAUUAAUGUGGUCCUAAUAGGAUUGAGAGUGUUGUAGUUGGGUCAUGGUCAAAUGGGGAGAUCCUUGGAUGGGGUCUAUCCUAUAGGUUGAGCUCAGGCUCUGCCCGGUUACAGGCUUUGAACAAGUGUAGGUUGGCCUUUAUACAUCUAAGGCAUUGUUUUGAGAACAGGAGGGUUGGGUGACUACUCUUUAAUAUUCGGUCCUUGUGCUGUGCAGGUUCUACUCGGCCCACCAUAUUAGAAUGGCAUCUCGAGGGGGUGACACUUCUACCAAUGCGACUGGUAAGGACAAGAAGAAUGUUCGACCAAGAGAAGUUGUCGGACGAACACAGUCGAGGAAGUCUAUUGAACAACUUAAUGUACGGGAGUUCAGGGAGCGCUUUCGUACUCCGAUUAGCAUUCUGAUUCGUUUUUUGAGUAGUGACCCAGUGUCAACCAAGCAGGAGCCCGAUGCCAUUGUUUUUAGUAAGGAGCACUUCAACGUCAGGUUUCAAUUCCCUCUCAUUUCCCUGUUCAAGCAGUUUCUUCACUUCACCAAGAUUCCUCCAGUCUUCCUCCACCCAAACGUAAUUAGGGUACUGAUGGGGUGUAGCAUUCUGAGUAUGCCAUACCAUUUGGACCUUUUCUUACUAGAGGUCCUAUUUAUCUACACCAUCAAGAUAAGCGGAAAGAAAAUUUUUAGCUUAUUUUCUCAUAUUCCAUCUCUUCAACUGGUGACCAGACUCCCAGAUUCCACCAAGAGAGCAACUAAAGGAUGUGUUGUUGUUUCAGGCCCUUGGUUGGCCCAUAUGAGCAUCUAGAUAACCCAUUUGAGCCUCGUUGUUCGUUAGGGAUUUUGGGUAUAGUAAACCGUCGUACUCUUGCUUUGUAAUUCAUAAUUAUAGGAUUGCUGCUAACGUACAUUAUCUGGUGUACUAUAGAAAAGAUGAGGAGAGGUCGACUGGUAGAGUGGGUGGACAAGACUUUUUUUCGACCGGCUGAACAAAUUAUUCAUGAUUUCUGCUAGAAAACGGAAUCAUGAGACUCUAUUGAUUGAAGAAAAUUUACUGAAAUUGGUUCGAGAUCCGGUGUCAUACUUCAUUUCUUCCUCUCUUCCACAUUUUGCACCCAGAGUGGUGGUGCCCAACAAACAUUAUGUGGUGAAUGAUCUUCCUUUUUAUGCAGAGGCCCGGGCAACACACAAGAGGAAAAUGCUGGACCGGUUUGCCCAAAGAGAGAAGAAACACUAAGAUGGGACUCUGAGACAAGCUCUGGGUAGGAUUCAUCCAACCACCAGUUCUAUUGCUCGUCCUCCUCCUAAGAAGAAGUCCUUUCUUCAGCCUGCCGAGAAGACCUUGGAUUUAUCUCCGCUCACAUCCUCUCAUUUGUCUCCUUCAUCCUUAGCAAAGGUUGGCGUCGAUCAAGGCUCAUCCGACUCGCCUUCUGUGGGGGUCAGUUCGGACCAGGAGAUUGAGCCAACUGUGUCCUUCAUCAACCUAGAGCCAGAAGAAGAAGAAGAAACAGAAGAUAUGGCUCCAAAUCUGAGGGUCGGCUUCAAGGAAAGGCAUUGUAAGCGCAUAUUCAAGGCACUUCUGGCCAUACUCCUGCCUGUUAAGAAAAGUCGUCCGGAGGCCUCUCGUGAGGAAUCGGCUCCGGACACUCCUACGGGGCAUGUGCCCCCUUUUGAAGCAGCCCAACCCUACUUAGAGUUAAUAGUGGGGCCUCCUUCAGAUGACGCUUGUCUAGUAGGAGACGAGGUUCCUACAGCUGCUCCGAGCAGCAAAAAUAAGGGAAAAGAGGCUUUGGCUAUUCCUUCGAGCUAGGAGGAUGUCGUAACGUUACUAAAGACAGUUCCCUACUUUACGACGCUUGAGCUCCUAACUUUAGGCAUGAACGAAUUCUUUCCAUUAUCUCAUCGCCAUUUCGUCAACCUAGGCGGCAUCCCUCAUAUGGUCGGCAUGGUUUAACCCUCAUAUGUUGUUCUAGACUUUGAACUUCGAUGCACUUAUCUUCUGCUGAAGUACACUACUGAAGAGAUGGUGAAAGUGGUAGGCUUUAUUCUUCUUCAGCCCAAGUUUGCCUAAUCAUUCUGGUUCUGACAUCUAUUUUACUAUUGUUUCAAGGAGAUGGCUGCUAUUCAUAACUUGAUGCGAUAGUGAAGCUCACUUCUCAAAUGGUUAGAGAUUGCGGAGAGUAUGCCGGUAUUUCUUACCCAACAGGUAGAUACCAAUGAAGAACUCCACUCUCAACUUGGUCGGGUAUAGAGCGAGUUGGUCGCAGCUCGGAUAGCAACCGUUGAUAUAGAGAAAGGUAUGAGGCGGCUACAAGAGGAGACAUAGGCGGCGAAGUCUAAGGCUUGCCGGAUGGAAGAGGAAAAAGACGCUGUAGAGGCCAAAUGCAAAGGCGCUGAGCAAGAGAGUGAUCACUUGAAGAAGGAGCUCGAAGAGUUUUAGGCAGCCUCCGAGGCUCAAAAGAAACAACUUGAGGAGCUUCGAGUCGGAUUCACUACUGAGAAGGAGGCACUAACUAAAGAUUAUCAGAAGUAGGUGGAUGAGAUGUUCUUAUUCGGCUAUCAGUGCUGCUUGAGGAAGAACGACAUCACGCAAGACAUCCCCACCUAUCCUUCGGAUUACGAGGAAGACACAGUAGUAAGUGGUCCCACCCUAGGAGAUAAAGAUACGGAUGCUCCUGGUCCCUUUACUGGGCAAUGACUUUCAUAUUUUUCAUUUCUUCCAUCCGAACUUGUAAUGAAUUUUUCAUUUAUCGAUAUACACAUUCCACGCUUGGAGCAGGGGUGUUAUGUCUAGCAUUUACAGAUAGUAAGCCCCUGAAUCUCCAGCUUCAGAUACAAUGUAAGGUCCUUCCUAAUUUUCUUGGAGCUUCCCGACUUCCUGUUCAGCCGUAUUCUCAAAGACUUUUUUUAGGACAAGAGUCCCAACCAUGAAGGUAUGUAGUCGGACCUUCCAAUUGUAGUGGGCAACAACUCGUUGCUGGUAAGACGCCAUCUAGAUGGCUACGUUCCCUCUUGCUUCAUCUGCCCAAUCUAGGUGUCUUUCAAGUUCCGUACAUUCGUUUCUCUGGCCUUGAAUGGUAAUCCGAGCUGUGGGCAUGCCUAUCUCUAUUAGGAUAAUCGCAUCCAUCCCAUAGGGUAGGGCAAAAGAGGUGGUUCCCAUUGGUCGUCCGGGUGUUGUCCGAUAGGCCCACAAGACUCUAGGCAGUUCAUCAACCCACAUUCUUUUGGCUUUCUCCAACAAUUUCUUUAGUGCAGAAAGCAGAGUCUUGUUUGUUGCUUUUACUUGCCCGUUGCUUUGAGGAUACCGAGGAAUGGAAUACAAGUUUUUGAUUUUCAGCUUUGAGCAUAAGGUUCUGAAGGCAAUGCUAUCAAACCGUGGCCAAUUAUUAGCUAUAAUUGCCUAUGGGAUUCCAAAUCGGCAAAUGAUGUUUUUCCAAAGAAACUCGGAAACGUAUUUGUCUUUGAUGGUGGCAUAUGCUUCUACUUCUACCCAUUUGUUGAAGUAAUCAGUGGCUAUAAGCAAAAACUUUUUCUACGCAACAGCGAUGGAUAGGGGCCCCACUAUGUUCAUUCCCCAUUGCGCAAAGGGUCAAGGGCUUGUGACCGGAUUUAGGUCAUCAAAGGGCAUGUGGGGAAUGGGAGCGUGCCUUUGGCACCGAUCACACCUCUUGACAUAGUUCGCAGCACCUUGUUUCAUGGUAGGCCAAUAGUAUCCUUGUGAAUGAGCGUGAUGUGCUAAGGUUUGUCCCCCUGCGUGAUUGCCACAUACGCCUUCAUGUAGCUUUGUCAACACAUACUGUGUCUUCAUGUUGUUUAAGCAUCUGAGGUACGAACCUCUAAAGGAUUUCUUGUAGAGGAUAUCCCCAAUCAAAGUGAAGCGGGCUGCUUGCACUCGUAUGUUAUGAGUCUGCUUACUUUCUUCAAGAAGACUUUCGGUCCGGAGAUAUGUCUCAAUUUUGUUCAUCCAGCCAACGCUUACUUCAUUAGUGGAGCACACAGAUGCGACAACUAUGGAUGACGUAUCCUGGAUGUAGAUGGCCAGUAACAUUGCUUUUUCACAAGGAGAGUAGCUACUAUUCCAACUAAGGCGUCUGCCUAGGUGUUUUCUGAGCGGGAGAUUCUCUUGGUGACCCAUUUGUUCAAUUUGUCCAAGCUAGUUUGUACAUUUGAAAGGUACCAAGCCAUGCGCUCGUCCUUAGCUUCAUAUUCUCCUUGAAUUUACCUAACAACUAGCUAGGAGUCACUGCGUAUUUCGAGCUUGGAUGCUAACAAAGUUAGAGCAAGGCUAAGUCUAGCGAGGAUUGCUUCAUACUCGGCCUCAUUAUUAGAGACUAGGAAUCCAAGCCAAAUAGCCUACUCCAAUUGCUCUCCGAUUGGGGAUUGCAAGAGGAGACCCAUUCUGGAUCUUAAGGCUUAGGAUACCUCGUCGAUGUGCAAUAUCCACCACCUCUUUUCAGGAUAGUUUGCACCAUGAUGAGGUUUUUGGGGUGUUUCAGCUAUGAAGUCAACCAUGACCCGUCCUUUCAUUGCCAGCCUAGGUUAAUACUUGAUUCCAUACUCACUUAGUUUAAUGGCCUACCUUAACCGUCUCCUGGAUAGGUCUGGUUUGUGCAGAAUGUUUCUGAGGAGUUGAUUUGUGAGUAUAAUCACUUGAUGAGCUUGAAAGCAAGGGCGGAGGUUUCGCGCAACACUCCUCAAGGCUAAGGCUGUUUGUUCUAUUUUCGAAUACCAGGUUUCUGCGUCAACCAUUGUUUUGCUUACGUAGUAGACGAACCUUUGCUCCUUGUCAUCUACGCAGCGGAAUAGAACAACACUGACAACACAAUCAGAUACUGCUAAGUACAUAUAUAAUUGCUCACCAGGUCGAGGACUGAUUAGAAUGGGUGGGUGAGUGAGAUAGCGUUUAAUCUUCUCGAAUGUUAGCUCGUAGUUAGUUGUCCACCCUACCGUGCUAGUUCAUUUCAGUGUGAGGAAGAAGAGCCUUAACUUGUUUGUAAAUCAGGCUAUGAAGCCUCCUAAUGUAGCCAGACGGCCUAUGAGGCGUUGUAGCUCCUUUUUGCAACUUGGGACAGAUGUUUCCAUGAUACCUUUAAUUUGGUAUCGAUUGGCCUCUAUGCCUUGUGUAACCAUGAACCCUAAAAUCUUGUCUACACUAACCCCAAAUGCGCAUUUGGCCGGAUUAAGUUUCAUAUUGUACCAUUUCAUCAAGUGAAAGAUUUCUUCUAAAUGCUAGGCAUGCUCAAUCCUGGUCCUGUUCUUCACCACAAUGUUUUCAAUAUACACCUCUAUCGUGCGUUUGAUUAAAGGUUUGAAGAUCUUCGUCAUCAACCGUUGGUAAGUGGUCCCAACAUUCUUGAGUCCAAAUGACACGACUUUGUAGCAAAAGAGUCUGUGUGGCAUUAUGAAGACGGUUUUCUCUUCAUUUGGUUGAUACAUAGGGAUUUGGUGGUACAAAAAAAAAACGUCCAGGAAGGAGAGCAUUCCAUGUCCGGCAGUUGAGUCAACUAUUUGGUCUAUUCAUGGUAAUGGGAAGCUAUCUUUUGGGUAGGCAUCAUUCAAGUUGGUGUAAUCGACACAGACCCGCCAUUUGCCUUAUUUUUUCGGGACAACCACUACAUUCGCCAACCACUCUGGAUACUCUAUUUCCCUGAUGAAUCCAACCGCCAGUAACUUUUCUACCUCGACUUGGAUGAAUUUUUGCCUAUCCGAGUGGAAGCAUUGGACCUUCUGGCAAAUAGGUCGUGAGGAAGGGACAACAUUGAGUCGAUAUAAGGCUAUUGAUGGAUGAAUGGAUUUCGAGCAUAUCGAAAUGGGUCCAUGUGAAGACACCUUUAUUACGCUAAAGUACCUCUAUGAGAGCUCUUACUUCUUCCGUCAUGAAGAGUGAGCUAAAAUAGGUGAAGUGAUCAUUUUCUUUUAAGAGAUGUAUGAUCUACAGGGGGUCGGCUGUUAGCAAAUCUCUUUCCACCGAGCACUAUAAUUGCUAUUGUUCCUUUGUACUAGUUGGUUCAGUAGGAGGCUUAGGAACACUUGUGGACCCGAAUUCUCAUGUUACUUGGUAACAUUGUCAUGCCGCUAAUUGGCUUCCAAAAAGGUUAACCUGUCCAUCCUCAGUCAAGUAGCUCACUAUUUGGUGAUAUGUGGAGGGGAUGACCUUCAUGCCAUGCAACCAUGUGCGUCCCAUGAUGGCGUUGAAAUGGGACAAGUCUUCUAUGAUUGAUAACAGCACAUUGAGGACCACUAGCUCAACUUGGACAAGUAGCACGACAUAUCCCAGAGAUGUCGUUGACACUCCAUUGAAUCCUAACAGUAUCUGUCCGGGAUUUUCUAAAGCGAAUGGUGAGAACCCCAUUUGUUAGAACGCGGACAUCUGUAACAAGUCGGCUGAGCUGCCUGGAUCAACUAAGAUCCGCCUUACAUCGAAAUCAUUGAUUCCCAACGUCAUGAUGAGGGCGUCUUGAUGCAAAUGUAAUACCCGAUUGGGGUCUACUAGGGGAAAAGUGAUUGUCCCAUCUAUUAGGCGUACCCCCCCUUCAGUCAAUCAUGGUUGGAUUGAGUUAAUCCGUUCUCGUAUGGAGGCGGCUCGGAGCAACCUUUGUCUCUUCCGCUUAGAGUUGUAUUCCUCAUCGACGGGCCCUCCAUGGAUGUAAUUGAUCAUGGCUCUAGGAGUUGCUGAAGUUGUAGGGGUUUGAGCAUCCGGAUCUUGGUUUGUCUGUGCUCGUCUCCUUUUUGAGCAGACGUACUGCUUUAGGUGUCCGACUCUUACCAGUUUUUCCAGUAGGUAAUGGAGACUUCUGCAUUGCUCCAUGGUGUGGUCAUGUUCCUUAUGGCAAGCACACUUUCUACUCCAAUCCCGCUUAGUAGGAUCCGUCUUGAUGGUUUCUAGCCAUCUAAAAUCAGCCAGAUCCCGGAUCAAAGGGAAGAGCUUGUCGUAUGAAAUGUUGAGGGGGGUGAGGCUGGCUUGGCUUGACUAAUGUCGUCCGCCUUACCCUCUUCCUACCUACCUUCGUUGGCUUGUAGUCUUAGAGCCCUUGGGUGAGUCAUUCCUAGCAAGUUGACUGGUGACCAGAACCUGCUGGGUAGCUGCACGGACAUCGUCUUUGAGCAUGGAGUACUUGUUUACUCGUCUGAAUAGAUCGUCCAUAGUUAUAGGAGGCUUUUUUGCGAAAAAUUAAAACAAGGGUGUACCUGGGCAACUACUCCUCUUAAAGAUUUGCAAGACGACAUCCAUGCUAUAAAAUUCUACUUGAAGUACAACCUGCCCAAAAUGCUUUACAAACUCCCUCAAUGAUUCAUUCUCCUGCAUUUUUACAUUUUACAAGGUAUUGAUGUUUUUUUUUAUGUCAUGCUGAGCACAGGUAUUGUCCCACGAAGGCCUCCGAUAGAUCUCGGAAGUUAUCGACGAAAUUCAUCGAAAGACGGUGGAACCAUGAGAGAGCCUGACCUUGGAGGCUGGCUGGAAAGACCUUGCACAGUAGCGUAUCAUUCCCUAUGUCAAGGGUCAUGAGCUGCCUGUAGUGCAUGAUAUGGUCGAAUGGAUCACUGGAUCCGUCAAAUGCAGAGAAUUUUGGAAUUAUGAACCCUCGUGGGGGCUCAUAGGUGAUGAUGUCAGGGGUGAAAAGCGUGGAGAACAUAUCAUCCAAUCGCCUACUGGCAAAACCGGGGGGACCUCUGUUUGUCAAACCCCCUACUGGUUGUUGUGUUGGCAUAUGGGGGAGCCAGUCUGUGAUGAUAGGUGCAGUUAAGGGGCUAAGAUAUGCUUCAUGGGCCAUUGCUUCAUAUAGUUUCCCCAUUAUGUUAAGCGUCUGAGGCCCUAGCCUUGUGUGCAUUAUGUCUGAUAGUUGGGACUUCCUAUCGCGUCUUCUCUUUGUUGAGACACGAGUGGAAUUUGAGCUUUCAUCCUACUGCGCGUGAUAGGCUGAUAGAGAUCUUUGUUCAGGUAUUCUUUCUGGUUCAUUGGAGGGGAACCCUGUGUUUCUAAGAUAUGUUGCCUCCUCGUUUUACCUAGAGUUCACUUGCUGACUUCUUGGUUGUCGGCUACGAGGAGGGCCCGAUGAGGAUACCUGAAUACGCAACACGUUGUUUUCUUCCUCGAGUCUCCUUGUCUCUUGGAACAGAGCUUGCACUUGUCGUUCACUCUCUCGUUGGCGUAUCUCCAUACUUGCACGCCAGCCAAAGUAACUCUCGUCACCCAUGGCUGUUGAGCAACUUCUAGAGGGUGUUGAUAUUUUUGUUCUGCUUCCCAUAGACGGUGCCAAUGUUGAUACCUAGUCAACGGAGAAUUGAUUCAUUCCUUGAAGUGAUAGUGAAAGAUUCUAUUUAGACGCUGGAAUCUGGACUUCCUGCUUCCCUGCACAUAGAUGUCCGGACGGGUUGUCCAAAUAUACCCUCCGAAGCUUAAGUCAUAUUAGAAGCCCUUAGAAAGAGAGAGAGAGAGAGAGAGUUGGUUCGAGAACUUAUCAUUUCCCCCUGUUUUAUUGUAGUAAGGUUUUUAUAAUGUUCUGCGGUGAAAAGAGAGCUUAGGGAUGCUGAGUUGGCCCUAGUAAUGAAGAUUGCGCAGUAGUGACAGGGCAAUCAUUACAUUUGCAAGGCAACUAGGGGCUAUGUCAGGCGACACAUCAUGAUAUAGCUUGUUGCCCUUCCAAACUUGCACCUACUAAGGCAGACGUAAGGAUGGGAAGAGUCCCAUUAGUCAAUCUGGUGUCAGUUGGGCAAGGUCUAACAUAUCAGAAAAGAUUUGAGGCUAUCAAAGAGGUGAGGGCUGCUUGGUAGCGCAAAUGAUCCGAGCAAAAUGCCCCUAGGUACCUUGAAGGGCGUCCGAAUAGUGAUGAAAGAUGUGACACAUGGCCUAACCAGGAGAAUGCCACAUGGAUAGACACGUGGAAGUAUUCGUGGGUGGACACAUGGGAUAAGGUCCCUACAGUUGCAACCUUGAUAUGACCAUCUCAUGUUGGGGUUGAAUCAAGAAUAGGAGAGGUAAUAUGUAGUGUAUGGCUACUACUAUGCUUCUUGCCAUUUUUGAAAGGCCUAUUUGGGAAAUGAAAAAAAUGAGAUACCUACAUCCACCAUAUGCAAGUCAGCAGCUUUGGCACUGUUUUUUCUUGCUUUCAUUAUUAUAGGUAAAAGAAAGAGUUUCAAGAAAUUCAAUUGAAACGAGGGAAUCUUUACUUUGUUAUGACAUGCAUCAUCCCACUGGUUUAAUAUAAGGCAAAUUUAAACCUUUCUUGAGUCCAUUUUUCUUCUCCCGAGUCUUACCUUUUUUACUUUCUUCUUCUGCCAAGUGCCAACAAAAUGGUAUUUUGACAUUUUUCUUUUCACCACAACUACAGCUAUAACUUUGUGGGUGAAAUGAAAUCAUGAUCAUGUUGUUAAACCACCAAUUUAAUCUAAAACCAUACAAAACCAACUUGAGUAUUUUAAUCAACCUUUUGCUUUCAUGUAAGUUUAGUAAAUAGAAAAAAUAAAUAUUUUGGUUUCCUAUCAAUUAAGGCUAUGAUAAAGUAUCAAUUAAAUUGCUUGAAAGCCUAGCAUUAAUAAGGAAUUAGAGUGCGUUUGUUGGGCUUUUAGAUGAAGUAUUUUUUCUAGAAGGAUUUUUGGUAGAAUUACUAUCAAGACUGAUAAAUGAUUUUUCAACAAGCUUGCCAAAUUGGCUCUUAGCAUGUGUCAUGCCCGACAAUGCAUUUCAUAUUUUCUCAAUUCAAUAUAAAUAUUCAAGUUUCUCAUUUUGAUUAAAGUUCCUCAAUUACAUGCUUUUCUAGUACUCAAAAGACCUUGUUUGGAUAUUUAAUUUUUUAAAACAUGUUCUAGGUUUCCUCUUUUUACUAGUUUUGAAUUCCUAUAGAUUAUCUUCUUCCGUUUGUGUGCAACUUCUAUAUACAACUCUUUCCAUCUUCUCUCAUCGCCGAAACCAUGCUCCUUAGAAGAGGCAAGGUUAUGUGUAACUUGUAUAAAUUCAUAUAAUCAAUCCAAGAAUGUUAAUCCAAGAAUUUUGAGGUCAGUCUUUUCAUUAUAUCUUCUUUAUGAUAUCAGAGUAGGAUUGUCAUGCCUCGAAUUCUGGGCAACCCAGAAUUCGACUCGUGACCUUAGCUCAAAGGUUUGAACCUAAGGGUUAUGUCUAUCCAAGUUGGCAAUCAGUCUUGAAAAUUAACCUGAUUUUUUUUUUUUUUAAAAAAACAAAACAAAAUAACAUCUAACCUCAAAUAAAUUUACUAACCUAAGACUUACUAUAUCAUAGUAUUUUACUUCAUUUUAUUUAUCUCCAAAACCAACCAUUACUUGUUCAUAAGUAUAAUAAAUCCACCUAUCAUUUUUCCACACUAGAUAAUAACCCAAAUAGUUACAAUAAUCUUUAAGUCAAAAAGAAUAUUUCCAAAAAUGUUUUACAAACUAACAAAAUAUAAUUUAAGUUAUAAAAGUCCAUAUAACUCAAAUUAGUACAUUUCAAAAAGGUAAUAUAAAUGAAAAACAACUAAUAUUAUGGUUCUCUUACUUUCUGGGGCUUUCUGGAACACUUCCUGAUCUUCUUAUAGUUCUUUAAAAACUAUAUCCGUAUUUAAAAAUUUUAGAAAAUAAAGGGUGAGCAUUUCCACAUUACUUAAUAGGGUGUUUUAUACCCCAAAUGGGUUAUAAAUUAUAGGUCAAUAAAAUACAAUCACUUAUUAAAAUAUAAUAUUAUAUCUAUAUUGUAUACAUUAAAUGAAUCACAACUAUACAAAUUUAAACCAAUCAAAAUUAUCGCUUCUCUUAUUCAAUCAUAUGCCUAACAUAUCAACAAUUCUAAAUUCACCAAAAUAAACAAUUCAUUUUAGUUUCGAAUAAAAUAUUUGAAACAUCCUGUUAAUAAAUAAUAUCAAUCAUUCUUUCAAAUGUAACAUGAUGCAAAUGCUUACACACAAUCAUGCAAUACAUUGUUGUUCUCGAGUUUUCACUUAAAUAUACGCAUCCGUACCCAAAUACACUCCCCAUUCGAAGUCUUUCCAAGGUAAUAAACUUUUGGGUCUUUCACCAUAGGGAUCUCACUCUCUUCUUAAUUCACCUCUCACGGACCUUUCAUUUCUCAUUUCUUUUUUCCUUUCAUUUUUGCCUCUUUGAGGUCUUUUCAUUCUCAUUUCCAUUUCACACAACCAUUUCUUCAUUUUUCUCUUUCUUCACACAACCAUGAUGCAUAUGAAGGGCAAUCAAAUCAUAUUUUAACAUCCAUAAUUUUUUAGGACAUAAUUCUAUUUCCUCCCAUUAUAUUUCAUAAUUUUCAACAAUCCACACAACAAUUUUUCUUCACUUUAAUCACGACAAACAUCAAAGAAAAUUCACAAUUAAUUUGUAUAGCAUCAAAACAUAGUUUUAAACCUUAACCACAUAAAUUCUAUUUAUUCCCUACAUGCUUAAUAAUUUUCAACAACUAAUAUAACAAUUUUUUUUCUUCAAUUAAAUAACCACACAUAUCCAAGAAAAUUCUCACUAAUACAAAUAUCAACAAAAACAUAAUUUAUGUCAUAAUAUAUUUACCUCCAAUAAUCUCAAUAAUUUUAACACCCAAUACAACAAUUUUCCACAAUUAAGCCACCACAACGUUCGGGAAAUUUUUUCCAAUAAUUCAAAUAUUAACAAAAACCCAAUUUAUAUCAUCAAUUUAUUCAUUUAUAAUAAUAUUAAUAAUUUUAAAACAAUCAUCUUAAACAUAUCUCAAUACUCAAAAUUUUGAACAAAUAAUUUUUAUUAUUUUCAACACUAACAUAUCACCAAUAAAUUUAUAUAAUUUCUAACAUGACAACAAUCAUAAAAAUAUACUAACCAAUAUUCCAAUAAUUUUUUUUUUCACAACCAGAACAAUAUGGUUCAUUCUAUCACGAGAAUAACAAUUAAAUACCAACAAUUAUAAUAUUUUUAUAUUGCAUUAAACUUUCAUUUGCUUCACAUUUAACAUUUUCAAAGCAAAACUAAAUCAUUUUACACGUUUAGGGUUUCCAAAAACAACCUAAAAGAAAACUAUAUGACGAUCUACUACACCCAACAACUCACCCAUUUCCAUGGAGGUUUUUGAAAAUAAAUAAAAGUAAAACGAAAAGCCCCAAAAAAGUCGAGAGAGAAAUUUAGGAAAAACACACCCCUACCUGUACAGUAAAACCCAAUUGUAUGAUCGAAAAUCUGAUUUAGUAGAAUAAAAUAAUAUUUUUGAAUAAAGUUAUAAAAUAUUAUAAUAUUUUAAUUAUUUAUAAAAUAUAUUUAUUUUAAUGUGAAUAAAAAAAUUAAAAAAAAAUUUAAAAAUAUAUAUUUUAAAAAGAAUCUAAAAAAAUUCAAAUAAAAGUUUAAUAGGACGAGAUGAGGUGGGUAUGGGAAAUUCGUAUACUUGUCUUGUCCUAUUUAAUUUUUUUAAUGAGAUGAUGAUAAAAAUUAUUUGAAUAAAUGGGACGGGGUUGGGACAGGGAUAACCCAUCUCUAAUCCAUUUUGUUGCCAUCUCUACAUGAUUGAAGAGGAUAUUUUUUGACAUGCAAUUUUUCUUAUAUUUUAUGUUAUUUUCAAAACUCCUUGUGCAUUAGAGUUGUAAACAUGAAUGAUUAAUUGAAUAAAUGAGGAUAAAGAUAAUGUCACAUCAAUAUGCAUUCCACAAAAAGGAAGAAAUUGAGUGGGAGCAUGUACCGGCUUCAUCAGCCGGCAAUCAUGCAAAAUUUGGUUGAUAUUUACUUCUAUUGUGGACUUUACACCAAGUUUACUCUAUCAUAUGGGCCAAUUAUCCAUCUCUAUCGCCCUAAAGCAUCAGUAUCCCCUAUUUGUCUUUUUGGGGAAAAACAUAAUAACCAGGUUGCAGGGUCAAUUUGGUAGGGUACACUGUCGAGUAUUGUGGACUUGGCCGCAAAGUACGACCACUGCACCUGACAUGAUCUCUAGGCCAUGGUUUCUUCCACAUGAAUUUUCCCUUUUCUAAAUUAUGUUCAACGAUAUCAUCAUGGAGCUGCCUGCCACGCUUCUAUAAUUCAAUCUUGACUUACCUUGAAGAUCAUGCAUGCUUUUGUCUUCCACAUUCAUUUUUCCAAAUCUUUAAUGCAGCUAGAUGAUUAAUUGCAAAUUUAUGUUGAUUAACUCUUGUAUUUUUUUAUCAUGCACGAUACAAACUUAAACUCAAUCUUAAUUAUUUUACAAAUAAAAUUUUGUUAAAUUAACGACACUUCACAACAAGAAACUUUGGAUUAUUAUACAUAUGUUCUAUCAAAGGAAGUUCUACCGACAUUAUAAUUAUAACUUGGAUGAGUUAGACGAGCGAGAAGACUAAUUUGUUUCAAAUCUACUACCAACUUGUCCAACCCAAUCCAAAUCUAAUUAACUCAAGGUUGGAUCGAAAAUUAUUAACCCACUCCACGCCCUACACAACUGAGGUUCCCAUAAGUCACAAUGAGUUCUUACAAGUUAUUAAGUAAGAUGAUUAUUUUAAAGUCUAUUUCAAGUAAAAUAUAUUACAAAUACAGGUUUCCAUGGGUUGUCUAAACGAUUAAACUGUGGCAAUAUUAAUAUUUUAUGGUUGAUGGUUUUCUAUCCCAAGCACCAAGUUAACCCAUUUAAACCUUACCCACAUCAAUUGGAACUGGGGUGAACCCUUGAAGUUGCAGUCCAAAGAGACGUAAAUUAAGGUGUCCAUUAAAUUCAAAGAUUAAUAUUUAAUUACCUAAAACAACUUAUGAAAUUUUCUUUAUUUGAUGACUUAAAACUUAUCAUUUAAUCUUAAUUUUCAAGCAUCAAGAUUGUUUAAUAAAACUAAUUAAUUUUUUUUUAAGUUAGCUAUCAAGUUUAACAUAUUAACUUUUAUUAAUAUUAAGUCAUGACCAAUGAGAGAGACAAUUAAGGGAGCAAGAGAUAAUAGUUGUGAUAUAAAAUUGAUGAGAACUAUCUUGAAAACUGUUUUUGCUUUUCUUUUGACUUUUUUUACUCUAAGGAUCCUUUUUUGAUGAUAUAUGUAUGAUAAAAAAGUGAUUUUUAGAAAAACUUUUACCAAAUCUUUGUAUAAGAUGUGAUUUUAAAAUUUCUCAAAGAUAGUUUUUGAAACUUUAUCAAAUACAUAUUCAAAAUAAGUAGUUUUAGCAUUUUCAGAGUCACACCCAAAUAAACUUUUAGGCAUUCUUCACUUUAAAUAGCCUUAUUGAGUCUUAUUGACUAAUAAUACUAAUUAUAUCUAUCGGUGGGACAGCUGGGAAAUCCACGAAUGCAUGCGGUAUAUGUUGAAUAAAAUCAAUGUGUAUCAUACAUUACACAUUUAUAUUGUAGUAGUAAUAAUAGGAAUAUGGCUGUUUAAUUAGGCUACACUAGUAUGUCCAGUGAGAAAAAACAAGAGGAAAAUUGAAAAAUUACUGUUGGGUUUGCUCUGCAAGGAAUGGCCAGCACAACUAUAAAGCCAUUUAUGUAACGCCCAAGUUUUUUUUUAAAAGGGUAAUUUAGGAAAUUCAUAAUAAUGAUAUUAAAUUAAUUAAUUAAUUAAUUUAAUAAAAUGGAAGAGGGGUGAAAAUGUAAUUUUACGAAUAAUACCCUAGGUAUAAAUAGAAAAUUAUCUUCUUCCUGUUCUUUUCUGAAUCGUAUUCCUGUUCGCAGAAAGUUUUCAGAGAACGUGAAGUUGAGGCCAGAUUUCAAGGUUUGAAGAACAAACCUCUAUAGGUAAGAUUCUAAUCCCUAGAUUAUUAUUUUAGAUUCAUUAGUUAAUUUCAAGCACAUUAGAUAUAUUUCUUUUGGAAAACCCCAAAUCUAGAUUAGGGUUAGUUUAUUUUUUUUUUAAUUUGUUUUAAUAUCAAAUAGUGAAAAUUUAAGAUUUUGAUUUAUUAUUGGAAUUUGGGAGAUCUUAAGUUUUUUUUUUUUUGAAAAGAAAAAAAGAUUCCUAUGAAAAUUUCGAUUUAAAUUAGGGUUAGUUUAUUAUUAUUUUUUUAUUCGUUUUAAUAUCAAAUAGUGAAAAUUUAAGGUUUUGAUUUAUUGUUGGAAUUUGGGAGAUCUUAAGUUUUUUUUAACAAAAAAAAAAAAAAAAACCUAUGUGCACUAGUUGCAUGCGUGUGGGAACUAUGCAUCCACUUUUUUUUGUAAGGAUUUCAUGGUUGAAAUCUAGUUGGUGGAUUUUCACAUACUCUAUUAUUAGACUUUGAUGGAUACUUGGGUAUGUAAUAUUUAAUAGUAACAGAACUCCGUAUUGUUAGACUUUGAUGGGUACUAGAGUACUGAGUAUUGUAUUAUUUAAUAAUGGCAGGGCUUUGUGUUAUUAAAAACAAAUUGGGAAUUUGUUAAUUUAUUUAAAUAAGGAAUAGAUUAGUUAAAUUAUAGAUAAAUUGUAAUAGUUAUUCCUCUUAUAUUUUUUUAGGUGAAGAGUAAAUUUUCAAGAUUAUUUUCUCUUCAAAGUUUUUGAGGACUUCUUUUGAAAUAAGAGAAAUUAAUGUAGUUGUUAAAUUCUUUUUUAAAACAAUUAUAUAUAUAUAUAUAUACAUUAUUUGAAAACGUUUGAGUUAUAUUCCGUUUUAUGCAUAGAUCAAACCUGUUUUGCAUGAAAAGUAUAUUAAAAUUUUAUAUUAUGUUUUUGACAAAUAAAUGUGGAGAUAUUAUAUGUUGUAAAUUUCAAUAAAGGAAAUAAAUAUUUGACUCUGGUUUGUUUGGCCCUUGUCAACGGGAUUUAAUAGUUGACUUUUGGUCCUUGUCAAUGGGAUAUAAUAGUUGACCUUUACAUUUCUUGGUGGGGAAUGUAAUUGAUUUGAACCCCAGCCUCUAGGGGUUUCAGUUAGAGGUUACUAGUACUAGUAGUGUUUGGUUCCAUCCACCUUAAAGGAACAAUUUGAGGCUAGCCACCCAUUUGAAAAGUCCCACCUAACUGGGCACCCUUUGAUGUUUGAUGACCAAAGUAAAUAAAUUAUUGGAAUGUUUUGACUAAAUUUGAUAUGAAAUUGUUUGAAUCAGAAAUAAAUACAUACAGUUAGAAAUUUUGAAUGUAUUGGAAAAAAAAAAAAAAAAUUUACUCACAGCUUUAUGAAAAUGAUUGAUUACAAUAUCUCCUAUUUUGCAAGUGAGUUUGAAAUGUUUGAUCCAUGGACUGCAUUAAUGUUCCUUAUUGGGCUGUGAGCUCAUUCCCAUUUGUUGACUACUUUUCGGAUACCCUUAGUUCGGGUGAGGAGUGAUGGCUAGGUUAAGGAAUUGUCAUCAUUAGGAUUUGACUUAGGAUUUUAUGUUGGAUUUUGUUUAACUGUUAGUUGUGUUCAUUUGGAUCUUUUGGUAUUUGGAAGUUAUUUGGAUAUUGAUCCUUCAAAUUUUAUGUUAGAUCAAAGUUAAGUUUUGGAGAUUUCGAAAUUUGUUCUAGUACUUGAAUUGUUUAAGUUUGCAACUAUUUGGACAAUGGAUUUUGGAUAGUGGAUGUUUGAGUUUUGAAAUUGAAUUUUGAGGAUUUUAGAUUUUGUUCCGCUACUCUGAACAGAUAUUUGGUAAUUGGUAACUUUCGAUUACAAGAUAAUUGUUUGGGUCAGGUUACACUGUAAGCCUUCGGGUUUGAAGUGUGAAAUGACCGUCACGCCCUUGGAGUGGGUCUUGGGGCGUGACAAUUUACACCUCCACAAAUUGCAUACACCAUCUGUCUAAUAGGGCAACUCUUAAGGUAUCCUCCUCCUUUUUCGAAUGGCCGCACCAAUCUCACCUCUCUAUGAAAAAAUCCCCCAGAAAAAUACACUCCAUAGAGCCUUGGAAUUUACCAUCUUCUUCCUUCUCCUCUCUCUCCUUGCUUAUCGUCUCCUCUCCCUCAAAAACAAUGGUUUCGCUUGGCUCAUCGCCUUCCUCUGUGAGUCAUGGUUCACCUUCCUUUGGGUUCUUAACUUGAGCUCCAAAUGGAAUCCUGUGUCCUACAUAACAUACCCUGAACGCCUUCUACAAUGUUAUCAGUAUCCAAUAAUUCUCUUAGUAAACCUCUUUAUGUACUUUGGCGUUUUUUUCUGCCUUCAAUUUUCAUAUAUGACUAUACUCUUGAUUUUCUGAACAGAGUUGAUGAGCUUCCUCCAGUGGACAUGUUUGUUACAACUACAGAUCCCAUGCUGGAACCCCCUAUCAUCACUGUAAACACUGUCCUCUCCUUACUGGCACUUGACUAUCCAGCUAACAAGCUUUCUUGCUAUGUGUCGGAUGAUGGAGCUUCCCGUCUCACCUUCUACUCUCUCCUUGAAGCAUCUAAGUUUGCUAAGCUUUGGGUUCCUUUCUGUAAGAAGUAUGGUAUUCAAACCAGAGCUCCCUUUAGAUACUUUUCCACUGAGUUGGUAUCAUCGAAUGAUAAUUCGAUGGAGUUCCUACAAGAAUACAGAAAGAUAAAGGUACGCAAACUAUUCUAGUAUGAACCAUAAGUACUUGGUGCAAUUUAAUUUUUGCUUCUUUACUUUUAAUUACAAUUCUUAAAAUGCAGAUGAUUUGGAAUUUGGAAUUUUCUUUUCCUUCAGCAUAUUGAGUAUUGAUCCUUUUCUUUUCUGUUUAUACAUAAACCUUCUUCAGAAAAGAAUUCCACUAGCCAGUAUGUCAUUUCUCCAAAUAUAUCUCCUCUUCAUCAGUGUACAGUGACGCUUUGAUAAAAGCUUUUGCAGAUAUCUUCCUUGUGCUUAUACAAUUUUGUUCAUCUUCAUCUCUUUUAGGAAAGAUAUGAAGAGCUUGGACAAAAAAUUGAAGGUGCAACCCUAAAGUCAAUGCCGUAUGAGCUUAGUUCUGCAGAGUUCGUGGCUUUCUCAAAUGUAGAAAGGGAAAACCAUCCGACCAUAAUCAAGGUAUGUUUACUCAUUAUUACCAUUAUUAAUUAUAUAUAAAAAAAAUCCAACACGUGCAGCUAAUCAUAAGAGAUUAAAAUGAUUGUAUAAAUAUUUUGCCCGUGGAUUAGUAUUUAAAAAAAAAAAAAAAAAGAGUAACCAAUUUAAGCUAUAACUAUUUGGUUAACAUGAGAGAGCUAGGGAGUGGUGAUAUUCUAUAACCAUGAAUGGUGACUUUGUAGGUUAUAUUGGAGAACAAGGAGAGCCGCCCUGAUGGACUGCCACAUCUAAUUAAUUUAUGUAUCCAGAGAGAAGCAUGCCAGGCAUCCACUCCAUUACAAAGCCGGUGCCGUGAAUGUUCUGGUAAGGAAGCCCCUUGAAUUGUGGUAUAAUUACUGAUAUUCCUUCUUUUCCCCUGAUUGUUUCAUGAUAAACAGACCAGAGUCUCUGGAGUUAUGACAAAUGCUCCUUUCAUGCGGAACGUAGACUGUGAUAUGUACGCCAACAAUCCACAGAUUUUUCAUCAUGCAAUGUGUUUGCUCCUCGGUUCCAAGAAUGAACAGGACUGCAGGUUUGUUCAGACUCCACAAUGUCACGCCCCAAGACCCACUCCAAGGGCGUGAUGGUCAUUUCACACUUCAAACCCGAAGGCUUACAGUGUAACCUGACCCAAACAAUUAUCUUGUAAUCGGAAGUUACCAAUUACCAAAUACCUGUUCAAAGUAGUGGAACAAAAUCUAAAAUCUUCAAAAUUCAAUUUCAAAACUAAAACAUCUACUAUCCAAAAUCCAUUGUCCAAAUAUUUGCAAACUUAAACAAUUCAAGUACUAUAACAAAUUUCGAAAUCUCCAAAACUCAACUUUGAUCUAACAUAAAAUUUGAAGGAUCAAUAUCCAAAUAACUUCCAGAUACCAAAAGAUCCAAAUGAACACAACUAACAGUUAAACAAAAUCCAACAUAAAAUCCUAAGUCAAAUCCUAAUGAUGACCAUUCCUCAGCUUAGCCAUCACUCCUCACCCGAACUAAGGGUACCUGAAAAGUAGUCAACAAAUGGGAAUGAGCUCACAGCCCAAUAAGGAACAUUAAUGCAGUCCAUGGAUCAAACAUUUCAAACUCACUUGCAAAAUAGGAGAUAUUGUAAUCAAUCAUUUUCAUAAACCUGUGAAUAAUUUUUUUUUUUUUUUUGCCAAUACAUUCAAAAUUUCUAACUGUAUGCAUUUAUUUAUGAUUCAAACAAUUUCAUAUCAAAUUCAAUCAAAACAUUCCAAUAAUUUAUUUACUUUGGUCAUCAAACAUCAAAGGGUGCCCAGUUAGGUGAGACUUUUCAAAUGGGUGGCUAACCUCAAAUUGUUCCUUUAAGGUGGAUGGAACCAAACACUACUAGUACUAGUAACCUCUAACCGAAACCCCUAGAGGCUGGGGUUCAAAUCAAUUACAUUCUCCACUAAAAAAUGUAAAGGUCAACUAUUAUAUCCCAUUGAUAAGGGCCAAAAGUCAACUAUUAAAUCCCGUUGACAAGGGCUAAACAAACCAAAGUCAAAUAUUUAUUUCAUUUAUUCAAAUUUACAACAUAUAAUAUCUCCACAUUUAUUUGUCAAACACAUAAUAUAAAAUUCUAACAUACUUUUCAUGUAAAACAGGUUUGAUCCAUGCAUAAAACAGAAUAUAACUCAAACGUUUUCAAAUAAUGUAUAUAUAUAUAUAUAUAUAUAUAUAUAUAUAAAAUUGUUUAAAAAAAGAAUUUAACAACUGCAUUAAUUUCUCAUACCUUAAAAGAAAUCUUCAAAAACUUUGGAGAGAAAAAUCUUGAAAAUCUUCUCUUCACCUAACAAAAUAUAAGAGGAAUAAUUAUUACUAUUUAUCUAAAAUUAUAGGUUUGACAAUCCUAAAAUUUUAGGUAUUCAAAUUUUUUUUUUUUUAUAUUUAUGAAAGGUAGUUUAAUCUAUUCAUAUUUUAAAAAUUAAUAAAUUUCUAAUUCAUAUAAAAUUGAAUUUAUUUAUUUAUUUAUUUAUUUUAAAAUUUAUUUCUUGGGACACAACUUAAUUAAACUAUAAUUUAUUUCAAUAAUUAAUUUCUAUGUUAUUUAUUAACUUACGCUUAUAAUUGUAAUAUAAAAAAAAAACUUUACUUCCUUUUUAUUUAAAACUUCUAUUAUCUCAUUUUUAUUUUUAUUUUAACAUAAACUUUAUUCCCAACAAUACUUCAUUAUUGUCAAUAAAAUAAUAGACAUAUAUAUAUAUAUAUAUUAACUAACCACCCUCCAUACUUCUUAGUAGGAAAAUUAACUGAUGAGAGAUUAGAAAAAACAUUAGGAAAUUCAAAGGAAUUCACCACAACAGCUGCAAGGAUUUUAUCCGGGUUGAGUGGGAUUUCCCAUUGUCCAUAUGAUCUUUUGAAUCGGGUUGAGGCAGCCCAACAAGUUGCAACUUGCAGCUAUGAGUGUGGAACUAGCUGGGGUACAAAGGUGAGUUGCAAAUAUUUAGGACAACAAGAGUAGUACCUUGAAUAAAAUCCACGCUUCCUUUUUUACCUUAAGUUCAUACAUUUUUCAGUAAAAAAGGAUUUUCGUUUAUUUUAUUUUAUUUUAUUUUUAUUUAUUUAUUUUUUUUCUCAGUGAAAGUUACAUUAACUCUACUAUAAGGCAUUUUCACUGUAUAAUGGUUUUAGGUGCCUGAUGUUUUGUGAUCAGAUUGGCUGGUUAUAUGGAAUCACAACAGAAGACAUUCUCACGGGUAUGACGAUACAUGCAAAAGGUUGGAGAUCCACAUACUGCCAGCCUGAUAAAUAGCAUAAGUCAUGAUGAAAAAAAUGUCAUGAGAUAAAAAUGAACUUAUGAAGAAUAUAUGAAGUAGAUAGAAGAAUAUACGUAAUAAAUAGAGAUGUGAGAAAUAAUGGAAGACACUUGGUGAAGUUGGAUUAAAGCUUCCAUUGACACAAGAAGUGGCAUCAAAGAUUUGAUUGAGUAUUUUUGGAAGGACAACAAGAAUAGAACACAAAAAGGAUUACAAAAUAAAUUAAUUUUUGUUGAAGGUAAAAUUGAUUGUUUCUCUCACAAAAAUGUGAUACAAAAAGCAUGAGGAUCAUGAUGCAUGACAAGAUCAUGGUGCACGAAAGCAAUUGUGACAUGCAAGAAGAGCAUGGUACACAAGGAAGCUGGGUAUAAAAUAAGGAUUUGGUUAAGACAAGCUUUGUAAAAGAGUUUAUCCUAAAUAACUGAAAGAUUAACUUAAUAAAAUUUGAUCAAAGGUGAAGAUUGUUGGAAAACGUCUCAAAUUUCUAAUUAGUAUAUAUUUAUUUAUUUUUUAAAAUAUUUUAUUGAAUAUUUUCUAAAUUCAUAUGUCAUUAUAAUUAUAUUUUUUAUAAAAUAAGGAAAGUCAUUAGAAAAUAUCUAUAUAAAUAUUAUAAAUUACGAGGGGAAAAAUUAUGAAAUAAAGAUAAGCUUGUGAAGACUAUCCAAAGAUAUGAGGGGAAGAGUGAAUGAUACUAGAUGGAAUAAGAGGACUAAUUAUUUAAGGUACAGAUACAAAGAGUGAAAAAAGAUAAGAUAUUUACUGAUCUAAUAAUUAAUUUAUUUUUAUCCUUUAUAAUCAUUUCUAUAGUAUAGUGAAAUGCUAUUUGUCAUAUAUUAAUAAUAUAGACAUGAAUAGUCGAAAAACCUCAUGUACCUCUAUGUGUGGAUUAUUUGAUUUUUGUGUUCUUGCAUUAACAUGUUUCCAUUGAAGAUUCCACUUACACAACAUAGCUAGUGUUCUAAGAUAUUGGUCUUGCUUUGUUUUUGCUUUUCAUUGUCCCUUGUUUUAUUAUCAUUUUAUGCAUACUUAGCAUUAGUACUUCACCAACAUUUGUUUUGUUAUCAUUUUAUGGUCCUACUAGCUAGCUAUAUUAUGCAUACAUAACAUAUCAUUUCUAAUUUUGAUGAAAAUAACUUAAAUUCUAAAUGAUUUCUACUUUAAAAUGUUCUAAAGAUGCAACCAAAUAUACACUAUUAAUACGGGAUACCCACAUCCACCAUUUGCAAGUCAGCAGCUUUGGCACUGCUUUUUCUUGCUUGCAUCAUUACAAGUGAAAGAAAGAGUUUCUAGUAAGUCAAUUGAAAUGGAGGAAUCUUUACUUUGCUGAAGAGCAUAAGUAUUAAUCAAAUUUGUUGUGACAUGCAUUAUCGCAAUAUAUAAUUAAAUGUAAGAGAAAUUUUACAACUAUGCACCAUUUUACUGCCUUCUUGUCUCUAUCUUGACACUCUUCGUUCCCAAAUAAGACGGUAUUUUGCCAUUUUGCCUUUCAUAGUAGCCGCAGCUGCAACUUGGGGAAAUGAAAUCUUGGUGGUGUUAUUAAAUUAGGUUGACAAUUUUGUUCCAAAAUAAUUUGAUUUAAUGCUACCACUUAAGAGACUAAUCAACUUCAAGAGCAAGAUUGAAAAUUCAAGGAAGUGAAGUCGAUUAAGGUGAGUUGCAAGUUGGGCUUAUAAGGGUGGUGAUUCCUUGAUUUGCAUCACUUCGGUGUUCUUCUCAAGGUUUUAUUUCUUCUCUACUUUAUCCCAGUGCAAAUUGGUACCAGAGCAUUGGUUUCAUGGCUAGUCAUUGUCAUCACAAUUAGAAUCACUGUGUUCUUAAUGAACAUAUUAAGUUUUCUUUUCUUAAAAGUUAAGUUCUCUUUUCUUAAAUAGUUUUCAUUUAUUUUCCCAUAUGUAUAAAUUUUUUGUAAAGGUAAUUUAGAUUCAUUUUAGAAUUCAUAAUACUUAUGAAGUUUGUGUUCCAAUUGUUAUUAUUAUUAUUAUUAAUCAAUAAGAAGUUUAAAAGUAUUUAACUAAUGGCUCAUUGAUGAGAACUCUAAUGCACCUAUAAAUUGAAAAGCUCUUGGUCCCUCUCUCCACUCUUAUAUAUAUAUAUUUUUCAAAAGUAUUUCCUUAUUUCUCACUAAGGAGUGUAUAAAGGGGGAGCAAGAGAGUGAAGAUCAAGAGUGAAAGAUUUCAAAACUGUUAUUUCAAGAACUUUAAGUUUUUUUGAAAUUAGGAAUAUAAAUCAAGGUGUACUUUCUUCUUCACAUCCUAUAUAUAUAUAUAUAUAUAUAUAUAUAUAUAUAUAUUUUAACAUUUGGUAUUAGAGUGAGGUUAAUCAUUUGUGUGUUUAAUUUUUUAUUUGGAUAUAGAUCAAGAAACACUAUAACCUAAAGUUAUGGAGAAAAUCUCUUGAUGUGAAAUAUUAUAACUAGACAUUAUGAAUAAAUUAUUUUAUUUUUCAUAGCCCAAAGCUAUGAUAACAUUUAUACAUCUAUAACUAGAAGUUGUGAAUAAAAGCAUAUUUGCACAUAUGAUAGUCCAAAGUUAUGAAUAAAUUAACUUAAAUUACAUAACAUAAAAUUAUGAAUUAAAGAAUUUGUUAAUAUCAUAUAGGUUGGAUAUGGAAAAGCGUUGAUACUAAUUUGAUGGAGUAAUAAGGUUGAUAGAGAGAAACACAAACAAUUAAAAAAGAAGAUUAGUUAUAGUCUUCACUAGACUCUUCAAAUAUGCAAGUGGCAUUUAUAGAAGAACUAUCUUGGGGUUAUAAGUCGUGAGCUUGAGAUUGUGAACCAUUUGAUUUUGAAGAAGCCAUGCAAAACUAAAAAUGAAAUAAUAUUCAAGUAAAAUAUCUUUCAAAAGGGAAAGACAUUUGAAGUAAAAUGGAUGUACAAAAUAAAGAAGAAUACAAAAAGAGAAGUAGAGAAAUACAAAACCUCUCAAAUCUGAAGAUUUUAGAAGAUUAAGAACAUUAUUUGAAGUUACAAAUUAAGUUUAAGAGAUUAUAUAUGUUAAAAAAAAUUAAAAAAAAAAACUUGAGGAGAAAAGUUUCGAAUAAAGAGAUGUAAUUUGAUUUAGUUUCUAAAAGUCAAUUGAAAUAUUUUAGUUUGAGUGAUUCAGUCAUAUUUUAUUACUAGGAGUUUUUAUUUUGUUAAAUGCAAGCAUAUAUAAAAAGGUUGUAUAAUAUUUGAACAAAGUACCAUUGGAGGAUAUAUCAGAGGUGUUCAACAUCAGUGUUUUGGUUUGAAAUAGGUUCUCUGUUAGGGGUCAUUGUUGAAUGGUGGUUGUAGUGGGAUCCAUGUGUUGAAUAGAUGUUGUAGAGUUGAUCCAUUAUUGAAUGGGAAUGUUGACUCCACUUUUGAUGAAUGUGGGGACAAUAAAGCGAUGUUCUUUCCAAAGUAUAAAUGUUAAGCUACUUAUUAGCUUAGCUUUUAAUGUUGUAUAUCAAAUCCAUUAAUAGUUUGUUUGAUAAUGCAUUUUAAAAAUAUAAAAAAAGAAAAAGAAAAAAAAAUCAAUCAUUUAAUUAAAUUUUAAAAAUCACUUAUUAUUAUAUUUUUUUUAAAAAAAAUAAUUUACAAAUGAUUCUCUCAUAAAAAAAAAAUAUUUACAUUAAAAGUUUGUUUGAUAGUGAUUUUAGAAAUUAUUUUUAACAUUUUUAAUACUUAAGAGAUAAAAAAUUUAUAAGUGUUAAAAAAACUAAAAACAUUUCCUAAAGUUAUUAUCAACCACAUUAUAAGAGUGCAUUUAAGAAAAAUUUUAAAAAGCGAUUUUAGUACUUCUAAUACUUGAAUGAUAAAAAAUUUGAAAUAUUAAAAAUAUUAAAAAUGUUUCUUAAAAUUACUAUCAAACGGAUUCUAAAAACACUAAUAUAUUCAAGUACUAUUUAAAACUCCAUUUCAUGUGCUGCUCCACUUCUUGAGUUCAAUAAAUAGAAAAGAAAGGAGGUUUGAGUUAUAAACACUGAAAUAAAAAACUCUAAUACCAUAAGUCACUUAUCAGUUAGACAUAAAAUAUAUAGCAAUGAGUCAGCAUAAUAAAUCAAUCAGUGCUCAUGACUAGAAACAAUGCCUUAAUCUCAUUUGUCGCAUAGUGGUGAUUCUUCUAUACCCCACCAAACACUACAACUCAUCAUGGUCUUCGUCUUUCGUUUUUUCUCCGCAAGAAAAACUUUCCCAACUUCAAGUUCAACUUAAUGAUCAUAGAGAUGCCUUGCCUCAUGCUGUGCCCAGAAUACAAAAUCCCGCUUAUGUCUUACAUUUUGUGGUAGAAAAUGGCAUCAACAUCACACCACAUCAGUCUUGUUUCCACUACUGGAACAGAAUUUUCAGGCAGCCUCUAAAUACUGAUUUUUUCAAAGAUAGCUAGGUUCAUGUUCCAGGUCAGUUUCUGUGUUGUCAAUGAACAGUGGACCUCAGUGGUCUUCAAAAGUGUCACGGAGUUGGCUGCAAAGCAUGACCACUGUAACGUACAAUAUUAUCUGUAGGCCAUGGUUGCUUCCUCCAAGAAAAUUAUGUUAUGUCAUAAGUCACGGAUUUCGUUGCGAAGCUGCAAUAAUUCAAACUUACCUUUCUUUAAGACCAUGCUUGUGUCUACAUUCAUUUUCCCAAAUGUGUACGUUGAAUUUUUUGUCAUGUAGGGGCUGCGCACUUAAGGCAGAUAUCAAGUGAGUUAAAGAAUUAAUAAAUUAAGGUGACAUUUGAUAAAUUAAACUAAAAACUUAAUACUUAAUUGUUUAAGAUGAUUUUAAUAUGACUUUUACUAAACUUGAUGAGUUGAAAAUUAUUAUUAAAUCAUUAAGUUAAAUAUUAAAAUAGUUUUUUUAUUUUUUCAUUUACUUAUUACUUAUUUUUAAAAGAUUUUUACUAAAUAAAAAAUGAAAAUAUUCGUUUUUUUUUUACUAUAUAUUAAAAAUAACUUUUUAAAACAUUCAAAACAUGUUCUCAACAUGACUAUAAUUGCAUUAAUACUUAAUACUUAAUAAAAAUAAAAUAAUAAUAAAAACAAAGAAUUUAAUACUUAAUACUAUUAAUUGUAUUUAAAUUAACUUAUUUUUAUAUAUAGGUAAAAAACCAAAAGUAACAUUCGAAAGUAAAAACCAAAACACAAUUGAUUGUCUGAACACAUUUAUAAUGCAGUAGAACAGUUCUGUUGGCCAAUGAGAAAACGAAGGGAAAAACUAUGGUAGGGUAGCCAUCCAUGGAGUGGCCGAUAUGAAGGAGGGGAUAAAUCAAUCCAAACGUCCAUUAACACCUCCACAAACCACAUACACCAUCUGCCCAACAAGGCAACUUUAAGCAAUCCUCCUCCAUUAGAUGGCCAAACCAAUUCCUUCACCUCUCUAUGAAAAAAUCCCCCAGAAAAACACACUCCAUAGAGCCUCGGACGUCACCAUUUUCUUCCUUCUCCUCUCUCUCCUUGCUUACCGUCUCCUCUCCCUAAAAAACAAUGGCUUCACUUGGCUCCUCGCCUUCCUCUGCGAGUCAUGGUUCACCUUUAUUUGGAUUCUUAACUUGAGCUCCAAAUGGAAUCCUGUGUCCUACAAAACAUACCCUGAGCGCCUUCUACAAUGUUAUCGGUACCCAAUAAUUCUCUUAGUAAAAUUCUUCAUGUGCUUUGGUGUUUUUUUCUGUCUUCAAAUUUUAUAUAUGACUAUACUUAUGAUUUUCUGAACAGAGUUGAUGAGCUUCCUCCAGUGGACAUGUUUGUGACAGCUGCAGAUCCCAUGCUGGAACCCCCUAUCAUCACUGUAAAUACUGUCCUCUCCUUGCUAGCAGUUGACUAUCCAGCUAACAAGCUUUCUUGCUAUGUGUCCGAUGAUGGGGCUUCCCCUCUCACCUUCUUCGCUCUCCUUGAAGCAUCCAAGUUUGCUAAGCUUUGGGUUCCUUUCUGUAAGAAGUAUUGUAUUCAACCUAGAGCUCCCUUCAGAUACUUUUCCAGAGAGUUGUUACCAUCCCAUGGUAAUUCAAUGGAGUUCCUGCAAGAAUACAGAAAGAUAAAGGUACGCGCACUAUUCUUCGUAGGAAGUAGGAACCAUAAGUGGAGAUUAAUUACAUUAGUUCAACUUACUGCAAUUAUUUUUUUAUAUAAUAACAGUUAUUAGAAUGCAGAUGAUCUGAAACUAGAAUUUUCUUUUCCUUUAAUUUAUUAACUAUCUUUCUUUUUCUUUUUUUAUUCUUUUAUAUAUAUAAUCUCCUUAAAAAAUAAAAUAAAAUUCCACUAGCAAGUAGUUACGUGUCCAAGUAUAUCUCCUCUGCAUCAUGGUAUAAUGAUGCUUUACAUUUAAGCAAUUUUCUUUUUCUUCAUCCCCUUUUAGGAAGAAUAUGAAGAGCUUAGACGAAGAAUUGAAGAUGAAACCCUGAAGUCAAUAUCAAAUGAGCUUAGUACCGCAGAGUUUGUCGCUUUCUCAAAUAUAAAAAGGGGAAGCCAUCCAACUAUAAUCAAGGUAUGUUAAAAGAUACAACUAGCUGAUAUGUUUACUUAUUAUUACCAUUAUUAGGUCUAUUUGGAUUGAUUUCUCAUAUGCUAAAAAGCAAAUUUUUUAAGUUCACUGACAAAUUUUAUAAAUAUUUGAUAAAUUUUAUGCUUAUGGCUUAAGAAAGUGCUCAAUAUAAAAGUCUUGAAAAUGUCAUAUUCUUUGUUUAAUAAAAACUUUACGAUAUCAAUAUUACUUUUAAAAAAUUAUAAUCUUAGGUUUAAUUUUAUGUUGCAUAUAAAGAUAAAAACAAACAACCUCAGACAGGUUCUCAAUUAUUACAUAAUAAGGGACACUAAAGCUAAUUAUAUGAGAUUAAAAUGAUAGUAUAAAGCUAUUUGUUUUUGCCUUUUUCUAUAUUAUAGGUCAUAUGCAAUGAAAAUAGGAAUUAUGUCAUGAUUCAAAACAAAGAAGAGGGUUAGAAAAUACACAGGAUUUCCAACAAGAAAUUUAAAGAGAAGGAACCAAAAACUUGUUAGUUCAUAAUAAGCUUAAAUCCGACCAUGUAGGCGGUACAAAAUAAAAAACAUAAACUUAAAAACAAAACUUAAUUAAAACCGACCAUGUAGGCGGUACAAGAACAUAAAAUGAAAAACAAAACUUAAAAAACCAUCCAUAUAAGAGGUAAUCAAAACAUACUUAUAUUAUACAUAAGGAGAAAUAUCUUACAAUGGACAGGGGUAGGAAAGCUUGAAGAAAGCUUGAAAGCUUGAAGGGCUUACAUGAUGAGAGAGAAAGAAAAGAGAAUGGAGAACAUAAGCUUGGGAGAGAAACAGAAUUAAAAUGAAGCGUGCUUACAAAUGAGGACCGAGCCUCCUUAAAUAGGCAAAAAAGGAAUCUUGAAUAGUAACCAUGAACAGUAGACCCGUGCUUGAAUAGUGAAUAGUGAAUAGUAAGAUUCACUUUUAUACCGAAAUCCCCCAAAAAAACCCUCUUUCGGCUGAGAAGACUUCUGGCAGGCUGCUUUAUACUGUGUAGACACAAGCUUGCUACUUUUUGAACAGAAACACUAUAAAGCUUGAAAAAUAUUCUUGAUGGAAGACAAAAGGCUGAUGAUUACUUAGAUCUUCUUAUUGGAGGAAGGAUUCCUUCACAGUCAUCACCAUUGUCUGGAAGGUAGCUUGUUGAAUCAUCCGACUCUGCAUAAGAAUUUUCUUGGGGGAAACUUGAGCUUCCUUCUUCAAGGAUUUUCUGGAAAUCUUGAGGGGUCUUAGCUGCUACGAGCAUGGCUUGUAACUGUUGCUUUUUAAGGAGAAACUGAGACAUAUUAUCACUGGCUGAGACUUGUGUGGGGUUCUGGAGGAAAUACUGCUUAACUGUAUCAAUAGAUGCAUCAUUUUUUAAGGCAUCCCACCAUUUUGUUUUAAAGGUCCUUCCCAGAGAUGGAAAGGCUGCUGAUUCAUCUGUAAUGAUAAUAUAAUCCCACUGGACUAUCCAAGCAAGGCCAAAUUUGCUGAAGAAGAAUAGUAAAGGGGGAAAAGCUGAAAGUUCUCUGGGGAUAUCAAAAGAACUUCUAAAUAGCUCAAAGCCAUCCAGGAUGGGCUUGGGAAGAAUCUUAAUAGUUGGACCAUAAUAAUUCCACCAACUGUAGAACCAAAAUGGGAAAGAGGAAAGCUGAUUCUUAGAUGGAAAAUAGAACAUCCAUGAAUGAUGGAAGUCCCUAUUAUGGAUCAGAAAAGCAUUAAACCAUGCUCUCUGAUAAUCCCAAUAAUUAAAAAACCUUGGCUUUGAUGGUUCAGAAAAUUCCCUUGAAAGAGUAGGAUUUCCUCCCCAUUGCUUGAUAGUAAGAAUCUUAUAGAUAUGGUAGGUGGAGAAUGCCAAACUCAUAUUGCUGAAUUUGUCUGCAUUAUGCUUAAUUUUAACAGAACCAGUUUUUGUAAGGACUGCUUCAUAAAACUCUCUUGUUCUUAAAAUAUCACCAGAGAGAUAAUGAAAAUUUUAUUGAAAAGCUUUUGCAACAAUUUCUCUGGGGUUUUCAGAGAAAAAUUCUCUUUCUAUAACCAAAAGAGGUUGAUUUAAAUCAUUUUGCCAAUAUCUUGAUUUUGUUGAAAGAGGUGUGGGGUUGGCAGCCACCACAAUUUGCUUGUUUGAAAAAGAGGAGCUUGAUGCUAAUUCCUUUUGAGAGGGAUUAGCCUUAAUGACUUGCUUGAAGGUCUGAGACCCUGAAAUGGCUGGAUACUGAGUGGCCUUGACUGGAUUAGCUGGAUCGGAAUGAUCAUAGUACAAGGUCAUCAUCUUGUUAGGCAUAGGUUUAGAAGAAUGAAGCCUUGCUUCUUCUUCUUCAACUUGUUGGCUCCAUAGCAUUUUAUGGGGAGAAGGAGCUUGACUGGAUUGGGUUUUCUAGCUAGGAGCUUGGGUAUUCUUUUUAGGGGCCAUGGUCUCGUGAACCCUGCAAAUUUCAUGAGUUGAGUGAUUAGGAAUGAAACUUUCUCCUUUAAUAAUCUUGAUUUGAAAAUUAGGGUUUAAAAUAAUCCAAUCAAUUAAAUUAUACUUAAAAGAAAUAUACUUAAUUGUUUUCUCAGAUGUGAAAACAACUUUUAAAAUUCCUUGGUUCAAAAUAUCAAUUUGAAAUUUUGAAAUGCAUAAAGGAAUGCUUAAAAUAUCAUUUAUAAUGAGAUUAUGAAUGAAUUGGGUACCUAAUAUCUUAGGUGGAUCAUCUAUUCUAACAAUAUUAAUUUCUUGAUCACAUCGAGUGAUGUUUUCAAUAGGAUUAGAAAAUUCAAAAAGAAUUUCCUUAUCAAAAAACUUUGUUCUUAUACCUUGGUUAUCUACCCACAAUGGAUAAAUAGAGCUUAAGAAGGGUAUUCCUAGAAGGGCUUUUUCAUUAAGGUCCUUAACAAGGAUAAAGGUUUGCUUAAUACAGAUGUCAUGGUUACGGAUAUGAACAUCUGUUAAUUUAUACUUAAUGGCAAGUCUUUUGCCAUUGGCUCCAAAUAGAGACUGACUAGUCUCUUCGCAUAAAGGAAUAGGUACAAGACCUUCUUGAAGGCAAUUUUCAGCUGCUCCUGAAUCAAUCAAAGCAAUAAUAUCAAAGACAAAUUUAUCUUUGACUACUAUAGUAAGGGAGACUUCCCACCUCUGGAAGAUAACCCUACUCACAGUAUUCAAAAAAGUAUAUGUCUCAUUAUCAUUAACAUGAGAAGAUUCUGGAAUAUCCAUAAGGUUUCCUUGGUUGACCAUCUUAUUGAUUUGAUCUUGGAGAUCAGAGAGACCUAAACUUAUGAAUUGUCUUAACUCUUUAAUCUCCUUUUUAUGCUGCUUAACUUCUUCAUGAAGUUCCUUAAUGCUGACAUCCUUGGGAGACUGUUGGUCAAACCUGUUUAAGAUAUCAUUAAAGUUAUAAGGAUUAACAGUCUUCUUGGCUUCUACCUUGACAACAGAUUUCUUAAAAACUUCAUAAAGAUUUUGCUUAGUCUUUUCAUCUUCAACUUUUCUUAAAGUAUCUAGGAUAAAUUCCUGAUCUUGGCUUAUGACAUUUAUAGUUUUAGGACGGCAAUUACAAUUUCCUUUAAUACAUUCUGCUUAGUCACUAGAAGAUUGGCUGUAAACUUCACCACUACUGUCUAGUUGAUUAAUGUCAUCUUCAUUAUCUGAAUCAGUCCUUGAUUCAGAAUCUAAGUUUAACAUUACCUUACAAAGCAUAUUUUUUAAGUCAUCUGAGACACUUAAGUUAUUAAUCUUUUGCUUAACUCUACAAUCUUUUUUAUAAUGGCCAACUUUGCCACAUUUAAAACAGAUGAUUGGCUUGACAUCUAAAGGAGUUUCUACCUUUUUCUGGGUAUCUUUGUUGAUCCUUCUUUGGAUGUGCCUUGAAUGCUUAGUAUCAUUCAUCCUAUAGUUGUCAUGGGUACCUCUCUUACUGUGGUAAAACUUAUCUUUGUUAGGCUUCCUACUUGGUUUUUGCUUAGAGGGAGGCAUAGUUUCUUUUUGGCUGAAACCAAACUGGCUACAGAAUGAUCCAAAUUCAUUCUUGUAGAUUUUUUUGUUCAUUCUUCAUUUGUUGCUUAAGCUUGAAGUCAUUGCACAACUUAAUCCCUUCAGCUAUGACAAUGCUUAUAAUCUCACCAUAGGUUAACUUAUCAUAAGGGAUUUGACCAUUAUACUGUUCCCUUAUCUUGAUCCUAAUUCUCUCAGAGAAAAGCUUAGGUAAUCCUGAGAUGAACUUUUCUUUCCAAAAAGACUGGUUACAAUCUGAUCUUAGCAUGACUUUGGUUAGGAAGACUUUCUUAUACCACCUAAAAUCAUGAAGCUUGGGACACUUAAGGUUGGUUAAGAGAUCUGCAGUUUUAUCCUUAAUUUUUGCAGGAUCUCCAAUGAAGUGCUUGGAUAUUGAGUAGAUUAAAGUAGCCACUGCAUCCUCAAUAUCUUGGUCAUCUUCGUCCUUAACAACUUCAUUACUCUCAUUAAUCCUAUAGGCUUUAAGGAUACUAUUCCUAUCAUCAAAAGUGAGAUAAUUAUCCCACCAACCCUUAAGCUGACCUGUAAAUCUAGCAACAAUGGUCUGAGCUACAGCAUGAUCUGGCAGUCUAUUGUUUAAUUUAUAGGCUGUACUUACCAUGGUCAUCUCUUGAAGCUUAGUGAGUAUGUUAUACUCGGUCAUACCAUCUAUGUUCCAUUCAUAGAUAGUACCACUGGUGUAUGAGGCUUGAGUAUACUGAUUUCUUUCUUCAAACUGCAUGUCAGGAAAAGUAGGUCUAGGAUAAUAAUUCCUAGUCUUAAAGGCUUCCAAGUUGUUAAUAAUUUGAUUAUGGGGUUCCUCAAACAUCUUAAUUAGUUCAUCAGCUUCUUCUUCUGAACUAAUAUCACCUUUAACCAUAUUGAUUCUCUUAUCAGGCUGAACAGUCAAAGGGGCAACAAGAUUAUCCUUAAUCUUCUGAUUAAUCCUAUCAACAAAAUCCUGGUUGAUUUGGGGAUUUUCUUGGAAUUCCUUAGAAAAUUCAAAGGACUCAGUGCUCUUCGUGUUAUUAACACGCUUAUAAGGAUAAUCUGGAUAUUCCUCUUGUUUGAAGAUUUCAAACCAAAUCCAAAACUUAAUAUUUUUCUUUUCUUAUCUUAAGUAGGCAUAGAAUUCCUCUUGGUAAAUGGUUCUAAUGACCUUAGGGACAGUGCUAAAGAACCAAUCAUUUCUUUGCUUAUUGACUUCAGAAUAGAAGCCUUUUCUUAAGAGAUCCUUGUUGAUCUCAAAGUCCUCAUCACUUAGGCUUAUUGUGUUAAUCAUCUGGGAAUAGGUAGGAGACAUAACAUGGGACUCAUCCUGUUGGGAUUCCUGAGUAGACUCAUUUUCUUCACUGUAAAAUGGUCUAGCCACGUUGGUGUGACUUCUAACACCAGUUAGCUUAAUGUUCUUAGGGUUUCCUGAGCUGGAUCCUUCUUCUUCCCUAGUGGUUCUAACUGGGAUGGAAGAGCUUGAAGCUCUAGAGGGUUCAUAAACAUAAACUCUAGGGCUGCUGGAAUGUCUGAAAGAGUUGGAGAAAACCAAUUCUCCUCCUCCAUCAGGAUAUUGAACAAUUUGUUCAAUACUUUCAGAACGCUGUGCUAUGGCUGGAACAGCAAAAUGCCAAUUUUCAGGAAACUCAACAUCUUUCCACAAGAUCUUCUUGGGAAUGAUGAAAUCUGACUUAUCUAGCAUAUUUGAAUGAAAGUAAGUGGUCUCACCUUUAGGACUGGUGCAAAGAGCCCCAGAUCCAACGCUUGUGUUCAUGCUCUUAUAGGCAAACCUGGUUAUGAUAGAAACAGGACUGUUUCCUGGUUUGAUCAUAAAGCCAUGAGUCUUAAUAUGCAAAACAACGGAAUCUAAGAUGUCUGCAUCUCUUAUUUUAACUGUGAAGUUAGGAUAUCACUGGAAAUAAACUGGGCCAUCAUUCAGUCCAGCUUGGACUGCGCCUAUAAUAGAAUCUCGAUAUUCGAGAUGCCUAUUAUCCCUUAAACACAUGACAAUAGAGGUGUUUAAACCUAAUCUUGUCAAAGGCUUAGCUGCUACUUGAAUCAUACCAAAGUGUAUGAAAUUAUAGCCAUCUUUCUUAUGCUUAUCAAUGGAUCUGUUAUCUAGAAGUCUUAUGACUUGGUCAUCUUGUUCUAAGCUGACAGACAUUUCAGAGGUCUUAAUGGUAUAAUCUGUGAAGAACUUAAAGGUUCCUUUCUUAUAAAUUUCUUGAUUAGACACCUUGGGUAACUUCCAAUCAUCUAAAUCAUUUUGGAUCUUAGGAUAAUUGAUCUCUUCACUGUUUACAAUAGUAUCUUGAGAAUCACUGGAUCUCCUAGACAUGGUUAUGAAAAUUGAACUCAUUUUAGGGUUUUUGAACUAGAGCCUAAUAGCAGAUUGACAGACCUUAUGAGAUGUCACCCCAACCCUCUUACAGCCUAACAAACGCCUAUCCACGGCUAACAACGGCUCAACCGGCAAGGCUCGCACUCCCAGGCACACUGCUACCUAUCCUAGGAUAGGCCAAGAACACCUAAAACAAGACCCAACUUCCCUCCCACAUGGCUCUGAUACCAUAGACACCCAGGACAAGGUCAUAUGCAAUGAAAACAGGAAUUAUGCCAUGAUUCAAAACAAAGAAGAGGGUUAGAAAAUACACAGGAUAUCCAACAAGAAAUUUAAAGAGAAGGAACAAAAAACUUGUCAGUUCAUAAUAAGCUUAAAACUGACCAUGUAGGCGGUACAAAAUAAAAAACAUAAACUUAAAAACAAAACUUAAUUAAAACUGACCAUGUAGGCGGUACAAGAACAUAAAAUGAAAAACAAAACUUAAAAAACCAUCCAUAUAGGAGGUAAUCAAAACAUACUUAUAUUAUACAUAAGGAGAAAUAUCUUACAAUGGACAGGGAUAGGAAAGCUUGAAGAAAGCUUGAAGGGCUUACAUGAUGAGAGAGGAAGAAGAGAGAAGGGAGAGCAUAAGCUUGGGAGAGAAACAGAACUAAAAUGAAGCGUGCUUACAAAUGAGGACCGAGCCUCCUUAAAUAGGCAAAAAAGGAAUCUUAAAUAGUAACCAUGAACAGUAGACCCGUGCUUGAAUAGUGCUUGAAUAGUAAAAGUGAACAGUAAGACUGAACUGUAGCACUUUUGACUAUUGACUCGGAAUCUUGCUUUCGGCUGAAAUGACUAUUAGUCAAUUAAUCAAGGAGGAAUAUAUUCCGAGCGGUGAUCCAUUAGGAGUUGAGUAUCUUGAAUAGUGGAUUUGAACGCUAAAGGAUCAAUCUUUUUGCUGCAGAAGAUCUGAUGACGGGAAUCCGCAGCAAUGAGAUACCCCAUGUUUUUAGGGUAGGCUUCAAAGUCUCUGUUGAUAACUCUAACUCUCCAAUGCUUAAUUUGUUUAAUAAUUGGUUCGGCGCAAAUCUCAUUUUGCAAUAAGGGGUUUAACAAAAGUGUAGGCUUUCUAUUUUGAUAAUGAAGAUUAACAUAAUGCUGAGCUGGAAGAACAUUGCCAUUAGAAAUCCAUUCAGGAGCUUUGCUGAAGAAAAUGGCAUCUGCAAAUUUCUUAUUUAACUUAAAGCCUUGGGUUAAGCUUAAGUUAAUCUUUCUGCCAAAAUUGCUUGCUUGACUAGGAUCAGAACAAAUAAGCUGGUAGACUAACCCGUACUCAAGAAGCUUUUCAGGAGUUAGGGUUAUAACUCCUCCCUUGAAAGCGAUGUUAAUUGGCUGAUAAUGCUGAAGAUCAAUAGAGGCUCUACUGAUAGUGAAAUUUCUAUUGCAAUUGCACAAAUGCUUGUUGUCAUGCUGAUGCAGAAGUGGCUCACUAAUAUUUCUGCAAAUCUUUGAAUCAUCAAAUUCCAUCUCCUUAAUUAAAUUUAGUCCUGGAACACUGAGACCAGGAAUAGCUGAGAGAUAGAUAUGCAGAUCCUGAAGAUAGGCUGAAAUGAAAACUUGCAUUUCUUCUGCACUGGACUUGGCCUUUUCACAAAUUAGACGAUAAACAUCUGGCUUAAGAUUAUAUAGGAGUUGAUUCCUAUGAUGAAACAUUCUAAAGAGAAGGCAAUCUUGCUCUUCCUUACUUAAUUUUUUUCUCAUUCACCAAUGGGGUGAAUGGUUUUUUCUCACAUUUUUCCAGUGGGGAAAAAGAGGCUUGGCUUAUAUCUCCCUUAGGAAAGUUAGCUAUUUCUAGCAUUCUUUCGAGAUCCCUGCAUUUAGCCUGCAAAACAUGAAUACUUUUUUGAAUAGAUAAGGGGUUAGUAUCAAAAUUAGAGGAGUUUAUGGGGAUGGAAUCCUCCACAAAAGGUAGAGAAUCCAAACUAUUUCCUUCUUCCCAAGCAGGGGAGGAAGGAUGCUUAAGCACUGGAGGAAUGUAAGAAGAAGAUGAUCCAUGGGAAUCUGAGGCAUAAUACAUGGGUUUGAAUUUUUCUGAUAAGGCUGACUGGGAUUUCAUGUAGGAUGAUGGUUUCUUAAGGGAUUGCUUUUCUUUUUUGGGAGCCAUAUUCUCGGGAAUCCUGCAAAAAUUCACGAGUUAAGAAAUCAGGGAUAUAGUUAUUUUCUCCUUUAAUAUAUUCAAUUUGAAAAUCAAAAUUGCUUAAAAUAGCUUGCCAUCUAGCAAAUAUAUGCUUAGAAGCUAUAUUUUUAACAUCUUUUUUCAAAACUGAUUUUGUUGACAAACAAUCAACUCUUAAUAAAAAUUCUUGAUUUAAAAGAUCGUCUUGAAAUUUUGAAAUGCAUAAAACGAUGCUUAAAAUUUCCUUUUUGAUGGUGCUGUAGUUGAGUUGGGCAUGGUUCCAAGUUCCAGAAGUGAAUCUAACCAACAAUUCUUGAUUAUUACUUUUUUGCUUAAGAAUACCACCAAAACCUAUGUCAAAAGCAUCAGUCUCAAUAAUCUUAAAGGCUUUAUGAUCAGCUAAGGCGAGACAUGGUAAGGUUUUGACUCUAGAUUUUACUAUUUUAACAAUCUUGGUAUGAUCCUCAUUCCAAGGAACUGGAUUUUUCUUAAGUCUUUGUCUUAAAGGGGCACAUAAUUGGCUUAAAUCUUGUAUGAAAUCUGACACAUAAUUAAGGCUUCCUAAGAAACGUUGCAAUUGUUUCUUAUCCUUAAUCUCAUCAGGGAACUUAUCAGCAAACUCAAUUGAUCUUUGAAUGGGGGUGAAUGUUCCUUGGUGAAUAUGAUGACCUAGGAAUCUUACUUUAGUUUGGAAGAGGUUAAUCUUAGUGGCUGACAAGCUUAAACCAUUGCUCUUAACAGUCUCAAUAAAUCUAUUGAGAUGUUUCCAAUGCUGCUCAAUAGAAUCUGAGUAAAUCAAAACAUCAUCAAUGUAAACAAUAAUGAAAUCAGAAAACUGGUUAAAGAUUUCAUUCAUUAUGUUUUGAAACUCAGAAGGUGCAUUCUUAAGGCCAAAGGGCAUUACAUUCCACUCAUAAUGACCAAAUGGGACCACAAAAGCUAUUUGUACCUAUCUUUUUCCGCAAUCUGGAUUUGCCAAAAUCCUAAUUUCAUGUCAAACUUAGAGAAAACUUUGGACUUCCCUAAUCUUUGAAAGAGGUCUUUUUUUAUUUGGGAUAGGAUAUCUAAUCCAUCUUAAAACAUCAUUGAGGGGCUUAUAGUUGAUGACUAGUCUAGGUGUUCCUCUUUCUAGUUCAGCUUGUUUCUGAACAUAAAAGGCUGAACAACUCCAAGAGGAUUUAGACAUAAAAGGCUUGUUUCUGAUUUCAUUAUUGUUUACAUUGAUGAUGUUUUGAUUUACUCAGAUUCUGUUGAGCAGUAUUGGAAACAUCUCAAUAGAUUUAUUGAGACUGUUAAGAGCAAUGGUUUAAGCUUGUCAGCCACUAAGAUUAACCUCUUCCAAACGAAAGUAAGAUUCCUAGGUCAUCACAUUCACUAAGGAACAUUCACCCCCAUUCAAAGAUCAAUUGAGUUUGCUGAUAAGUUCCUUGAUGAGAUUAAGGAUAAGAAACAAUUGCAACGUUUCUUAGGAAGCCUUAAUUAUGUGUCAGAUUUCAUACAAGAUUUAAGCCAAUUAUGUGCCCCUUUAAGACAAAGACUUAAGAAAAAUCCAAUUCCUUGGAAUGAGGAUCAUACCAAGAUUGUUAAAAUAGUAAAAUCUAGAGUCAAAACCUUACCAUGUCUUGCCUUAGCUGAUCAUAAAGUCUUUAAGAUUGUUGAGACUGAUGCUUCAGACAUAGGUUUUGGUGGUAUUCUUAAGCAAAGAAGUAAUAAUCAAGAAUUGUUGGUUAGAUUCACUUCUGGAACUUGGAACCAUGCCCAACUCAACUACAGCACCAUCAAAAAGGAAAUUUUAAGCAUUGUUUUAUGCAUUUCAAAAUUUCAAGACGAUCUUUUAAAUCAAGAAUUUUUAUUAAGAGUUGAUUGUUUGUCAGCAAAAUCAGUUUUGCAAAAAGAUGUUAAAAAUAUAGCUUCUAAGCAUAUUUUUGCUAGAUGGCAAGCUAUUUUAAGCAAUUUUGAUUUUCAAAUUGAAUAUAUUAAAGGAGAAAAUAACUCUAUCCCUGAUUUCUUAACUCGUGAAUUUUUGCAGGAUUCCCGAGAAUAUGGCUCCCAAAAAAGAAAAGCAAUCCCUUAAGAAACCAUCAUCCUACAUGAAAUCCCAGUCAGCAUUAUCAGAAAAAUUCAAACCCAUGUAUUAUGCCUCAGAUUCCCAUGGAUCAUCUUCUUCUUACAUUCCUCCAGUGCUUAAGCAUCCUUCCUCCCCUGCUUUGGAAGAAGGAAAUAGUUUGGAUUCUCUACCUUUUGUGGAGGAUUCCAACCCCAUAAACUCCUCUACUUUUGAUACUCACCCCUUAUCUAUUCACAAAAGUAUUCAUGUUUUGCAGGCUAAAUGCAGGGAUCUCGAAAGAAGGCUAGAAAUAGCUAACUUUCCUAAAAGAGAUAUAAGCCAAGCCCCUUUUUCCCCACUAGAAAAAGGUGAGAAAAAACCAUUCACCCCACUGGUGAAUGAGAAAAAAUUAAGUAUGGAAGAGCAAGAUUGCCUUCUCUUUAGAAUGUUUCAUCAUAAGAAUCAACUCCUAUAUAAUCUUAAGCCAGAUGUUUAUCGUCUAAUUUGUGAAAAGGCCAAGUCCAAUGCAGAAGAAAUGCAAGUUUUCAUUUCAGCCUAUCUUCAGGAUCUGCAUAUCUAUCUCUCAUCUAUUCCUGGUCUCAGUGUUCCAGGACUAAAUUUAAUUAAGGAGAUGGAAUUUGAUGAUUCAAAGAUUUGCAGAAAUAUUAGCGAGCCACUUCUGCAUCAGCAUGACAACAAGCAUUUGUGCAAUUGAAAUAGAAAUUUCACUAUCAGUAGAGCCUAUAUUGAUCUUCAGCAUUAUCAGCCAAUAAACCUCGCUUUCAAGGGAGGAGUUAUAACCCUAACUCCUGAAAAGCUUCUUGAGUACGGGUUAGUCUGCCAGCUUAUUUGUUCUGAUCCUAGUCAAGCAAGCAAUUUUGGUAGAAAGAUUAACUUAAGCUUAACCCAAGGCUUUAAGUUAAAUAAGAAAUUUGCAGAUGCCAUUUUCUUCACAAAGCUCCUGAAUGGAUUUCUAAUGGCAAUGUUCUUCCAGCUCAGCAUUAUGUUAAUCUUCAUUAUCAAAAUAGAAAGCCUACACUUUUGUUCAACCCCUUAUUGAAAAAUGAGAUUUGCGCCGAACCAAUUAUUAAACAAAUUAAGCAUUGGAGAGCUAGAGUUAUCAGCAGAGACUUUGAAGCCUACCCUAAAAACAUGGGGUAUGUCAUUGCUGCGGAUUCCCGUCAUCAGAUCUUCUGCAGCAAAAAGAUUGAUCAUUUACCAUUCAAAUCCACUAUUCAAGAUACUCAGCUCCUAAUGGAUCACCGCUCGGAAUAUAUUCCUCCCUGAUUAAUUGACUAGCAGUCAUUUCAGCCGAAAGCAAGAUUCCGGGUCAAUAGUCAAAAGUGUUACAGUUCAGUCUUACUGUUCACUUUUACUAUUCAAGCACUAUUCAAGCACGGGUCUAUUGUUCAUGGUUACUAUUUAAGAUUCCUUUUUUGCCUAUUUAAGGAGGCUCGGUCCUCAUUUGUAAGCACGCUUCAUUUUAGUUCUGUUUCUCUCCCAAGCUUAUGCUCUCCCUUCUCUCUUCUUUCUCUCUCAUCAUGUAAGCCCUUCAAGCUUUCAAGCUUUCUUCAAGGUUUCCUACCCCUGUCCAUUGUAAGAUAUUUCUCCUUAUGUAUUAUAUAAGUAUGUUUUGAUUACCUCCUAUAUGGAUGGUUUUUUAAGUUUUGUUUUUCAUUUUAUGUUCUUGUACCGCCUACAUGGUCGGUUUUAAUUAAGUUUUGUUUUUAAGUUUAUGUUUUUUAUUUUGUACCGCCUACAUGGUCUGUUUUAAGCUUAUUAUGAACUAACAAGUUUUUGCUUCUCUUUAAAUUUCUUAUUGGAUAUCCUGUGUAUUUUCUAACCCUCUUCUUUGUUUUGAAUCAUGGCAUAAUUCCUGUUUUCAUUGCAUAUGACCUUGUCCUGGGUGUCUAUGGUAUCAGAGCCAUGUGGGAGGGAAGUUGGGUCUUGUUUUAGGUGUUCUUGGCCUAUCCUAGGAUAGGUAGCAGUGCCUGGGAGCGCGAGCCCUGCCGGUUGAGCCGUUGUUAGCCGUGGAUAGGCGUUUGUUAGGCUAUAAGAGGGUUGGGGUGACGUCUCAUAAGGUCUGUGAAUCUGCUAUUAGGCUCUACUUCAAAAACCCUAAAAUGAGUUCAAUUUUCAGAACCAUGUCUAGGAGAUCCAGUGAUUCUCAAGAUACUGUUGUAAACAGUGAAGAGAUCAAUUAUCCUAAGAUCCAAAAUGAUUUAGAUGAUUGGAAGUUACCCAAGGUGUCUAAUCAAGAAAUUUAUAAGAAAAUAACCUUUAAGUUCUUCACAGAUUAUACCAUUAAGACCUCUGAAAUGUCUGUCAACUUAGAACAAGAUGACCAAGUCAUAAGACUUCUAGAUAACAGAUCCAUUGAUAAGCAUAAGAAAGAUGGCUAUAAUUUCAUACACUUUGGUAUGAUUCAAGUAGCAGCUAAGCCUUUGACAAGAUUAGGUUUAAACACCUCUAUUGUCAUGUGUUUAAGGGAUAAUAGGCAUCUCGAAUAUCGAGAUUCUAUUAUAGGCGCAGUCCAAGCUGGACUGAAUGAUGGCCCAGUUUAUUUCCAGUGCUAUCCUAACUUCACAGUUAGAAUAAGAGAUGCAGACAUCUUAGAUUCCGUUGUUCUGCAUAUUAAGACUCAUGGCUUUAAGAUCAAACCAGGAAACAAUCCUGUUUCUAUCAUAACCAGGUUUGCCUAUAAGAGCAUGAACACAAGCGUUGGACCUGGGGCUCUUUGCACCAGUCCUAAAGGUGAGACCACUUACUUUCAUUCAGAUAUGCUAGAUAAGUCAGAUUUCAUCAUUCCCAAGAAGAUCUUGUGGAAAGAUGUUGAGUUUCCUGAAAAUUAGCAUUUUGUUGUUCCAGCCAUAGCACAACGUUCUGAAAGUAUUGAAAAAAUUGUUCAAUAUCCUGAUGGAGGAGGAGAACUGGUUUUCUCCAACUCUUUCAGGCAUUCCAGCAGCCCUAGAGUUUCUGUUUAUGAACCCUCUAGAGCUUCAAGCUCUUCCAUCCCAGUUAGAACCACUAGGGAAGAAGAAGGAUCCAGCUCAGGAAACCCUAAGAACAUUAAGCUAACUGGUGUUAGAAGUCACACCAACGUGGCUAGACCAUUUUACAAUGAAGAAAAUGAGUCUACUCAGGAAUCCCAACAGGAUGAGUCCCCUGUUAUGUCUCCUACCUAUUCCCAAAUGAUUAACACAAUAAGCCUAAGUGAUGAGGACUUUGAGAUCAACAAGGAUCUCUUAAGAAAAGACUUCUAUUCUGAAGUCAAUAAGCAAAGAAAUGAUUGGUUCUUUAGCACUGUCCCUAAGGUCAUUAGAACCAUUUACCAAGAAGAAUUCUAUGCCUACUUAAGACAAGAAAAGAAAAAUAUUAAGUUUUGGAUUUGGUUUGAACUCUUCAAACAAGAGGAAUAUCCAGAUUAUCCUUAUAAGCGUGUUAAUAACACGAAGAGCACUGAGUCCUUAGAAUUUUCUAAGGAAUUCCAAGAAAAUCCCCAAAUCAACCAGGCUUUUGUUGAUAGGAUUAAUCAGGAGAUUAGGGAUAAUCUUGUAUCCCCUUUGACUGUUUAGCCUGAUAAGAGAAUCAAUAUGGUUAAAGGUGAUAUUAGUUCAGAAGAAGAAGCUGAUGAACUAAUUAAGAUGUUUGAGGAACCCCAUAAUCAAAUUAUUAACAACUUGGAAGCCUUUAAGACUAGGAAUUACUAUCCUAGACCUACUUUUCCUGACAUGCAGUUUGAGGAAAGAAAUCAGUAUACUCAAGCCUCAUACACCAGUGGUACUAUCUAUGAAUGGAACAUAGAUGGUAUGACCGAGUAUAACAUACUCACUAAGCUUCAAGAGAUGACCAUGGUAAGUACAGCCUAUAAAUUAAACAAUAGACUGCCAGAUCAUGCUGUAGCUCAGACCAUUGUUGCUAGGUUUACAGGUCAGCUUAAGGGUUGGUGGGAUAAUUAUCUCACUUUUGAUGAUAGGAAUAGUAUCCUUAAAGCUUAUAGGAUUAAUGAGAGUAAUGAAGUUGUUAAGGGCGAAGAUGGCCAAGAUAUUGAGGAUGUAGUGGCUACUUUAAUCUACUCAAUAUCCAAGCACUUCAUUGGAGAUCCUGCAAAAAUUAAGGAUAAAACUGCAGAUCUCUUAACCAACCUUAAGUGUCCCAAGCUUCAUGAUUUUAGGUGGUAUAAGGAAGUCUUCCUAACCAAAGUCAUGCUAAGAUUAGAUUGUAACCAGUCUUUUUGGAAAGAAAAGUUCAUCUCAGCAUUACCCAAGCUUUUCUCUGAGAGAAUUAGGAUCAAGAUAAGGGAACAGUAUAAUGGUCAAAUCCCUUAUGAUAAGUUAACCUAUGGUGAGAUUAUAAGCAUUGUCACAGCUGAAGGGAUUAAGUUGUGCAAUGACUUCAAGCUUAAGCAACAAAUGAAGAAUGAACAAAAAAAUCUACAAGAAUGAAUUUGGAUCAUUCUGUAGCCAGUUUAGUUUCAGCCAAAAAGAAAUUAUGCCUCCCUCUAAGCAAAAACCAAGUAGGAAGCCUAGCAAAGAUAAGUUUUACCACAGUAAGAGAGGUACCCAUGACAACUAUAGGAUGAAUGAUACUAAGCAUUCAAGGCACGUCCAAAGAAGGAUCAACAAAGAUACCCAGAAAAAGGUAGAAACUCCUUUAGAUGUCAAGCCUAUCAUCUGUUUUAAAUGUGGCAAAGUUGGCCAUUAUAAAAAAGAUUGUAGAGUUAAGCAAAAGAUUAAUAACUUAAGUGUCUCAGAUGACUUAAAAAAUAUGCUUUGUAAGGUAAUGUUAAACUCAGAUUCUGAAUCAAGGACUGAUUCAGAUAAUGAAGAUGACAUUAAUCAACUAGACAGUAGUGGUGAAGUUUCCAGCCAAUCUUCUAGUGACCAAGCAGAAUGUAUUAAAGGAAAUUGUAAUUGUCGUCCUAAAACUAUAAAUGUCAUAAGCCAAGAUCAGGAAUUUAUCCUAGAUACUUUAAGAAAAGUUGAAGAUGAAAAGACUAAGCAAAAUCUUUAUGAAGUUUUUAAAAAAUCUGUUGUCAAGGUAGAAGCCAAGAAGACUGUUAAUCCUUAUAACCUUAAUGAUAUCUUAAACAGGUUUGACCAACAGUCUCCCAAGGAUGUCAGCAUUAAGGAACUUCAUGAAGAAGUUAAGCAGCAUAAAAAGGAGAUUAAAGAGUUAAGACAAUUCAUAAGUUUAGGUCUCUCUUAUCUCCAAGAUCAAAUCAAUAAGAUGGUCAACCAAGGAAACCUUAUGGAUAUUCCAGAAUCUUCUCAUGUUAAUGAUAAUGAGACAGAUACUUUUUUGAAUACUGUGAGUAGGGUUAUCUUCCAGAGGUGGGAAGUCUCCCUUACUAUAGUAGUCAAAGAUAAAUUUGUCUUUGAUAUUAUUGCUUUGAUUGAUUCAGGAGCAGCUGAAAAUUGCCUUCAAGAAGGUCUUGUACCUAUUCUUUUAUGCGAAGAGACUAGUCAGUCUCUAUUUGGAGCCAAUGGCAAAAGACUUGCCAUUAAGUAUAAAUUAACAGAUGUUCAUAACCGUAACCAUGACAUCUGUAUUAAGCAAACCUUUAUCCUUGUUAAGGACCUUAAUGAAAAAGCCCUUCUAGGAAUACCCUUCUUAAGCUCUAUUUAUCCAUUGUGGGUAGAUAACCAAGGUAUAAGAACAAAGCUUUUUGAUAAGGAAAUUCUUUUUGAAUUUUCUAAUCCUAUUGAAAACAUCACUCGAUGUGAUCAAGAAAUUAAUAUUGUUAGAAUAGAUGAUCCACCUAAGAUAUUAGGUACCCAAUUCAUUCAUAAUCUCAUUAUAAAUGAUAUUUUAAGCAUUCCUUUAUGCAUUUCAAAAUUUCAAAUUGAUAUUUUGAACCAAGGAAUUUUAAAAGUUGUUUUCACAUCUGAGAAAACAAUUAAGUAUAUUUCUUUUAAGUAUAACUUAAUUGAUUGGAUUAUUUUAAACCCUAAUUUUCAAAUCAAGAUUAUUAAAGGAGAAAGUUUCAUUCCUAAUCACUCAACUCAUGAAAUUUGCAGGGUUCACGAGACCAUGGCCCCUAAAAAGAAUACCCAAGCUCCUAGCCAGAAAACCCAAUCCAGUCAAGCUCCUUCUCCCCAUAAAAUGCUAUGGAGCCAACAAGUUGAAGAAGAAGAAGCAAGGCUUCAUUCUUCUAAACCUAUGCCUAACAAGAUGAUGACCUUGUACUAUGAUCAUUCCGAUCCAGCUAAUCCAGUCAAGGCCACUCAGUAUCCAGCCAUUUCAGGGUCUCAGACCUUCAAGCAAGUCAUUAAGGCUAAUCCCUCUCAAAAGGAAUUAGCAUCAAGCUCCUCUUUUUCAAACAAGCAAAUUGUGGUGGCUGCCAACCCCACACCUCUUUCAACAAAAUCAAGAUAUUGGCAAAAUGAUUUAAAUCAACCUCUUUUGGUUAUAGAAAGAGAAUUUUUCUCUGAAAACCCCAGAGAAAUUGCUGCAAAAGCUUUUCAAUAAAAUUUUCAUUAUCUCUUUGGUGAUAUUUUAAGAACAAGAGAGUUUUAUGAAGCAGUCCUUACAGAAAUUGGUUUUGUUAAAAUUAAGCAUAAUGCAAACAAAUUCAGCAAUAUGAGUUUGGCAUUCUCCACCUGCCAUAUCUAUAAGAUUCUUACUGUCAAGCAAUGGGGAGGAAAUCCUACUCUUUCAAGGGAAUUUUCUGAACCAUCAAAGCCAAGGUUUUUUAAUUAUUGGGAUUAUCAGAGAGCAUGGUUUAAUGCUUUUCUGAUCCAGAAUAGGGACUUCCAUCAUUCAUGGAUGUUCUAUUUUCCAUCUAAGAAUCAGCUUUCCUCUUUCCAAUUUUGGUUCUACAGUUGGUGGAAUUAUUAUGGUCCGACUAUUAAGAUUCUUCCCAAGCCCAUCCUGGAUGGCUUUGAGCUAUUCAGAAGUUCUUUUGAUAUCCCCAGAGAACUUUCAGCUUUUCCCCCUUUACUAUUCUUCUUCAGCAAAUUUGGCCUUGCUUGGAUAGUCCAGUGGGACUAUAUUAUCAUUACAGAUGAAUCAGCAGUCUUUCCAUCUCUGGGAAGGACCUUUAAAACAAAAUGGUGGGAUGCCUUAAAAAAUGAUGCAUCUAUUGAUAUAGUUAAGCAGUAUUUCCUCCAGAACCCCACACAAGUCUCAGCCAGUGAUAAUAUGUCUCAGUUUCUCCUUAAAAAGCAACAGUUACAAGCCAUGCUCACAGCAGUUAAGACCCCUCAAGAUUUCCAGAAAAUCCUUGAAGAAGGAAGCUCAAGUUUCUCCCAAGAAAAUUCUUAUGCAGAGUCGGAUGAUUCAACAAGCUACUUUCCAGACAAUGGUGAUGACUGUGAAGGAAUCAUUCCUCCAAUAAGAAGAUCUAAGUAAUCAUCAGCCUUUGUCUUCCGUCAAGAAUAUUUUUCAAGCUUUACAGUGUUUCUAUUCAAAAAGCAGCAAGCUUGUGUCUACAUAGUAUAAAGCAGCCUGUCAGAAGUCUUCUCAGCCGAAAGAGGGUUUUUUGGGGGAUUUCGGUAUAAAAGUGAAUCUUACUAUUCACUAUUCACUAUUCAAGCACGAGUCUACUGUUCAUGGUUACUAUUUAAGAUUCCUUUUUUGCCUAUUUAAGGAGGCUCGGUCCUCAUUUGUAAGCACGCUUCAUUUUAGUUCUGUUUCUCUCCCAAGCUUAUGCUCUCCCUUCUCUCUUCUUUCUCUCUCAUCAUGUAAGCCCUUCAAGCUUUCAAGCUUUCUUCAAGCUUUCCUACCCCUGUCCAUUGUAAGAUAUUUCUCCUUAUGUAUAAUAUAAGUAUGUUUUGAUUACCUCCUAUAUGGAUGGUUUUUUAAGUUUUGUUUUUCAUUUUAUGUUCUUGUACCGCCUACAUGGUUGGUUUAAAUUAAGUUUUGUUUUUAAGUUUAUGUUUUUUAUUUUGUACCGCCUACAUGGUCGAUUUUAAGCUUAUUAUGAACUAACAAGUUUUUGGUUCCUUCUCUUUAAAUUUCUUGUUGGAUAUCCUGUGUAUUUUCUAACCCUCUUCUUUGUUUUGAAUCAUGGCAUAAUUCCUGUUUUGGGUGUCUAUGGUAUCAGAGCCAUGUGGGAGGGAAGUUGGGUCUUGUUUUGGGUGUUCUUGGCCUAUCCUAGGAUAGGUAGCAGUGUGCCUGGGAGUGCGAGCCCUGCCGGUUGACCUGUUGUUAGCCGUGGAUAGGCGUUUGUUAGGCUGUAAGAGGGUUGGGGUGACGUCUCAUAAGGUCUGUCAAUCUGCUAUUAGGCUCUAGUUCAAAAACCCUAAAAUGAGUUCAAUUUUCAGAACCAUGUCUAGGAGAUCCAGUGAUUCUCAAGAUACUGUUGUAAACAGUGAAGAGAUCAAUUAUCCUAAGAUCCAAAAUGAUUUAGAUGAUUGGAAGUUACCCAAGGUGUCUAAUCAAGAAAUUUAUAAGAAAAGAACCUUUAAGUUCUUCACAGAUUAUACCAUUAAGACCUCUGAAAUGUCUGUCAACUUAGAACAAGAUGACCAAGUCAUAAGACUUCUAGAUAACAGAUCCAUUGAUAAGCAUAAGAAAGAUGGCUAUAAUUUCAUACACUUUGGUAUGAUUCAAGUAGCAGCUAAGCCUUUGACAAGAUUAGGUUUAAACACCUCUAUUGUCAUGUGUUUAAGGGAUAAUAGGCAUCUCGAAUAUCGAGAUUCUAUUAUAGGUGCAGUCCAAGCUGGACUGAAUGAUGACCCAGUUUAUUUCCAGUGUUAUCCUAACUUCACAGUUAGAAUAAGAGAUGCAGAAAUCUUAGAUUCCGUUGUUCUGCAUAUUAAGACUCAUGGCUUUAAGAUCAAACCAGGAAACAGUCCUGUUUCUAUCAUAACCAGGUUUGCCUAUAAGAGCAUGAACACAAGUGUUGGAUCUGGGGCUCUUUGCACCAGUCCUAAAGGUGAGACCACUUACUUUCAUUCAGAUAUGCUAGAUAAGUCAGAUUUCAUCAUUCCCAAGAAGAUCUUGUGGAAAGAUGUUGAGUUUCCUGCAAAUUGGCAUUUUACUAAUGCUGUUCCAGCCAUAGCAUAGCAUUCUGAAAGUAUUGAACAAAUUGUUCAAUAUCCUGAUGGAGGAGGAGAACUGGUUUUCUCCAACUCUUUCAGACAUUCCAACAGCCCUAGAGUUUCUGUUUAUGAACCCUCUAGAGCUUCAAGCUCUUCCAUCCCAGUUAGAACCACUAGGGAAGAAGAAGGAUCCAGCUCAGGAAACCCUAAGAACAUUAAGCUAACUGGUGUUAGAAGUCACACCAAUGUGGCUAGACCAUUUUACAGUGAAGAAAAUGAGUCUACUCAGGAAUCCCAACAGGAUGAGUCCCCUGUUAUGUCUCCUACCUAUUCCCAGAUGAUUAACACAAUAAGCCUAAGCGAUGAGGACUUUGAGAUCAACAAGGAUCUCUUAAGAAAAGACUUCUAUUCUGAAGUCAAUAAGCAAAGAAAUGAUUGGUUCUUUAGCACUGUCCCUAAGGUCAUUAGAACCAUUUACCAAGAAGAAUUCUAUGCCUACUUAAGACAAGAAAAGAAAAAUAUUAAGUUUUGGAUUUGGUUUGAACUCUUCAAACAAGAGGAAUAUCCAGAUUAUCCUUGUAUGCGUAUUAACAACACCUCUACAAAAGCUAAGAUAUGGAAAACGAGUGACAACAUUGUUAUAGAAUCCAUUCAUCCUCCUGAAGCUAAGAUAGAAAAGAAUAUUAAUGGAACCAUAGUCACAGCUUCACCUUUUAAGACUAAGCCAGAGGAUAAAGGAACUGCUAGUGCAUCCGAUAUUAGAAGGAUUAUGGAACAAAUCAAUUAUACUAAUAUGUUUCUCAUAACCCUUGGAAAUCAAGUCAGCCGAGUUGAGGAGAUUAUUGAAACUCAGGAUCACCUUAAGAAGCCUUUUGUUAAGAAUGAUAAUAAGCCUUUGUUUAAGCCUUUUGAAUUAUCUAAGAAAUUCCAGGAAAAUCCUCAAAUUGAUCAAGCUUUCAUUGAUAGAAUAAGCCAAAAGGUUAAAGAUAAUCUUGUUAUCCCUGAAACACCUCAAACUUUUACUAUCCAUGAAACACUUCUACCUUCCCAUAGGAGAAUCCUUUUGGUUAAAAGGAAUAUUAGUCCAAAAGCAAAGGAUAAUGGACUAAUUAGGCUAACCAGAGAACCUUCUAUCCAAAACACUUUUAAGGAUCAUGAUGAUAAACAAGAGAAAAGGAUUAUCCUUAAUGCCCUGACUAUUAAAGAUCUUCAAGAAGAAAUAGGACAGUAUAAGAAGGAUAUUGAGAACCUAAGACAACCUACAAGCUUAGAAAUCCCUAUCCCUCAGGAUUAUAUCAACAGGGUAGGUUUUUACCACAGUAGUCCUAAAAAGGAAGACUUUGAAGAAGUUCUUGAAUCUUCACAAGAUAAUAGUGAUAAGAUAAAUGCAUACUUAAAUACUAUUAGUAAAGUUAUCUUCCAACUGUGGGAAGUCUCCCUUACUAUAGUAAUUAAGAAUAAAUUUAUCCUUGAUAUUAUUGCUUUAAUUGAUUCAGGUGCAGCUUUGAAUUGUCUACAAGAAGGUCUUGUACCUACCCAAUUUUAUGAGAAAACUAGGCAAGCCCUCUUUAGUGCUAAUGGUAAAAAGCUUAUUAUCAAGUACAAGCUAUCGAAUGCCCAUAUUUGUAACCAAGGCAUUUACAUUAAGCAAACCUUCAUUCUUGUUAAAGAUCUCAAGGAGAAAGUUCUCCUUGGAGUCCCUUUCUUAAGCUCCAUCUUUCCCUUGUGGGUAGAUGAUCAAGGUAUAAGAACCAAGCUUUUAGAUAAGGAAAUUCUGUUUGAAUUUGCCAAUCCACCUGGAGAAAGAAGUAUAAACACCAUAAAAGAUCAGGUGAUUAAGGCUAAGCAAAAUCAUAUUAAUCUCUUAAAGCAAGAGAUUGCUCUGGUUAGAAUAGAAGAUCAAUUGAAGGUUAAGAAAACCCAAGAUGCCAUAGAAAGCCUUAAGAAUAAGAUUAUUAAGGAAGUAUGUUCUAACAUUCCUAAUGCUUUUUGGCACAAGAAGCAGCAUGAGGUAGAAUUACCUUAUGAGCCUGAUUUUAGUGAGAAAAAAAUUCCCACUAAAGCAAGACCAAUCCAAAUGAACAAGGAUUUAUUAAGCUAUUGUGAAAAGGAAAUCCAGGAUCUCUUAGAUAAGAAGUUGAUAAAACUUAAUUAAAACCGACCAUGUAGGCGGUACAAGAACAUAAAAUGAAAAACAAAACUUAAAAAACCAUCCAUAUAGGAGGUAAUCAAAACAUACUUAUAUUAUACAUAAGGAGAAAUAUCUUACAAUGGACAGGGGUAGGAAAGCUUGAAGGGCUUACAUGAUGAGAGAGAAAGAAGAGAGAAGGGAGAGCAUAAGCUUGGGAGAGAAACAAAACUAAAAUGAAGCGUGCUUACAAAUGAGGACCGAGACUCCUUAAAUAGGCAAAAAAGGAAUCUUAAAUAGUAACCAUGAACAGUAGACCCGUGCUUGAAUAGUAAAAGUGAACAGUAGACUGAACUGUAGCACUUUUGACUAUUGACCCGGAAUCUUGCUUUCAGCUGAAAUGAUUGCUAGUCAAUUAAUCAGGGAGGAAUAUAUUCCGAGCGGUGAUCCAUUAGGAGCUGAGUAUCUUGAAUAGUGGAUUUGAACGGUAAAGGAUCAAUCUUUUUGCUGCAGAAGAUCUGAUGACGGGAAUCCGCAGCAAUGAGAUACCCCAUGUUUUAAGGGUAGGCUUCAAAGUCUCUGCUGAUAACUCUAGCUCUCCAAUGCUUAAUUUGUUUAAUAAUUGGUUUGGCGCAAAUCUCAUUUUGCAAUAAGGGGUUGAACAAAAGUGUAGGCUUUCUAUUUUGAUAAUGAAGAUUAACAUAAUGCUGAGCUGGAAGAACAUUGCCAUUAGAAAUCCAUUCAGGAGCUUUGCUGAAGAAAAUGGCAUCUGCAAAUUUCUUAUUUAACUUAAAGCCUUGGGUUAAGCUUAAGUUAAUCUUUCUGCCAAAAUUGCUUGCUUGACUAGGAUCAGAACAAAUAAGCUGGUAGACUAACCUGUACUCAAGAAGCUUUUCAGGAGUUAGGGUUAUAACUCCUCCCUUGAAAGCGAGGUUAAUUGGCUGAUAAUGCUGAAGAUCAAUACAGGCUCUACUGAUAGUGAAAUUUCUAUUGCAAUUGCACAAAUGCUUGUUGUCAUGCUGAUGCAAAAGUGGCUUGCUAAUAUUUCUGCAAAUCUUUGAAUCAUCAAAUUCCAUCUCCUUAAUUAAAUUUAGUCCUAGAACACUGAGACCAGGAAUAGCUGAGAGAUAGAUAUGCAGAUCCUGAAGAUAGGCUGAAAUGAAAACUUGCAUUUUUUCUGCACUGGACUUGGCCUUUUCACAAAUUAGACGAUAAACAUCUAGCUUAAGAUUAUAUAGGAGUUGAUUCCUAUGAUGAAACAUUCUAAAGAUAUAUAUAUAUAUAUAUAAAGGUAACUUUUUUAAUUAAUAAAAAAUUGUCAUAUGAAAAAAAGUCUCAUCUCUCUGUACAUUGAUUUAUACUCCAUUUCUUUGUACUUGUUGUAUGGUUAGAUUAAAAGUUCAAUAUGAUACUAAAUUUAAUAAGCUUGCCAUGAUCUCUAGUUAUACACAAAAUUAAAUAACAUUAAUUUUGCCAGUGGAUUAGUAUUUUUUUUUUUUAAAGGCAACCAAUUUAAGCUAUAACCAUUUGGUUACAACAUGAGAGGGCUAGGGAGUGGUGGUAGAGGAAGUAUUUGACAACAUUUCUAUAACCAUGAAUGGUGACUUUGUAGGUUAUAUUGGAGAACAAGGAGAGCCGCUCUGAUGGGUUGCCACAUCUAGUCUAUGUAUCCAGAGAGAAGCAUCCCAAGCAUCCACACCAUUACAAAGCGGGUGCCAUGAAUGUUCUGGUAAGGAAGCCCCUUGAAUUGGUAUAAUUACUGAUAUUCCUUCUUUUCCCCUGAUUAUUUCAUGAUAAACAGACCAGAGUCUCUGGAGCUAUGACAAAUGCUCCUUUCAUGCUGAACGUAGACUGUGAUAUGUACGCAAACAAUCCACAGAUUUUUCAUCAUUCAAUGUGUUUGCUCCUCAGUUCCAAGAAUGAACAGGACUGCGGGUUUGUUCAGACUCCACAAUCCUUCUAUGAUGGACUAAAGGACGACCCAUUUGGAAAUCAGUUUGGAGUUUUGUAUAAGGUAUGCCAAAUUUCAAUAGUGAAGAGUGAUCUCUUCCAUACUAUAGAGCACACGUACUAGAAGCCUCUUUUAUUUUUUCAUUAAUUGAUAUCUUUGCUGAAUCAGUAUGUAGCAAGUGGAAUAGCAGGGCUUCAAGGACCUCAUUAUUCUGGAACGGGAUGUUUUCAUCGAAGAAAAGUUAUCUAUGGGUUAUGGCCAGAUGGAAGGAUGGAGUUCAAAGGAAGAAUUGGUAUGCAGUCAAUUUAUUUGUCUUAUGUAUCCUUUUAAUUUCCUUACAGGGAUCUUAAAAUGUUAUAUGAAACUAAGCAUUACAGUUUUCUCUACUUUUUGGUAGGAAAAUUAACAGACGAGAGAUUAGAAAAAACAUUCGGAAAUUCAAAGGAAUUCACAAAAACAGCUGCAAGGAUUUUAUCAGGGUUGAGCGGGGUUUCGGAUUGUCCAUAUGAUCUUUCGAAUCGGGUUGAGGCAGCACACCAAAUUGCAAGUUGCAGCUAUGAGUAUGGAGCUAACUGGGGUACAAAGGUGAGCAGCCAAUAGUUAGAACAACAAGAAUAGUACCUCAAAUGAUACCUUUAGUUCAACCAUUUUUCAUUAAAUAAGGAUCUAUUUUUAUUUUUUUAUUUUGAAAAGAAACUUAACUAGAAGUUACAUGCAUUAUGUGACUAUCCAUGUUCAGAUUGGUUGGUUAUAUGGAACUACAACAGAAGACAUCCUCACAGGUAUGAGGAUACAUGCAAGAGGUUGGAAAUCCACAGAUUGCCGGCCUGACCCUCCUGCAUUUCUUGGGUGCGCACCCUCAGGCGGGCCUGCUGCACUUAUCCAACAGAAGAGAUGGGCCACUGGCCUCCUUGAGGUGCUGUUCAGCAAGAACAGCCCAUUCAUUAUCACCUUCACUGCAAAGCUCCAAUUUCGCCAAUGCCUUGCAUACAUGUGGAUUCUUUCAUGGGGUUUAAGGCCAAUUCCGGAGCUUUAUUAUCUUGCUUUGCCAGCAUAUUGCAUCAUGGCCGGCUCACAUUUCUUGCCCAAUGUGAGCAAAACUAAAACCAUUCAGUUUUCCUCUUAAAUUCAUACAUAGCAUUAGUAGUACUACUUCACCAACCUUUGUUUUAUUAUCAUUGACGCAGGUCCAAGACCCAGCUGUGUUGAUACCGAUAUCCCUCUUUGUCAGUUACAAUUUUCACACUCUAUUGGAAUACUGGGGGGCUGGAUAUUCAAUCCGAGCAUGCUGGAACAACUUGAGGAUGUGGAGAAUAACCGCAGUGACCGCAUGGUUAUUUGGAUUUUUAAGCGUCAUUCUGAAGCUCCUGGGGUUAUCGGAGACCGUCUUUGAAGUUACAAAAAAAGACCAAUCCACUACUCCUGGGGAGGGCAGUGACAAGGAUGCUGGUCGGUUCACCUUUGAUGGGUCUCUGAUUUUUGUUCCGGCCACUACUCUUCUGUUGGUGCACCUGAUGGCACUUGUAACAGCCUUGUUAGGACUAUUUGAUCAUGUCGAGAUUGAAUCAAGAAUAGGGGAGAUAAUAUGUAGUGUGUGGGUGGUGCUAUGCUUCUCGCCGUUUCUUAAAGGCUUGUUUGGGAAAGGAAAAUAUGGGAUACCCAAAUCCACUAUAUGCAAGUCAGCAGCUUUGGCGUUUCUUUUUUUUGCUUGCACUAUUACAGUAAGAAAAUGACAUUAGUAAAAACUAAAAACCGUAACAAUUUAUUAAGCAUAAUUGUUAGUCAAGUGUGUUAUGACAUGUAUUAUCCGGUUCAAUGUACGAACAAAUUAAUUUAUGCAAUUUUAAUGGCAGUUUGCUUUUCACCAUUGCCGUAGCGGCAGUACCUCCAUGAAUUGAAAUGAAGUAAUGAUCACAACCAUGAGUUUAAAGUACUAAUGAUUAGUGGAAAAAAGAUGAGACAAAAGAAAAUUAUCAUAUAUUCUCUUCAUUCUCCACUCAUUAAUAUAUAUGAAUAGGAAAGAUCUCAUGUUCCCUACAUAAGAAAAAAAAAAAAAGGAUUAAUUUCAAGAAUAUAUUGAUUAAACCGAGGAAAAUAAAACACAUAAAAUAGAAAAUUAAGUGAUUUAAAUUCAAAAGAUCAAGUCAAAAUAGAAAACAAUCUUAGAAAAGUAAAGUUGCUUGUUGAAAAUUAGGUUAUCUUUCUUGAUUAAUUUGCUUAGUUUUUGGAGGUAUGCUACUAGGACUCUUUCCUUUCUUCGUCUUAAUAUGAGACCUAUUACCUUUCUUAAUAUCCAAAAUUUGAUUUUAAGGUAAUUUGACCUACUCAUUAGAUUAUUAACAUGUGACUGAAUUUUUCAAAGAGCCUACUACUACAACACUUACUAGCAUUAUGUCUUGACCUCUUACAUGUAGUGCACUUAGGGUCUUGCUUAGAGUUAGAUUUCCCAUAAGAGGAACAACCUACCUAUGUUUUUAUAAAAGUAGUAUUUUCACUUGUGGGAGUUUCACAUAUAAUUAUAUAUCAUAAACCUCUCUUGCCUAUAAACAUUCCCAUUUUGAAUCAUUUCAUUAAAAUUUUAGGGUGAGGAUAAAAAAAUUUAUCAUGUCAACUUUCGAAGAUCUUUUUCCUAUGGUCUAACUUUGAGGUUAAGGAUUUAUUCUUUUCAAGUACAAUGUGAUAUUCAAAAUAAGGAACCUAAUUUUUCCUUAGCAAAUUGUAAUGUUCACAAGUUGUGUCCCUAAUCUUAUUACCCAAAUUAGUUUUUUUAAGACUCAUAGGAACUUAAUUUUUCAUUCAAUUCAUUUUUCUCAUAUUCAAGAUAUUUAAUGUGAGAAAUCUUUUUGUUUAAAAUAAUUUUAAGCUUAACUAUAACACCUUAAACCCGGAGGCCAAGGGCCCUACAGUCAUUCCUUAUCAAAUUGAAACCAAAACUAAAAUAAAAUAUCUAGCCAUAAAUUCAAUAAUUUUCUUGAACACUUAAAUCAAAAUUCUAAAAAUUAAUAAUGAAUUCAAUCUUAAGUAAACAAUCCCAUAAAAAAAUUGAAAAGAAAAAAAUCAAUUCCAAAGUAGUUUAUAAUAGAAGCAUGUUUCCUAUCUUGAUUUUUCUUCUUUGAUGUCACUUGUACUUGAAAAGGGGAAUAAUAGAAAAGGGUGAACUUGAAAGCUCAGUAUAAAAAAUAAUUUAAUAAGAAUGAUUAAUAUAGUAUAAAAUUAAACACUGAGAGAUAUCAUUUUUUUUUUUUACGAAAAUCAAUUAGUGAGUAAUCUCUUUUAAUUCAAUAGUUUAGUUCACUUUCUUUGAAAAAUUUAACACUUUCUAUUGAAAGAUUAAACAACAUAAUGCACUUUGCAUAAUAAUUCAUAUAAAAAAGAAUUUCACAAAGAAACAUUUUACUCUAAUCCACUCACAAUAAUACCAUGCCCAAAUAGUUGAAUUUGUAUUAGGUGGCUAGCCUCAAAAUGUUAUUAGUGAAUGGAACGGAUUCCAAUCCAUAAUAUACCGAAGGCCAAUAACACCCCUAUUAGCUAGGGUUGUGUUGUAUUGUUACCCUCACUAAGGGUAAUAAAGGUCAACAACUUAUCCCCUAUUGACUAGAGCCACUUAGAGUUUCUAAAAUCAUUUUAAUUAAUUAGAAAAAAGUAAAAUUCACUUACAUAAUAAUCAAACAAAUCACAUGAUGUUACUAAUUUAUUUUAUGAACAAAACACAACAUAUUUCAAAAAAAUAUUACCUAAUCCACUUUACGAAAUUUAAACAAUUUUGAUACUUUACUAAAUAGAGGAAGACAAAUAAAAAGGUAGAAAAUAACUCACUACACUAUUAACCCUUACCUUGAAGAAGCCACUUAAAUUCUUGAAAAAAUUAAUCCACACCUUUAAAUUAUAGAACGAAGCAAUAUGAAGCAAAUACUAAAACUUCUUCUUUCUAACUCUUCGAAUCAAAGUUCUCCGGAGACUUUUUUUUCUUCUUUAUUUUGUGUUUUCAAUUUUUUGAUAAUAUGAAUAAUUCAUAACAAAAUAAAGUUGGUAGGAAAUUAAAGGGAGCAAAAAUAUCUCACUUAAUUUGUUUUUCAAUGUUUGAAAAUAUAUAAAUAUCCCUAAAUAAGGUAAAUCUUUUUAAAUAUUUAAGUUACACAAAUAUCCCUAAAUUCUCCUUCCUAAUCACUAGAUUCAAUAGAACUAAUUUUAGUACCUGAGGAUGGUGAAACAGUGAAGGCAAUAAGGUUAUCAUUGUCUUUUUUUGUUGAUCUUCAUGUAAUGAUUCCUAGUGAAGAAAUUAAAGAAAAACGAAAAAAAACACACACAGAUUUAAUGUGGUUAAGUAGAUUGCCUACGUCCAUAGGAACAAAGAAAAAGACUUUCACUAUAUUUCAAUUAAUGUUACAUAAAAGGGUAUUUAUACUAACCCUCGGGUAUUGAAAUUCCAAAAAUACCCUUGAACCAUACCACGGGGAGGCAUUGUCCCCCAUACCCCCCCAACCUAUCGUUCGCCCUUAACAAUAAAAAUAUAAAAUUAAAUGGCAAAUGUCAUCGUUCCACUUCGACAUUUGCCCAUUUUUCUCCAUAUGUCUUUUACUCAAUAUGAGCCGCAUACUACAACAUCAUUGUCAAUUGAGCCUAUCAACUUAUUAAUGUCAUUAGACUCAGAAUUGCCCCAAGUCACUGUUGUUAUUUAUUUAUUUAUUUUUUCAAUUAUCAUUAUUAUUAUUCUCUUUGGGAGUAAGACAAUUAGUAGCAAAAUUUUUUUUUUUUUUUUUUUUUUACAGAAUUGAAAAAUUCAACUUAUGGUGAUUUGGAUGAACUUUUUAUUUUUUAUUUUAAAAUUUUGUAGAAGGAUUUCUUGUUUUUCUCUAAGUUUUAUUUCAAGUUUGCUUUUCUUUAUUCUUAAAAGUUUGAAUUUUUUUAACAAAUGCCAAAAUAUCUUAUGGAGUGAGAAUAGGUUCACGCCUAUCAAGCUCAUUCUUUUCUUUCAAAGAGGCUUUAGGGUUACCCUUUUAGGUCUCCUUGGAGAUGGCAAAGUCAUCUUAUAGGUUCGUGAAGAAUCUACAAGUUCAUAUACUUUCAACAUGUCUACAUUUUUACUUUCCUUUAUUGCGACCAUUUUAUAUAUAUCUAGAUCCCGUAUAAAUCUCUCAAAGAGAGAUCUCAAUAUCUUUUUAACCAUUUUAGAGUUAGAGAUUAUUUCUCCUAGGUUAAAACAUAAAUUAAUAUUUUCACUAGGUUCAAUAUAAAACACAAAGGUGCUUUCAUCAUCUUUCAUUCUAAUACUUUCAAACUUAAGCAUUUAACUUCAACAUGGACUCAUGUGUUACUACUAAGAUGUGCCAAACCUCUUUAGUAUAUUUGCAAGUACUAAUCCUACAAAACAUGUUAAGAUGGACCCUAUUGCAAAUAUAGUAAAGGCUUAAGCAUUCGUCUCACUAUCUUCAGUUUGUGAUCUAUCUUUAGUUUAAGUUCGCCAUAUGAGCUUUUAUUCUUUAGUAGGGGUAACCACCCAAAUUUUAUUGUAUUCCAUAUUUUUUCUUUUUGCAUUCUCAUAAAGAAUUAUAUUCUUACCUUUUAGUCGAGGUAGUUAUUUCCAUCAAAGAAUGGGGGAUGAAUAAUUAAAGUACCCACUUUUUGUGAUUCCAUUAACCAAGAUUAAUUAGUGAGAAUAAAUAAUUUUUUAUUUUUGAAACUUAACCCACUUUAAUAACACUUGAAAAAAAUUGUGUCUUGAUAUAAAAGAAUCUAAAGGGGGGUGAAUGGGUAGUCCACGGAAUAAACCUCAACUUUUAAUUUUCUUUAUCAAUCAUAUAAUUAAUAUUGAGUAAAAGUUAAUGAAUCUCAUGCAAAUGUAAAUUCAAUCACACGAAUGAACACAAAAUCUAACAUUAAAAAAAAAAAAAAAAAAAAAACACUUAGAACCUUAGGUGUAAAAAACUAUGGAUGAUCACUCAGCCAUUAAAUAUAAAACAAAUGGUACAUAUAUAGUUUUACUUGACCGGAUGCACUUAUUUCCUAAGGUUUUAUACCAUUAAUACCUACAGUCAUUUUUUGUGUCCCUGAUGCAACAGUCCCUCAUACUCCCUAAUGGAUCCCUUGAAACCCUUAUCAAAAUUUGCACUAUGUGUGUGUCAAACCUUUGUUGUAGAUGAAAGGUUCUUGUAAGAAAGAUUUUGAAAGGUUUCAAAGAUGGAUGUACAAGCUUUAAUAAUAAUGAUAUUUUUUUAAGGUUUAAGGGUCCACCAAUUUUUAAUAAAACAAAUCUAUGUAUACUUGCAAAACCCUAAUAAUUAAUUAUGGAGAGUUUCUGAAUUUUAAACCACUUUGAAAAUGAGUUUCUAGAGUUAGAAAUGAAGGGAGAGACAAAAAAAAAUCAUCAACAAGAUGUUUGAAUGCUUGUGGGGUGGGGGGGGAGAAAGCUUAAAUGCCCUUGAGAAGCAUUUGAACACCCCUCAGUACAUUUGAAUGCUCACCUUUAAUUAUCUCUUUAUUUUUGCAAUAUUACGAGCUUUUCUCCAUAUGUUUCAUCCCAAUUUCAUAUUUUAGUCAUUCCAUAAGUUUUAUCAACUUUAGAUGCAUACAUAUCUCGAAAAACAUCGGCAUUGAAAAGAUUCAAGGUUAGCCUUGAAGAAGUCUGAAGUUAAAUAGAAGGUGAUAAGACCUAAGGAAAUAUGUCACGUCUAAUCAAUAAGAAAUAUAACAAAAUUGCAAACUAAAUCUAAUACAUCAGCAAAUUCAUAUGAGAAGAAAUCAGUUCACUCUUGUAAUACAAGCUUUGGUGUGUAGUUAAUCCUAUGAGGAUUUUUGAUAUUGUCUUUGAGGAAAGAAAAGUGGCUUUAAAAAUCACCAGUGGGGAUUAAGAUCAAGUGGUAUGUAUGUAUGUAUGUAUGUAUGUAUGUAUGGAGAGAAAGAGAGAGAAAUCAACCUCCUUGUGCAAUUGCAUUUGCCAUAGUUAUUGUUGCAUACCAAAUGUUGUUUCAUGUGGUUCCUCUUUGAAACCAUACAAUCACUACCCACCCAAUUUGAAAUGAAACUCUAUUUUGGUAAUGCUUUAUCUAAGAAUGAAAAUAGUUGACAAGGAGUAGAGCAUGUAAAAACAUUUUCCUAUUUGAUUUAGGUUAAGGGUUAUCAAACACAUCCACCAUUCCUCUCUUCACGCCUAGCUACUUUAUUGAGAAAAUUAAAAAAGAAAGAGUAGGUCCAAGAGAAAAAAUAAGUGUAUUUAACAUCAUCCUAAGUUAUUAAUAUAUAGUCAAUAAAAAAUAUCGAAUUACCUUUAGAGAUGCCUAAGAAUCCCAAUUUGCUUGUUUCACAGACAAGUUUUCUACCCCAAGUCAUGCAUGGGACUAUGAAUGCAAGAACAACUCAAGAUUUUUAUAACACAAGAGCCUUGACCUUUGUUCUCAAGAAGAAAACUAAAAAACUUCAAGAGAGGACAUUUUUGGGGGAAACCUCUAUUCUCUUGUUAAUAAAAAAAAAAACUUUCUUAAUCCAUUUUUCUCAUUAUUAUUAUUCUUUUCCAUAACUUUCGAUAGUUAAAAACUCCCAGAAAAUGCUUCAUCUGCUUUUAAAAAUAUUGGAUGAGGUCGGGUUGAGCUAUAUAUAUAUAUAUAUAUAGACACACACACACGUAUGUAUGUAUGUAUGUAUUGUCCAAACUCAUGGAAAGACCAAUGUCUGACAUACAUUUUAUUAGGUUAUUCCUUUCUCCAAAUAGACAUUAAUAAAUUAAUUUCUGAUUAUGCAUCAAUAUCAGUCUAUAUACCAUGUGCCAUUGAGCCUGUUAGAGAAUUAAAUUCAAUAAAUUUAGAACCGAAAGCAUUGUUUGUCAAAGAUGGAUGGUGGAUGAUGGCCCGGAAUAUUUUCCUUUUGAUCUAUGAAUGGAUGGACGAGAAACUCUUCAUGAAUGAAUCCACCUUUGAGAAGGAAUGAUGUGGACAUAUUAGAACGUUAAAGAUGGUGUGGCUUUCAGUGAAACUUGGAGUGUUGAUCAACUUAGAAAAUUGAUUGGAUGAAAUUUAACUGAAACUCCUUUGAAAUCGACUGUGGUUCAGAAUAAAUUAUUUCCUUUGCUUUAAUUUGCUUCAAAAUGGACACCCUUCCCUACUAAGAGGUUCCUGUUGAAUAGAAGUUGACGCAACUUGUGACAUAUGAAGGAAAGAGUUGAGAAACUGGAAUCAUACCUUGUGAUUGAACUAAAGAUUGUUGCCCAACUCCAAUUGCUCAAAAGGACAGAGUUGGGCCCAUUUUGAUAAAAGUAACCAUAUCCAUCAAGUCAUUGAAAAAGCAAUUCACAUCUAUCUUUGAAGUCGAUCACACUCUACAAAGAGAGUAGAGGUCCCCACCAACCUAUAGAGUUGAACCAUUAAAGUUUGUUGGCAUAAUAGAAUUAUUUUAUCCCAAAUUCUUCAUUAAAGGUUGCUUGAAUAAGAAGAUAUGUGAACUCACAUUUUUCACGUGCGUUCCCACUCAAUUGGCCAGACUCGUUUUUAUUUGUGAAGAAUUAGUUUAGAAAAGUUGGAGUCGCCGCUUAUUUUAUUUUUAUUUUAAAGGGAAAAUAAAACAAGAAAGAAAACCCUAAAGAAGUGAUUUCAUAGUUUUUGAAAAUGCGUGUCUUUGAAAAACUCGAGUCUAGGUCCGGGGAUCAAGUUAUCUAUUGGGAAUGUACCUCUAAAAAGUAGCACCCUUUUAAGCCCUAAAGAGGUCUCUAUUGACCUAGUUGAGGGAAAUUGGGCAAUUAAUUGGUUGAUUAUAGAUACCUAGGUAGGCUAAGGUGAUUUCGAGAUUUUAUCAAUACUAGCAUGUCAAAUAAGAAAUCAAAUUACAAUCAUAAAGAAGAGUUAGGGUGUAUACCUGAACUGCUUCUUACCUGCUACCAUAAGACAAUCAAAGUUAAUUUGAAUAGUAUAUCAUUCAACAUGCGUUUUAUUAGAGAUAAUCAAACAAGUAUCAAGGCAAUCAAGGAUAGCAUUCAAACAUGGAUAUAGCUCAUGAUAACGUGCAUUUUCAUAGAAUUUUGGAAUUAGAGGAUAGAGAGCUUACCUGGAUAGAAAGUAUAUUUUAUAAGAUUCCUCCAAAAAUGCUAGAGUGGUUAGGGCAAGCAUAAAUUAUAUAAAAUAUUCAUUAUGUCUAAUAUACAAUGUCAAAGCCAAAAUUGAGCUAAGAUAAAUCAAAUGACUCCAAAAAUAAUAACAAUUUCAAGUAUAAAACCAUCAACAUGCAGUUAGAAAAAGUGACAUGCAUAAACGAAUUUUUUAAAAAUAAUAAAUGAUCACAUAAAAACUGAAUUCAAGGUAAGAUAGUACUCAAAAAUAUUUUUAAAACACUCCAAUUAAUUAGAUGUCCAAAAUCUAGCAUACACAGUAGGUACGACUUUGAAAAAUCAUAUCUCCCUCAAAAAGGCAUAUUUUUUUUAAUAUUUUAUGUGUCUAAUAUCAAUUUCAAGAAGCGUAUAAUUGAGGAAAAAUAUUGAAUCAAAUUUAAAAAGUUGUCUGGUAUUUAAUUUUUGCAAAAAGAUCUCGGGUUUUUAGAACUGGGUGAAAACGGAGCCCCCCUAAAGACUCGUUUAUAUCUUCUAUUCUAGAAUGGUUUUCUAACUCAAAUGAAACUUAAAAUUCAAGUUCAAGGAGUGAGGAAAGUCAUACAAGUUUUGAAUUUUUUUUAAAGCAUUUUGAAGUUGUUGAAACGAAUUUUAAAGCUAAAAGGUCAGUGAUUGAGUUAAAACUGGCAACAACGAAGAAUUUUUGAGAAAAAAGAAAAGAAAAAAAUCUCUUAUGUAGGGGUUCCAUCUGCUGCUCCAUAUGCUAGUAGAUCAGAACUCUUGUUCCCAAACUUUCAAACUGUAACAGAAGCUUUGCAUUGGUCAAAGAUGCAAUGCAUUCCUACAAAGGAAUAUGCAGGUUCAAUCUUUUGAACUGGGGGAUCGUUGUCACUUGCACUUGAGCUGAAACUGGUUCUGUGACUUGAAGCUUGAUAGCCACUUCGUGGGUCCCUGCUGGAACUCCAACUGUCCACCUCAAUGACAGAUACUGAAGGAAUGGCACCAACUAGAAGCCUUUUCUCGAAUUCGUUUUCUGUUACAACAUCCUUGAGUGACUUCUUCAAGCCCUUAGAUUAUUUUGAAUAGUCUGAAGAGUUCCGAUUCCACAUUCAAAGCUUUCACUGGUCAAAACCAGCCUUGUACUAGCAUCAUCUUCAGCUUUAGGAAUUACACACCUAAAAAAGGUGGCCAUGAAGGAAUGGAGUCCGGGAGAAGAUGCAGUUUCUGCAAAAGGAGUUUGUGGGUUCCAAAUGCUUGGUUUGAAGAGUUUGGUCACAACUCGAUCGUGCAUGUGUCUUCUUCUGCAGAUCCACUUGCGCAUGAACUCAAUCAAAGGCCAAUUUAGAAAGUUUCUUUGGUUUCAGAUUUGCUUAUUUCCAGGAAAUCUGGAAAGUGAGCACUGCGUCAUUUGCGAGAUAGCAGGAUUUUGCAUAAUCUGACCUAGUGAAUCAGUAUCGGAUAUCAUCUGUUAUCAUAAGCAAGAGUAAACCUGAAUGCAUCUGAGCCUGGAAGGCACUCCGGGGUAGCUUUGAGGGCAAUAUACCAGGGUCUAAAGGCAGGAGGCAAUCGACAACCACUUUCUAUUUCAAACUUAUCGCAUCCUGAGGUGCAUUUUCCAGCGUCUUAACUCUCUGUGUCAAACGUCCUCUGACUUCAUGAAUGUCUUGCUCUGACCAAUCUUCGAACCAAGAUCAAUUUCAUUGGUGAUCUUCGUGCCAAGUGAGGAUCUUCAAGGACAUGCCGGAUUAUAGUAGCAGCAACAUUGUCAAACCCAGAAAGGGGGCUCUUGUUGGCAAAGGCAAAAGCAUGGGUAAGCCUCCGUCAUCAAGAAAAUUAAAAGGGAUGGAAUGAGUUCUGGUAAGGGUAGUGUACAGCUGUAGGAUAGCAUGCAUUGUUUCAGAUGGAAGUCGGUUCCUGGUAUAAAUACAAACAAUCUCAAUAAGUCUCUUCUGCUCACUCAUAUCUAUAUGCUUUGGAGGUAAUUACAAUGCGGACUGCAAUCGUUCUGCUCAUCAUCAUCAAUGGUUAUGGACGUGCCUACUGACAUUAUACUUCUUCAAUUGUUCUGCAAGAUCGGGAUUCAAUUUUUGAUCCACUUGUAGCGGCCAGAUGGCGAAGAAGGUUGCUGUUACCCAAUUUGGAACUUGGGAUUUCUCGUUGUCACACGCACCAGAAUCUUAUCGUGAAAGUGAAUGUUUCCACUCUCCGACGUGAAGCUUCAAAGAUUUAUCUGGAAUAUGAAAAUUGCCCCCCAUAAACAGAUAAUACUACAGAUUCAGCGGUGUCAUCGAGCCCACAGGCAGUUUCUGUCGCGAAGAUGUAAGUUCUAGACGAUCGCACAUCUUCCAGUGCCGACCCUUCUCCUACACAACCAAAGUGGUGUCUCCAACAGAAACACUUUUAUUAGCACACGCCCCCAAGUUCCUAUGGAACUGUGAUUGCUGUCAUAUCUUGAACUCUCUUAGCCUAUUGAGAUGCUAUAAUUAAACAGCAUAUGCACCAUGAGCACACAAAGAGAAAUCUUGAAGAACCUCACGAAAGCCAAUUCCCCCAACCAUUCCAGCAACAAAAACCAGACCAGUAGCUUAAACUUUUGAUUUCCACGGUCCAUCAAACCCAGAAACAACUUGGAGUUCAUGAAAAACAUUUUUUUUAUUAUUAUUACCAUAAGCCCAAGACUACCAGAUAGUUUUCAAAGAAUAAAGGUUGGUAUUUUUUUAUUUUUUUUUUUUUGCAUGAAGGGGGAUUUUAAACAAAAAAAAACAGAGCACGCUCAAGACAAAAAUAAAAAAUAAAAAAUCAAACCUUCAAUCAGGACACCACUUCAUGCCGCCCUCAAUGGGACCAAACGGGUGGGACAAGCAGAGAGCAGUGAUAUGAUGAAUUAAAUAUCAAGCUCAAAAACAACCCAUACAUCUGUUAUCUUCGGGAAAAGUCAAAGAGAGCGUAAAAGAACCAAAACAGAGUAGAUAUGAAAACAGGAUCAAACUCAGGAAAACCACCAUUUGAACUUUAAAGUCCAUGCCAAUCAACAAGUUAAAGUCCAGACAAUCGACAGAAAAUAGAGCGGAGAAAUAAAACAGAAUGAGAAUGUAGAGCCAACAGUGAUCAUACCUCUUCUUCCAAAGAAAAUUAUCCAGAACCAAAAUAAGCCUCCUUUUUUCCUUCGUUCCUCCCUGCUUUCUAUAUCUCUUCCUUUUCUCUCCUGCUAUAUCUCCUUGCUAUCUCCUUUUGCCUAUGAAAACAAUCUCCGAAUCCCCCUAAAACCACCCGCCUGUGUUUUAAUAUCAAUUGGAGUCGUCCAAACUGUGACUCCUCUUCUCUGCCAAAUUCUAUCUCAUCCACCAGAAAAAGUCCUUUUUUUUCUUUCCAAAAAUCAAUCCAUGCAUAUCACAUAAAGAGUCCUACAUUUUCCAAAAUCUUCUCCAUUGGUAGAUUUUCUUAUCACACUUCAAAUUAUUAAAUCGGAUAAAUGAAUAAUAAAUAAAUAAGAGAAUGGUAAAAUAAUAAUAAUAGAUAAAUGAAUAAAUAACAAGAUAAUGAACAAAAUAAAUAAAUAAUAAUAAUGAAUAACUAAAUAAAUAAAAGUGAUUGACAAUAAUAAUAAAAAUAAAACUUCAAUUUAUUAAAUCAAAUAAAUGAAUAAAAAAUAAAUAAAUCAGAGAAUGAUAAAAUAAUAAUAAUAGAUAAAUGAGUAAAUUAACAAGAUAAUGAACAAAAUAAAUAAAAAAUAAUGAAUAACUAAAUAAAUAAAAGUGACUGACAAUAAUAAUAAAAAUAAAACUUCAAAUUAUUAAAUCGGAUAACUGAAUAAAUAAUAAAUAAAUAAAAUAAUAAUAAUAGAUAAAUGAAUAAAUAACAAGAUAAUAAACAAAAUAAAUAAAAAAUAAUGAAUAACUAAAUAAAUAAAAGUGGCUGACAAUAAUAAUAAAAAUAAAACUUCAAAUUAUUAAAUCAGAUAAAUGAAUAAUAAAUAAAUAAAUAAAAUAAUAAAUAAAUCGGAGAAUGAUAAAAUAAUAAUAAUUUAUAAAUGAAUAAAUAAAAAAAUAAUGAACAAAAUAAAUAAAAAAUAAUGAUUAACUAAAUAAAUAAAAGUGAUUGACAAUAAUAAUAAAAAAUAAAAAUAAAUAAAUAAAUGAAAUAAAUGAGUCAUGCAACCAAACAAGUCACGCUAAAAUGUCUAAUAGGUCAAGCGUGCCUAAAUAGGCUUAAAAGUGUCUAAAGGGGCUUAAGUGAAACUAGACAGGCCUAAGGUGUCUAAAUGGGUUUAAGGUAGUGCCUAAUGGGCCGGAUAUACCUAUAUGGGCCUAGGGUGAGACUAGGUGGGCCUAACUAAGUCUAACCUAAAGUGCACCUAAGUGAAGCCUAAUCUAAACUUGAAAGGCAGCUAAGGUCAUAAUGUGGAACCAGAUAAACCCUUUAACCAAAUUCUUCAAAGUGGUUCAGAAAAUGUAAGCUGCACGAGUAGUAAUGGGCCACCAAGAAAUUGUUGUAAAGUACCGAACAAACACGUAAAAGGACAUGUGCUAAGAGGACAAAAUGGAGGUUUUACAAAAUCAUUAAUAUUGUAAUGUAUGUCCAAACUUACAUUAAAAGAGAAAUGUAGGACUACUAAAUCCAUAUUAGCAAUUUAUUUAUUCAAGUCAUAUAAUUUUGAAAUUUAAAGUAAUUGUGAGUAUGGAUAACCCAUAAUAAAUCCAACAAAGAAAAAUUUAAAGUCAUCAUUAUAAACAAAGUAGGAGAACGUUAGAACCAUAAGUGGUUUAAUGACCACAUUAAGUUUUCUUAUAAAAAAAAGAAUCUUAAAAUGUUUGGAUUUAUUUUCUCAUGUAUGAAUUUUGACAAAAUUAAAUUAGUUCAUUUUGAAAUUCAUAAUACUUAUUAAGUUCAUGUUCCAAUUGUUAUUAUUAUCAAUUAAAAAAUGUUCAAAGUAUUUAACUAGUGGUUUAUUGAUGGAUAGAACCAUAAUGCACCUAUAAAUAGAAGAGCUCUUAAUCCCUUUCUCCACUCUUACAAUUUUUUUUAAGGAUUUAGUGGACUUAUAAUAAUGGUUGCAAGCUUGCAUUUAGUGGAAAAGCAGCAAAAAGAAGCAAAAAAAGAAGUGGUUAUAGAUUCAUGUCUUCAAAUGGUUACAACACCUAAAAGCCUAUCCAACUCUCAAAUUCAAAUCUAAAACAGCUUCAAAGUUGCUGGUGGGGCCAGAACUUUUCACAUGUGCAAGUAGCAUUUGUGGAAUAACUAGCUUGGGGUUGUAAGUUAGCAUGAGAUUGUGAACCAUUAGAUUUUGAAGAAGCCGUGUAAGAGUAAAAAUGAAAGAUGCUAUGGAUGAGGAAAUAAGACAAUAAUAUUGAAGUAAAAUCUCUUUCAAAAGAGAAAGACAUUUGAAGACAGACAGAUAUACAAAACAAAGAAGAAAACAAAAGGAGAAGUAGACAAAUAUAAAACCUCCCAAAUUUGCAGAUUUUAGAAGAUUAAGAUCAGAACUUUUCAUAUAUGCAAGUAGCAUUUGUGGAAUAACCAGCUUGGGGUUGUAAGUCAGCAUGAGAUUAUGAACCAUUAGAUUUUGAAGAAGCUGUGUAAGAUUAAAAAUGAAAGAUGCUAUGAGGAAAUAAAAAAUAAUAAUAUUGAAGCAAAAUCUCUUUUGAAGGGGAAAGAGAUUUGAAGUAAAACAAAUAUACAAAACAAAGAAGAAAACAAAAAGAAAAGUAGAUAGAUACAAAACCUCCCAAAUUGGAAGAUUUUAGAAGAUUAAGAACACUACUUGAAGUUACAAAUUAAGUUUAAGAGAGUAUGUUAGAAAAUAAAUUUGAGUAGAUAAAAAAGUUUCCAAUAAAAAAAAUAAUUUGAUUUAAUUAGUUUCUAAAAGUCAAUAGAAAUAUUUUAGUUUGAGUAAUUCAGUCACAUUUUAUUACUUGGAGUUUUUAUUUUGUUAAAUACGAGUAUGUAUAGAAAGAUGAUGGAAGAUAAUAAUUUGUUCUUAAUCUUUCUCAAUUAUUCAUCUCUUUUUGUAAAUGUUUGUGCAUUUUUUCAACCCUAUUACUUCAACAAUAACGUGCUACUUAAUCUUCGAAUUAAGUACACACCAUAUGUUAUUCUCUUGAGAUUUGAUGAAUGAAAUAAGGAGAGAAUGAAAUAAAGGUACACCCCUUGAAGCUAGCUUUCAGCUGCUCCACAGAGGGCUCAGCAUGAAGCUGUGAGAUCAGCCAUCAAAAGAAAUAAUAGCACACCCCAAAAAUCCAUGGCCAAGUUGGAAACGGUGCCAAAGAAGAAGCUGCUUGUUCCGGAUUCCCACGGCAUGUCAUGAGAAUGGGACAGGGAAAGCUGGUGGCCAAACCUACCAGAAGGAGAAAAAGGGUGCCCCAAUUCUCACAGUAGAGGCGAAUAAGCCAAUUUGACCUUGUUGGCUUUUGCUUCCACAGCUGCCCUCACCUUCCAUUGCGAAAAUGCUAGGUUGGAGAUUUUUUUUGUCCAUUUGUUCCAUCAAUAGCUUGAUUGGAGAAGCAAUCAGUGAUGGUUCUUGAAGUUUUUAGACCCUCCCCGCUUAAAACUUCUUCAAUUCCCUUUCAAAUGUUAGGUGUUAAACUCCCGUUUCCAAAUGUUAAGUUUAAGAGAGUAUGUUAGAAAAUAAAAUUGAGUAGAUAAAAAAGUUUCCAAUAAAAAAAAUAAUUUGAUUUAAUUAGUUUCUAAAAGUCAAUAGAAAUAUUUUAGUUUGAGUAAUUCAGUCACAUUUUAUUACUUGGAGUUUUUAUUUUGUUAAAUACGAGUAUGUAUAGAAAGAUGAUGGAAGAUAAUAAUUUGUUCUUAAUCUUUCUCAAUUAUUCAUCUCUUUUUGUAAAUGUUUGUGCAUUUUUUCAACCCUAUUACUUCAACAAUAAUGUGCUACUUAAUCUUCGAAACAAAUAUAAAAAAGAUGGUUAGUUAUGGUUAUGAUGGUUUUUGCCCUUCUCAUUAAAUUUGAUAGAUGAUUAAAAAAAAAAACUCUUCAUCAGUUAAUCCUAUUUACGAGCAGAAAUUAUAUGGAAUUUGAAAGUAAAAAAAUAUAUAGUUAAGCUUCCAUUGUUGAUAAUCUUGUCGUAUGAAAUUUAAUUACAAAGUCCCAUUGGAGGAUAUAUUAAACUUGUUCAACAUCAGUGUCUGAUUUUUGGUUUGAAAUAGACUUUCUGUUAAGGGUCAUCGUUGAAUGGUGGUUGUAGAGUUGAUCCAUUAUUGACUUGGUAAGUUGAGUACUCCACUUGUGAUGUGGAGUCACCAUAUCACAAACACUACAACCCCACCAUGAUCUUUUCCUUCUUUUGUUUUUUCUCUCCAUGUGAUUCUGCAAGAAAAACUUUCCCUACUUUAAGUUCAACCAGCUUAACCAUCGUAGAGAUGCCUUGUCUUUUUUACUUUGUCCAGAAAAUUACACUUUUCUAUUAAAUUUUGUGGUAAAAAAUCGCACUAACAUCACAUCACAUCACAGCAGCCCUUCUGUUUCUGUGUUGUACGUUACUGGAAAGUGGUUGAUGAUUUUCCCACAUACAUUGAAUUCUCUGUCAUGUAGGGGUUGCAAACUUAAUUAAGCUAAGUCUUAACUUUCUACAAUAAUAUUCCAUUAGAUCGACAAUUAUACAAUAAUGGUCCUUAUCAAGUGAGUUAAAGAAUUAAUAAAUUAAAGUGACACUUGAUAAAACUAAAAACUUAGGCUAUGUUUAAUUUUUAGAAAAAAAAUUAGGAAAAAAAAAAAGGAAAAUAAUUUUUUUGGGAUUGGUUUUGCGUCAAACAUAUGAAAGAAAAUUAAAUAUAAUUAAAAUUAUUAAAAAAAUGUAUGAUUUUAAAUUAUAUAAUCUUUAUAUAAAAAAGUCAAAUUAGUAAAAUAAGCUUUAAAUAGCACAUAAAAACUAUAUAUCAAAUUUAAAUCUAAUUUUUAUUUUCUUUCAUUUUUUUUCUUUUAAUUUUAUUUCCUUUGCAUUUUCUUUCGAACCUUCCAAAAACCAAACAUAGUCUUAAUAGUUAAUUGUGUAAAAUGAUUUAAUACGAGUUUUACUAAAUUUCAUGAGUUGAAACUUAUUAUUAAAUUUUUACUUUAAAUGUUAAAAUUGCUUAAUAAAUUAAAUUAUAAACUUUUGAAACUUCUAUAUUCAACAUAUUCUCUUAUAUUAAGCAAAGGGCUUAAGAGAAACAAGAAAGCAAGAUGCAAUUGUGAUAGAAAAUUAAUGAGAAAUUGAAAUAGAGUUAAUUUUAGGAAUAAUUGUGCUUGAGGGGUGGUUGAGAUUGAUAAUUGACCCGAAGGACGUCAUGUAAAGAGUGAUGUUAACAACAUCUGCCUAAUUGGUAUUAUACAAACUACAAAUCCUUCAAAGCAAUUAUUUCACUAUGUUUUUUGUGCCCAAUAUAUAUAUAUUUGAUAGAGACAAAUUAUUAGGUCUCAUAGGUUCAAAACAUAAUUGUCUCUUAAAAUUCAACCGCCCAAGAUACUAUCUUGAAUUCCAUAAAGAUGAUCUUUUUAAUUUAUUAGUUGAAAAGGACUAUCUUGAAUUCAGUAAAGGCGAUAUUUUUAAUCUAUUACUUUAAAUGUCCAUUUCAACUAGAGUACUAUGAUAAAAACACUUUUAACCUAUAAUGUUUUUCUUAGUAACACUUUAAUUAGAAAUACUUACACUAAGACGUGAUGUUUGGAUAUAAAGAAAAAUUAUUUUUAUAGUAAUUUGGUAAUAUGUUAUGUAAGGAACAUUUGAAAGAAAGAAAAAAAAACCUCAUGUGAGGACUAAUUCAAGGAUGGGUUCAAGUGAUUUUCUCAAGUUUUUUAGUGUAAUUUUUAAAACUUUACCAAUAAUUUUAUUUUGUCAGAUAUAACACAUUUAUAAUGUAGAAAUACAGUCCUGAUCAUGGUUUUAAAAAUCGGACCGAACUGGCCUAUCUGACCUCUAGCCGGUCACGAUUCAAGUCCAGUCCGACCAAUUAAAUCGAAAAGUGAUCGAACUGAAAUUGUACCGCUUGAACCGGCGGUCCGAUUGGCGAACCAGACAAACCGACCGGUUCCCUCUGAACCGUCUGGUUCAACCAUUUUUUAUUUUUUUAGUUAUUCUCAUCCCCCUCCCCCACCUAGAGCAUCGUCCACCGACAAUGGUACCUCCACUGUCGCCUGUAUCAUCGUCCCAUCGACAGCAUAUCCCCAACAUUAGAAACCCCACUCCUUGCGUCGCACGAUCGAAAGCCCCCCACCGUGUGCUGGAAAUCCCCCCCACCCAGCACCGCGCGCUGGAAACCUCCCAACCCCACCCCAAAAUGGCUGCAAAUCCCCAUCGUCGGCCCCCGCUUGUAAAGCCCCAUCGCUCCCCACCAUCCCCCACCCCUGACAACAUGUUGAAAAGCUCCCACAAUUGAAAAAUGUAGUUGUUCAAGCCACCUUUGACAAAAAAAAUCCGUACUUGGCUGAAGUAAUGAAGUCCAACUCCCUAUCAAAGUGUUUUGAGGCAGGUUAUGUGUGAUUGGUGGAUGAAUCUUUAGCUGAAGAAGAAAGAUGGAAGACUUGGAAGUGUUCCAAAAAAGUUAGAUGAUGCGUUGGAAACGGGAAACCUCCCAAAUUUUAAUGUUUUAUAUUUAAUUUCUUAAAUUUUUUUAUUGAUUAUAAUUGUAGUGGUAUGUUUAAUAUUUAUUUUUUUGUUUUUGUUUUAUUUAUUACACAUUGAAAUUUUAAUUGAUUGAAAUUAUUGAAAAUGUUAGGUGAUUGACAUCUACAUGUAAAAAAUUUUGUGAAAAAACUUAACAAAUAUAGUAGAUAUUAUCAAAAUUUAGAUAGAAUUUAUUAUUUUUAUUUAUUAUUAUUUUUUUAAUUUUAAUAAUAUAUAAAAUAUAUAUUUAUGACGUCACUGGUUCGACCGCUGGUCCGACCAGUGAAUCGUGAACCGAUGACUUUUUCGAUUCAAUGACCGGUCCAAUUAUGAAAACAUUGGUCCUAAUACUUGUCCAAUCAUAAAAAUGAAAGGGAAACACUAUUGUAGGGUUGCUUCCAAGGAGUGGCUGUUAUGAAAGGAGGGAUAAAUCCAAGCAUCCAUUAACACCUCCACAAACUAGAGUCCCAUAUAUCUGUCUAAUAAGACAACUCUUAAGGUAUCCUCCUCCAUUUUCCAAUGGCCAAAUCAAUCCCCUCUCCUCUCUAUGAAAAAAUCCCCCAGAAAAACACACUCCAUAGAGCCUUGGACCUCACCAUCUUCUUCCUUCUCCUCUCUCUCCUUGCUUAUCGUCUCCUCUCCCUCAAAAACAAUGGCCUCACUUGGCUCGUCGCCUUCCUCUGUGAGUCAUGGUUCACCUUUCUUUGGGUUCUUAACUUGAGCUCCAAAUGGAAUCCUGUGUCCUACAAAACAUACCCUGAACGCCUUCU
rnacentral:lncRNA from 1 species